rnacentral:lncRNA from 1 species
UCUCUCUCUCUCUCUCUGAUUCACACGCGCUCUCUCUUUCCCUCGGUGUGGACGCGCGCACCUGAACCCAAUCAGCCGAGCUCUCGUUGCCGCAUCGCUGACCCGUCGUCCAGGCGGGCGCCGCGUCAGUUCCCCAGCGCCACGGUGCCGCCGGCCACCGCCAUUCCAUUGGCUUGGAUUCGGUUGUGGCGCGGGCAGGGAACCGUAGGGUGAUUGUCUGAUGUGUCGUCCGUGCGGGGGGUUUGGUCGGUCGAGGCCUGGUAUAAUACAUAUGCCACCAUUGUACAUGCCCUGAGCAGGAUGGAUGGAUGCAUGCAUACUCCCGUCUAGAUACAUCCUCUUUUAUCCAUUUCGAUGACAAGUAUUUUCGGACGGAGGGAGUACAUGAUAUCAUGUUGCUUGGUGUGCAGCAGGCGAUGAUGAUGAUGAUGUUGACGACUGUGGCUAAAAUAAGUUGUCUUGAGCAAUCAAGACGGCCUAUAGCCAGCAGCCAGCUAUACUAUUAACCAUGCUCUAAAUAGAAUCGGUGGCCGCGUUGGAGUUGGCCUUAGAGCCCACCCUUACCUCUCUUGUAGCCUGUUCAAUUCAUGGCUGAUGUUGGAUGGCUGUCCCUCGGAUGGUCACUCUGAUGAGUGAUAACCAGGGCAGUUCUCUUAUAUCGCGAUGGGUAGAUUAUGCAGCAAGAGAUGUGAGUGUUGGGUUUGAAGAUGUAAUGCACAACUGAGCCAUCUUUUGCUUACGAUCUUUGUAACCUCUCCCUCUCUCUCUCUCUUCAAACCCUAAACCAAAUCAGUUGAGUUCUCAGUGCCGACUAGCUGACCCAUUGGAUGGGUGGUCGCUGUGUCAGCUCCACACCGCUACGGCGCCAGCCACCGCCAUUCCACUGCCUUGGAUUUGGUUGUGGCGUGGGCUGGGAACCGUACGGUGUUGUCUGAUGCGUCGUCUGAGCGGGAGGUUUGGUUGGUCGAGGCCAGGUAUGAGCAGUUCCGGAGAUGGAUGGAUGGAUGGAUGGACGGAUGGGUGUAUGCAUGCCUGCAUGUAUGUAUAUCAUGGUCAUGUUGCUUGUGGUUCGGCGUGCUUUUGGGAAAAAAAUGAGGGGCGAUGAUGAUGCGUGUGGCUGAAAUAAUUAUGUCUUGAGCAAUCCAGACAGCCGUGGCGUAUGGGUACUAAAUAGGGCCCGAAUGGGUGCGCCCACGUUGGAGAUGCCCUUAAGAGCCCACCCUUACCUCUCUUGCAGCCUGGUCACUUCAUCGCUAAUGUUGGAUGUUCUGCGCCUUGGACGGUCAUUCUGAUGAGUGAUAACCAGGUCAGUUCUCUUACACCGCGAUGCGUAGAUCAUGCAGCAAGACUUGUGAGUGUUGGGCUUCAAGAUGACACGCAUACUGAGCCCUCUUUGCUACGCUACAAAUACUCUUAUAUUUGUGAAUGGAGGGAGUAUCUAUCUAUCUAUCUAUCUAUCUAUCUAUCUAUCUAUCUAUCUAUCUAUCCAUAUCAGGGGAGAUGAUGGUCAAACAUGUCUGAUAUGAACUUGUCUUAGAUUAUUCGAGGAGCUGUGGGUAUCAAAAACCCGAUCUCCUCUCUUUUGGGACCUUUUCAUUCUCACCGAAUAUUGACGGCUCUGUCUUGGAUGGUCAUUCUGUUGAGUAAUAACAAGCAGAGCUUGACUUCAAUGGUGGGGUUUGAUCUGGUCAAGGAAGAUGGUGGAGCUAGUAUGAUCUAUCAAAGGCGAAUCUGAGCCCUCCUACAUCUGAUUCAUAAAAAAGUUAGAACAUCUUAUAUUUGUGAACAGAGGGAGUAUCUAUCUAUGAGGGGCGAUGAUGAUCAAACAUGGCUGACAUAAACCUGUCUUCGAUUAUUUGAGGAGCUGUGGGUAUCAAAACCCGAUCUCCCCUCUUUUCGGACCUUUUCAUUCUCACUGAAUAUUGGCGGCUCUGUCUUGGAUGGUCAUUCUGUUGAGUGAUAACCAGCAAAGCUUGACUUCAAUGGUGGGGGAUGAUCUGGUGAAAGAAGAUGGUGGGGCUAGUAUGAUCUAUCAAAGGCGAAUCUGAGCCCUCUCAAUGCACAACUAAUACUGUGCGCUCCCACAUCCAAUUUAUAAAAAAGUUAUUAUGUUUAAAGUGAUAAAUUAUCGUGGUGUUUGGUUUGCCUUCUCCUGAUUUUGUGGUCCAUGGAGGGACCAGUUUUGUGCAUUCAGGCUUUGCUCAAGCUCGUCACAUUGUGGUGGUCCUAGUAUUGGUAGUGGUUGAAUGUGUUUACUUCCUUCUUUUCAUGGGGUUAAAUGUGUGAAACAUGAUCAGCAAAUGUUUUGCCCUCUUUUCCUGUCUGCGCAUGUCCUCCUUUAUGUCCCUAUUAAAUUUCUAGUGGUUCUUAUGGCAGUGAUGGAAAUUCAAGUCUGCAAGUUUUCAACAUCUUUUCUACUGUCUUGGGCAUAGCACAGCAACUGCAAACUGGCCUCUAAGAAUACAAUUUGGCCGGUUUGCUUUUUUGCUGAUGACCAUUCUAAUGCUUAUAGAUGCCAAUACGUGGAAAACCACAAAAAUCUUGUGUUGCGAAAAUACCAUGACUAUCUUUACCUUUUUGAGAAUUUUUCUUUCUUGCCGGCUUGUAUCCAUGUAUACAUAAAAGAUAUGAUGAGAGUUUUUUUUCUAGUUCUUUCGGUAUGCAAAGGACUGCUUUGCAAGGUUACAUUUCGUUCUUUUUUCCUACCCAUUUUACCCAUUUUGUUGGUUUUGCUGUAUGUCAACCAGUUCUGUUGUUUUAGGAACAGUACUCACAUUUUCCUUCUGUUCUCCCUUUUUCUUGAAUGCUAUGAUAGUUCUGCUUUCCCUUGGAAAGUUUCGAAACUAUCUUAUUUGGUGCGGGGUCAGUUUUCUUCUUUCAAUUGCUAUUUGACUUUUGAUAAUUUCAUUCUUCUACUGUACUGUAUCCACUUAUCAGUUACUAGUAUUUUCGGAUAAUUUUACUUCUUUACUGAUUUCGACUUAAAGGUCAUAAAGGGCAAGUUCAGAUGCCAACAUUACUGUUUCCUUCCUGUCAUGUCCAUGAAUGGCUGUGUUGAUAUAGCUUCCCUGUGAGAGCUUCUGUCUAACACCUGAACUGAUUCAGUUGGUGCUAAACUAGGAGGGCUUGUGUGACAGCAAGUAACCAGUUUAGCGGCUAACUAUAAUUCUUAAAUGUUGGAAUUACGAACACUUAACAGUGGAGGGAGGGAGGGAGGGAGGGAGGGAGAGAGAGAGAUUCCAUGGUCCUUCUACCAGAAGUUCAGUUAUGGUGUUGAGCUGGGGGUAUAUCUGAGCCAUUUACUUGUACAUGUCCCAACUUUUGUGCCCACCAGAUCAUGAUUUGCUAUUGGCUUCUCUCUGUUAUUCUGUUUGUGGAAUUUGUGCUAGGUUCUGUUGAUGGCGAUGAUGAGUAAGGCUCAUUAGAGGUGUACUGAGUUCAGAUACUAUCGCUUGUUUUUACGGGUAUGGUUUUCGGUUAGGGUUUUUUGUGACUAGGUGGAUUGCUUUCUGUGAGCAACCAUUUCAAUGCUCAAAUGUCACACAGGGGUGUAAGGGCAUCUCCAACGCGGAUCACCAAGGAUACACUAUACAGAGUGGGUUGACCAUAUGAUAGACAAGCCAACUCUGAGCCUCCCAUUUUUAUUGAUAAAUAUGACCUCUCUUUCUACAAUUUGUGGUUAUUUGCUUAUGUAUAUUUUGGAAUAUUCUCAAUCUAUUAAUGAACUAUAGCAGUAUUGGGAUCUCACUGUAGUAUAUAUAUGUUAUCAUCUGUGGAACUUACAAGAUAUGCUCAUAGCAAACUGGAUUUUGUGCUAUUUUACACUUACAUACUCGGAAUGCUUUUACUUGCUGAUGCAUCAAGAGGUUCUACUUUAUUUGAGGGCCUUGGGAAGCGGCAGAGGGCUUCACAUCUUUUGUUCAAAAUAUGCUAUUAUUUGCAACUGUACGUCCUUUGUUACUUGCAUGUUCUGUUUCUAUGCUCAGCGUUCCCGUUUAGUCCUUCCUGUACUUUAUUUCGCGCAUGGUUUUCUUCCUUUUCGUACCUUUUUAUAUUGUAUAAAUUGUGCUACGUUGCUCUUUUUCAUUCAUGCAUCUGCUGCACUAUGGUCUAUGGCACCUCAAGCGUCAACCAAAAGAUAUUACAUUUGGUCUUCGAUGUCAUUAUAUAUUUCUAGGUUUGCCUCUUGUGUGUUUCCCUUUUUCUGUGCACCAUUGAUAUUUCCAGUAAUACUCCCUCCGUCCGAAAAUACUUGUCAUCAAAAUGAAUAAAAGGAGAUGUAUCUAGACGUAUUCUAGUUCUAGAUACAUCCCUUUUUAUCCAUUUCGAUGACAAGUAUUGUCGGACGGAGGGAGUAUGUGAUCUGAACUUCAGUGUACUGUGCAUCUUGAUCUCCUAUGUAGUUAAUUCCUUAGCUAUCAGUGGGUAACUUUUGACCUACUGCUUCCUUUAAUGAUAUACCCCCUCCGUCCCAUAAUGUAAGAUGUUUUUUGACACUACACUGUGUCAAAACGCCUUGCAUUAUGGGACGGAGGGAGUAAUUUUUAUGAAACGUAUAGGAAUAAACUUGCUCACCUAGAAACCUCGAUAUUAGAUUAUCACGAGCUACAAACGUAUGAACUACCACCAUGAAAUACUUCAAAGUCUAAUGAGUUCUGAUGAUGCUCUGUCAUGUAUUCUGGUGUGGUAAUAAUAAGUAUGCCUUGGAGCAGCGAUAGAGCUUUUUUAUGUGGCCGCCCUUCUCUGUAGUGAUGCCUGUUCAAGUCAUAUAUGCAAGUGUUGGUGGUGCUGUAAUUCAUUUGGUCAAUCUGGUAACAUGCAUGUCACAUUAGGAUGCAACGAGUGUGAGCGCAUAUGAGCAUUAAGAUGGAGAGAAUACUAGUAGGAAUUGCCAUGUCAGUGGCUUGGCUUUAUGCAUGAGCCCUCGGUGCAACUGUACUACCACACGAUCUGUACUUACAAUAUUAUGUUUUUGACAGCUACGUGCCUACAUGUUUACUACCAGAAUUUAGUGGCCUGUUGAUGCUGUUUGUAAAUUAUGUUGUUUGAGAUUAAAAAGUACUACUACCUCUGUUCCUAAAUGUAAGACGUUUUGGCAGUUUAAUUAACGUCUUACAUUUAGGACCACGGGGUGUAUUUCGUUUUGCGAGAACUACAGCUGUUGCUGGAUUUGCCCAUGUUUGAUAUUCUUGACUAUUAAUUUUCUCCCCAUAUACAUGUUCAGUGUUGCUAUGUAUGCACAUAUAUAAUGCCCAGUAAAUAUCAGAAUACGAAAGUGUUGCUGUACAUACACGUAGAUAAUGCCCAGUAAAUAUCAGCGUAACAAUUUGUACGGAAGAUUUUUAUUAUUCAUUAUCUUGAGGCGUAAUGUUGAUAAUCCCAAUUUUGAGUUUCCUCUGUGUCAAUCGGAAUUGUGAUGUCGUCAGCUGAUCACACCGUAGCUCCUUUGUGGAGUGGUUCUGCAUGAAGAACGGACACAAAUGAGGGCUGACUCAUCGCUUGUUGGUGUAAUCUUUGUCUAGGCUCGUUUGUUCAAGAUGAAAUUGUUGGCUUACUAAUGCCGAUGAGAGUGAGCGAGAUAAGUCAGAAAAUACAAAAAGUGAAAGAGUUGACAACACAUCACAUAUCGUGCUUCACGUUCGGUCCUUGUGAGACGUGUGAAUCUUCUUCAACCAAAGCAAUGGCCCCUAAAAUUCUCAGUUAAGCCAGUACGAUGCCCGCUGAUCGUGGAGCCUAGGACCAAUAACUUUGAAGCGGCCUUUGUCCUGAUCAAUGGUGGAAGUGGCCUGCGUGUGUAAGGUUUUAGGCUUAAUACUUCCUCUGUUUCGUAAUGUAGUGCUCACAAAUUAUUUUAGGAGUCAAACUUUACAAUGUUUGACCAAGUUUACGGGUGAAAUUAUCUAUAUCUACAAUAUCACAUAUAUAGAAUAUGCAAAUGUCUAUCUCAUGACACAAAGUAUUAAUCCCUCCGUCUAAAAUUACUUAUCGCAUAAAUGAGUAAAAAUGGAUGUAUCUAGAACUAAAAUACAUCUAUAUACAUCCAUUUCUCCGACAUUGGUCAAAAUUGGUAAAGUUUGACUGUUCAAAUAAUCUAUAUGCACUCAUAUUAUGGAAUGGAGGGAGUACAAGGUUCGACAUUGAUUAGUUAAGCAAACCAUAAUUAGUUAAGCUAGUUAGUUUAAACCUCCCACUGUAGUACAUCAAUCAACAUAUGACCGUGAAACAAGACCAAAGCAUUUGGGAUAUGAUUUGAAACUAUUAACCACAUUUAGAAACAAACGUGUUGGCAUACGUUGCCAUGUGACGUGAAAUAUAUGCUAGUAUUACUAAUUAUAUAUCUGCUUUGUGUUUUUUGCGGGAAAUUACUCGUAUUACUCACGUAGCCGAGCUACCAGCAGAAUUACAGAGUUUGACGACCUCAUCAGGUCCAGAUCCAAGCCGCACCAUGGUACGAGCGACUAAUCAGAGAAUUUUGGUGGGGGAGAAGAAGGGCAUAGGGAAGUUCAUUGGAUGGCUUGGGAGAAUAUGGUAAAACCCAAAAGAGCAGGGGGAAUAGGCUUUCAUGAUAUGCACAUAUUUAACCAAGCCCUCCUCGCAAGACAAGGGUGGCGACUCCUCCAAAGACUGGAUAGCCUUUGUGCGAGAGUCCUAAAGUCGAAAUACUACCCUAAGGGAAAGUUGUUGGAUACUGUGUUUGCCUCUGAUGCUUCACAAGCAUGGAGGGGCAUCGAACAUGGGCUCAAACUUCUGGAAAAAAGGCUUGAUAUGGAGAGUGGGAAAUGUAAAACACAUCCAGAUCCAAAUGGAUUAGUGGGUUCCUAGGAAAAAUGGCCAUAAGGUGACCGAAUUCAAGAGGAGAUCUAGACUGAGGUAGGUAAAUCAGCUCAUGGUUCGGGAAAGAAAGGAAUGGAAUGAGGCAUUGGUACACCAACUGUUCCAUAGUUUUGGUGCAGAGGAAAUCUGUAAGAUUAAAAUCCCUAGGAAGGAUGUGGAGGAUUGUGUGGCUUGGCAUAGCUAGCGAGAGAUCAGGCGUAUUCUCUGCCCAUAGCGCGUAUAAGUUGGGCGCUCAACUGAAACACCAAGUUAGUGUAAAAGCGUCGAGCUCUGGAUGCGAUGCUGACAACAAGUGUAUAUAGGAUAACAUAUGGAAAGCAAAAGUGCCUGAGAAAAUUCGUAUUUUUGCAUGGCGGGUAGCCACUGAGACCUUACCUACAAAAGAAAAUAAAUAGAAGAGAACAUUGGAGGUAGACAACACUUGUGACAUCUGCGGCACUGAGAAUGAGGAUGAAGUUCAUGCGGUGAUCAAUUGUACCAAAGCCAAGGUGCUUCGAAAUGAGAUGAGGGCACACUGGGUGCUACGAGCAGAGGAUCACUUUCAAUACAUAGGCAUUAUUGGCUUCAAAAUCUGCCCGGUUCUUGUACUAUCGAAGAGCGCGCCAAGAUCAUCCUGCUACUAUGGCGUGCGUGGUGGCUUCGGGAUGACUACAUCCAUGCUAAAGGCAGGCGUUGGUUGGCCAGUCAGUCCAAUUCUUAAUGAAAUAUGCUGAAGAAAUUAGAACAUGCGAGCCUCAUAGCACGGAGUAUGAGGACACGGUCCAGGAGGCCGGCCAGAAUGACUAUAUGGCUGUGUGAGCAGAUAUUAAGAAAGGAAAACAAACAAUUGAGUUGAAGCAUAGCAGUGUCAUUGUUGAUCGAGGAAAAGAUAAUUGACAUGCAGACCUGUCAUUGAUUGCCAAGCAACCGCACGGGCAUCUGCAAGCAACAGGAGGUCAGUGGGAGUCACCGGUAGAAGGCGUUUGGAAGUUAAACACUGAUGCAUCAUUCAUUCAGGAUACAGCGGAAACUACAGCGGGUUUCAUCGUCAGGAACUGGACUGGUCAAGUUGUUGUCUCAAGUGGACAACGCUUGCCGGCGUGCAGAGACCCAGAAGAAGCCGAGCUUGCCGCUGUGUUGCAUGUCCUCUCAGUGUUAGUCAAUCUCUAGAGAGGGCCACUUGUGUGGAGAUGGACUGCUCGUCCAUCCCCUCUGCCCUGAAUUGCAAAUCAAAUAAUCAGUCUGCACUCUUCCCCUUAGUUACAGAUACCUGGGAUCAGGUGAAAGUGUUCCAGAAGAUCACUGCCAAGGCUGUGAGACGAACUAGUAACAAAAUAGCCCAUGAGAUCGCCGCUUUUGCUAGAAGAAAUGGAGAUUUCAAGACGUUCGCAGAUGUUCCUGUACACCUAAGAGACUCCCUCAAGGAGGAUUGUAACAUCUCUCCUGUGGUAACUUAAUUACAGGUUGAGCCUGUCCCUCAAAAAAGAACUGAAAGUGCAAGUGGCACUUAUACUAUAUUUUGGUGUGAUGACAAUGUGGUUAGUUGAACUAAUAUCGGUUACUAAAGUUUAUCUCAGGAUAUUGGUUCCAAGUGCUCCUGAUGGAGAUGUGCGACCCCCCAAUUCAAAAAGGUCAAAGGCGUGGUUUUCCGGCAAAUCGAAGGUUUAGUUGUUUGUUUACUCCGAGUCGUAGGAAAGACCACACUAUUAAGAGGGGUUUGUGUGGAUGAAAGUUGUGUGGGAAUGCCAUUGCCCAACCAUAUACACUUAGCCUACCCACUCCUACCACCUAAAGUCCUACUGUGUGUGCUUGUGGUACUUAGAAAGUUUGUGACAGCAAGUUACUGGGUACCCCGUGCGCACGGGGUACUGCGUAACUCUCUGAGUACCCCAUGCGCACGGGGUCUUUUGACCCCCAUGCGUACGGGGUUCUGCGUAACUCUCUGAGUACCCCGUGCGCACGGGGUCUUUUGACCCCUGUGCGCACGGGGUGGUGUGAAACUCUCUGAGUACGUCGUGUGCAUGGGGCUGACUUAGCCCGUGCGCACGGGGUCCAACGGGCAGAUUUCCCCACCCGGCCAAGAACACUAUAUAAAGCCUCUUCUUCCACCUCCAACCCCUAACCCUAAUGUCUUGUUGAGCUUCACCAUUGCUACACCUCAUUUUGCUCAAUACUCUCAAUCCCUCCACCCAAACUUGUUGAAAUUUUGGGGAUUGGGAGAGCAAGACCCGAUCUACAUCUUCACCAAACCAAAUCGCGUUCCCCGCAACAUUUCUUCCCCAUUGACUUGUUACUCUUGGAGCUUGGGCUCCUAGGCGGUUAGAGGUUCAUCCGGAAGCUUCAUUGCUUGUGGUGUGCUCCGGAGAAGUUUGUGAAGGUGUGGUGGUCGCCUUCAAGACUAACCCCGAGUGAUUCGAGGCUCAUCCGUUGGGAGUGACUUGAAGGAGAUUACGGUGAGCCUUCGGUGGUGUUCCACAAGCUUUGCCUCCGGCACCACUCCAAACGGAGAGUAGCUCUUCCCCAAGGAAGAGUGAACUUCGGGUUUAAAUCCGCGUCCUCGUCUCUCUUGUGGUUAAUCCUUUCCCGCACCUUACCUUGCCUUCUCUACUUAUUGGCUUGCUACUUAGCUUGUUGCCUAGCUUUCUAUCUUGGAGCUUGCUUGUCAUAUAGGUUGCAUUCACCUAGUUACAUUUCAAGUGAACCCUUUUUAUCCGCUAAGCCUUAAAAUUGACCAAGCAGAUUAAAAUUUGUAGUCUCCUAUUCACCCCCCCUCUAGUCGACCGUAUCGAUCCUUUCAAUUGGUAUCAAAGCCUCGUGCUCUAAUAUAAGGUUUUACAACCUUAGAGGAUAUGGUUGAUCUAGGGAAUGAGGGAGGUGGCGCACCCAUUGUGUGGGAUGGUCAAAACCUACCCCCCCUCCCCCCGGCCGCGCCCGAGGCACUUGAUGCCCCGGUCGUUGCUCCCGCCGCUCCUACUAACCCGGGUGCCCCCUUGACCGCGGCCGAUAUUCUUUCAAUGUUUGCGGACCUCAAAGACUCUAUGUUGAAAGAAGUUCAGUCCUCGGUCAAGGAGGAAAUUGAUGCUCGCUUGAAGCCAUCAACAUCUGCAUCAAACUCAUUUGAUCCAAAUGCCAUUCAUGAUGCGGAUGGCUCGAGAGAACCUCUUGCAUCUCCGGCUCGUACUCAAGUUCCCAAGUACAAUGUCGUGGUACCCUUUUACUCACCUCAACCUUUGCAACAUCCUCGCAUUAAUCAUGUGGGGCCUCCGCCCCCCUUGAAAGCUGAUGCAUUUGCUAAGUGGAAGCUAUAUAUGGAGUCUUACAUGUGCAGUGCUUCAACUCAACUGUGGUGGAUUGUGGUCAAUGGAUUCAAUCCCAAGGACCCAAUGAAUCUCACUCCAAGGGAAGUGGUUGAUGACCAACUCAAUGCAACCGCACACAACAUGUUGCGCAUCGUUGUGACCAAAGACUAUAGUGACUCCAUUGCUCUUCUUAAAACCGCAAAGGAAAUUUGGGAUUGUCUUGAGAAAGCUCUCAAAGGAGAUGAAGCAAUUCGAAGAUCUCGAUUGGCUUUGCUCAAGCAAGAAGUCAAUCUCUUUGUGAGGAAUGAGGGUGAGUCCGCGGAAGAGGUUUACCAAAGGUUGAAGUCCCUUGUGCUCAACUUGAGAACCUUUGGGUGCACUUGGGCAAAUGAUGACUUCAUCAAGGACAAGUUCAUAGAUGCUAUGGUUCUCACAGAACAUACCAUGGUCAUGAUGAUACAUCAACGUCCCGAUUAUCACAAGUUGACCGCGGCUCAAGUUGUUUCCACUUUCUCAACUCAUGUUCUUUUGGAAACCAAGUCCAAGAAUACCUUUGCUAUAGCUCAAGCAACCAAGAACUCCAACCUUGCUUUGAAGGCCAAGAAAGUGAUAAGCCAGCCCUCAAGGGAUGAGGAAGUGGGUGAAGAGAUAGGUGCGGAAGAUAUUGACACCUCGUGCCCGGCAAAUGAUUUUGCGGAAGACUUGGCCCUCUUAGUCAAGAAGUACUCCGGGACCAUGGCAAACAAAGGGAAGAAUCUUCAAGGAAGAUCUUUUGGACGAAGGAAAUGCUACAUUGUGAUAGCCCAAGACACUUUGUACAUGAUUGUCCGUAUGAGAGACGUGAAGACAAGUCCAAGAAGCUUGUGCUCAAGAAGAAGAAGUUCACCAAGUUUGCAAAGAGGAAGGAUGACAAGGCUCUUGUUCAUGAAGAAUACAUGUCCGGAGAUGAAGAUGAUGGUGAUGAUGAUCAAGUGGGCACGACCGCCAUUGCCAUACAUGCCACUACCUCCUCCUCAACCGUCGGCCUCUUCGAUUCUCCAAACGAGGACAAGCCUUUCACUCAUCGGUGCCUCAUGGCCAAAGAGGUAAAAACAAAGUCCAAAUAUAAGAAACCCAACAUCUACACUCCCAAUGUCUCAUGUGAGAGAGUGGAGGAUGAGUGUGAUGAGGGCAUGGAUAAUGAUGAGGAAUCCUUAAUGGCUUUCAUGAGAACUCUUCAUGGUGAAGCUCGUGCUCGUUUUGGCGAUCUCCUUAAGUCACUUGCCGAACGCGAUGACGUUAUUGAGAAUGUUGAAACCUCCUUAUAGAGGAAAAAAAGAGAGUUGAUCUCCUCGAGCACGAACUUAACGAAUAGAGUGUCAUGAGAGCAUCACUUGAGGAAGCCUUGUUGGCUCAUCAAAUUGACUUUGUUAAAACCAAUGAUGCUUUGCAACUUGCUCUUAAGAACAAAGAUGCUCUUAACAUUAGAGUUGAAAAGCUUCUAGUUGAUCACACGAGACUUCGUGAGGAACAUGAGCUCCUUGUGACUAGUUCCAAGGUUGUCAAAAGUGACCUCAUUGCCCUCACCGAGUCUUAUGCUCAACUAAAAGCUACGACCAUUAAGGCUCUCACUUCCGUACCUCAUAUAGAUUUAAAUGAUGAUGCUUGUAUGGCUAACUUUGUUCAUGAUUGCAUCUCCCUCCAAGAGGAGAAUAAGAAGUUGAAGGCCCAAAAUGAGAAAGAGCUUGUAUCAUGCAUCCAAGGGGAGAAAAACCUAAACUACCUCUUGAGCAACCAAAAGGAGUGUGUUGCCAAGGAGGGAGUUGGGUUUGAUCCAGCAUCUAAGAAAGGUAAGAAAAAUAAGAAGAACAACAAAAAGAAGAUCGGUCCAACUCCUUCCCUUCCCCAAAAGGUAGUGUUUGUGCAAGAAGGGCACAAGGAGAAGGAGAAGGAAAAGGAGGGUGUUGGGAGUGGCAAUGUCAUUAGGGACAAGGCCAUUCCCAAGAAUUUUCCCGGCAAGAACAAUCCAUCUUAUGUCCUCAUGAGAGGAGAUGAUGGCUAUACCUUUUCAAAAUUUGUUGGCACUAACUAUGAUGACUAUGCUUGGACUAUUUGGGUCCCCAAGACCCUUGUUGCUAACUCGCCAGGACUCAUUGCAAAAUGGGUACCUAUAACCAAAGCUUGAUUCUUGUAGGACUAUGUCUCCGGUGGAACUCAAUGGGUGAUCGAUAGUGGAUGCACCAAUCAUAUGACCGGAGAAAGGGAGAUGCUUGUGGAGUUCAUUGAUUCACUCAAGGCCUCUUCGAACAUCUCUUUUGGUGACAAUAGCAAGGGCAAGGUAUUGGGUUUGGGCAAGGUGGUAAUAUCUAAUGAUUCAUCUCUUUCAAAUAUCAUGCUUGUCCAAUCCCUUCACUACAAUUUACUUUCAACUAUUCAAUUGGCUCGUGCCGGUUAUGAUUCGCAUUUCGGUGAAUUCCAUGUGACCGUCUUUAAGAGAAGCAAUCUCAAAGUGGUCUUUGUUGGGCAUGUUGAAGACAACCUUACGUGGUUGAUUUCUCAAAAGAGAAAACUCAUCUUGCAACAUGCCUAAUGGCCAAGGCCGGCGUGGGAUGGCUAUGGCACCGUAGGCUAGCCCACAUGGGCAUGAAAAAUAUACAAGCUCUCUUAAAGGGGGAGCAAAUCCUUGGACUAACCAAUGUGUCUUUUUCCAAAGAUCGUCCUUGUAGUGCUUGCAUUGCCGGAAAGCUUCAUGAAAAAGCUCAUAAAAUGAAGACUAUUAUCACCACCUUGAGGCCCCUUGAGCUCAUCCAUUUGGAUCUUUUUGGGCCUCCAACAUAUGAUAGUUUGGGAGGAAGGAGGUAUUGCCUUGUCAUUGUUGAUGACUUCACAAGAUAUACUUGGGUGUUCUUUCUCAAGACCAAAGAUGAAACUCAAGAAACCUUCAUCAACUUUGCCAAAGAAGCUCAACUCAACAUAAUUGUGAGAUCAAGGCAAUUCGAAGUGACAAUGGCACCGAGUUCAAGAAUUAUACAAUGGAUGAAUUCUUGAGUGAAGAGGGGAUAAAGCACCAAUAUGCCGCACCAUACACUCCCCAACAAAAUGGUGUUGCGGAGAGGAAGAAUCGGAUUCUUAUUGAGAUGGCUAGGACCAUGCUUGAUGAGUACAAGUCCCCAUACAAGCUUUGGGCUGAAGCCAUCAACACCGCAUGCCAUGCUUCAAAGCAUCUUUAUCUUCGCAAGCACAAGAACAAGACCCCUUAUGAGCUCCUAAUCGGGAGAAAGCCUAACGUCAAAUACUUUCGGGUAUUCGGCUGUAAGUGUUUCAUUUUAAACAAAAAAUCCCGGUUAGCUAAAUUUGAGUCUAGAACUUAUGAGGGCAUAUUUUUGGAUAUGCAUCAAACUCUCAUGAUUACCGAGUUCUCAAUAAAUCCACCGGGUGCAUUGAGGAAACCGUAAAUGUGGAGUUUGAUGAACAUAACGGCUCCCGUCUGGAGCAAAUUGUUCCUAGUGUUGUAGGUGAUGAGGCUCCUUCACAAGCUAUAAGGACGAUGGGGAUAGGCCACAUUAUUCCACAAGAAACACCCCAAGUCCAAGUAGAAGAAGAAGGAGUAAGAGCCCCCUCUUGUGGAAUCUCCACAAGGGAAGUCAUCACUGACACCUCUUGAACAAGAUACUACGGGAGAUCAUGAACCUAUCCAAGAACAAGAUCAAGCCCCUCAUAUUCCCGAGCAAGAUCAAGAGCAAGCCCCUUCAAAUGAUGAAGAACCAAUUAGUGAGUGUCAAGAUCAAUCUCAAGUUCGUGAUCAAGAUCAAGAUUAAUCCCAACCACAAGUGUCCUCAUCUUCGUCACUUCGCAAUGAGCAAGAACCUAUGAUUGCGAAGAGAAGGGUGUCUCCAAGGCUAAACCAAUCUCAAGGGCAAGCUUCUUCAUCAAGUCCAAAACCAAGUGAAGAAGAGCUUGACCUCAAAGAGAAAAAAGUGGCCGCCAAGCUAAAGCAUCUUCAACAUCUCACCGAGAACAUCUAUGGAAGCAUCAAAAGGGGGGUAACUACUCAUAGACGUUUGGCAAACUUUUGUGAACAUUACUCGUUUGUCUCUUGUGUUGAGCCCCUUAAGGUGGAAGAUGCACUUGACGAUCCGGAUUGGAUAGAUUCCAUGCAUGAAGAACUCAACAACUUCACCCGCAAAAAAGUGUGGACGCUUGUGGAAAGACCCAAGGAAUUUCAUAAUGUCAUUGGAACAAAGUGGAUUUUCAAGAACAAACAAGAUGAACAUGGCCAAGUAAUAAGGAACAAGGCAAGGUUAGUGGCACAAGGUUUCACCCAAGUUGAAGGUUUGGACUUUGGUGAAACUUUUGCCCCCGUUGCCCAUCUCAAAUCCAUUCGCAUCUUGCUUGCUUAUGCCUCUCAUCAUGAUUUUAAAUUAUAUCAAAUGGAUGUGAAGAGUGCAUUUCUUAAUGGUCCUCUUAAGGAGUUAGUGUAUGUCAAGAAACCUCCCGGUUUCGAAGACCCCGCUCACCCCUCUCACGUUUAUGAACUCCAUAAGGCACUCUGUGGACUCAAACAAGCACCUUGUGCUUGGUACGAUCACCUUACAUCAUUCCUAAGCGAGAAAGGGUUCCAGAUUGGGGUAAUAGGUUCCACUCUCUUCACGAAUAGAGUAAAAGGAGAGUUGUUUGUCUACCAAAUAUAUGUUGAUGAUAUUAUAUUUGGGUCCACUAACCAUGCUAUUAACGUUGAGUUUGAGAAUCUUAUGACUAUGGAAUUUGCUAUGAGCAUGAUGGGAGAGUUGAAGUUCUUCCUCGGUUCUCAAAUGAAGAAAUUGAGAGGAGGAACCUUCAUCAACCAAUCGCGUUAUAUUCAAGAUAUGCUCAAGAGGUUUAAAAUGCAAGAUGUCAAGCCAAUGAAGACACCCAUGCCCACAAAUGGUCAACUUCAUCUUGAUCCCAAUGGUAAAGGAGUGGAUCAGAAGGUAUAUCACUCUAUGAUCGGUUCCUUGCUUUACCUUUGUGCAUCUAGGCCAGAUAUUAUGUUGAGUGUAUGUAUGUGUGCAAGAUUUCAAUCCACUCCUAAGGAGAGCCACUAUUCGACAGUGAAAAGAAUCCUUCGAUAUUUGGUUCAUACCCCAAACUUGGGCCUUUGGUAUCCCAAAGGAUCAUCAUUUGAGUUAAUGGGGUACUCGGAUUCGGAUUGGGCCGGAGACAAGGUUGACUGCACGUACACUUCCGGGUCAUGUCAAUUCCUAGGGAGAUCGUUGGUAAGUUGGUCCUCAGAGAAGCAAAAUUGUAUAACUCUCUCUAUGACCAAAGCCGAGUACAUUGCCGCCGGAAGUUGUUGUGCUCAAUUAUUAUGGAUGAGGCAAACUUUGAUGGAUUAUUGUGUCAAAUGUGACAAAGUGCCUCUUUGGUGUGACAAUGAAAGUGCAAUCAAGAUCGCCGAGAAUCCGAUUCAACAUAGCAAGACCAAGCAUAUUGAGAUUCGCCAUCAUUUUAAUAGAGAUCAUGUGGCCAAGGGAAACAUUGAGUUACUCCAUGUAAACACCGAGAAUCAACUAGCCGACAUCUUCACCAAGCCACUUGAAGAAGCAAGAUUCCGUGAGUUAAGGCAUGAGCUAAAUAUCGUGGAUAUAAGUAACUUGGGAUGAAAUCCUUGCUCAUACACACAUACUCUUGUAUUAUCUUGCUUAGAUGUAGGAACAUGUAUAGGGGGAGCUAGCUCAACUCAUGAGCUAUCUUAUCCUAGAAAUGCAUAAAUCAAACAAAAUCUUUCACAUUAGCCACUUUAGGUGGUACUUGUGCUUCAAAGGUGAGUAUUGGUCUUGGGCCCAAGGUUCAUAUCUUCGCAGUGCCAUACCAAAUAUACUCAAACAUGGUGGCUUCGGCCACCGCCCUCUCUGGAGGGUUGUGUCCGUGUUUGUUUCGUGUGUGCGGUGUUUUUUUUCCUCUCUUUUUUUGUUUGGUUGGGUUGUGUUUCUCGUUUCCCUUCUGAUACAGUGCUCCUCAUAUACCCUUCUCUUAGUGAUAGGACUUCUCUUGCGGCGUAUUCAGAAAUAUAGACCGAGUGCUUUGCGAAGACGAGGUAAGAGUUUACACUCAGUCGGAACAUUCAAAAAGGCCCUCAUGUCAAAAUUCCUGAAUACCCCGUGCCCACAGGCUCUGUACCGCGCGCACGGGACCCCCAUGCGCACGGGGCUCUCUUAGCCCGUGCGCACGGGGUCUGCGGUUUCUGGCCCUGAAGAGGCGGGGCGUGGGGGGGGGGGCUCGGGUUCAUUCCCACCCAUUCGCCUUGUCCACUCCCCAGGAAGCCUCCAGCACCGCUGCCGUCGCCUCCGCUCGCCGGAGCUCCUCUGGGCUUCGUCGAUUUCGUUCUCCAAGGAUCUUCAUCGGAUGGGGUCCUCCUCCGGUUGGUCCUAUCCCCUUGUUCUCCCUCCAUGGAUGCCUAUCUAGUUUUAUGUUUCUAGGGGUUCUUUGCUUCUUAAAUUAGUUUGUUCCUCCUCCUCUCUAGGUAGUUCUCAGGUGCAUAGUUUCUCUGGGUUCCCUGCUGCACUCACUCGCAAAUCCAGAUCUGGAAGUGGCUACCGUUGGGAGACCCCGUGUCCACGAAGUGUUUGACCCCCAUGCGCAUGGGGCCCCGUGUCCAUGGUCGUGUACCGUGCGCACGGGACCCCCGUGCCCACGGGGUCUAAACCCCCAUGCGCACGGGGUGUCCAGGGGCUUUUCACCUGCAUUUCUACUUAUUCCUAUGCCAUAUAUCAUGCACUUGUACUCAUUUGUGUCUCGUGCUUUGUGUUGUUGGGUUCUCGUGUGUGUUUCAGACUCCGCUGACAAGAGGGCCGAGCUUCAUCGCAAGCGCCCAAAAGGAGGAUCCAAGGAAUUCACAGUUGCUCGUCGCCAGCCGUCAGAAGGCAUGGGGCAGGGGUCUGGGUCUAGGCAGGGCCGUGUUCGUCGUGCUGCCUCCAAGCGGCCUGUUGUUGAGGCCUCCGAUGAGUCUGACGAAGAGUAUGACUCGCAAUAUGAUGCUCACUAUGUCAACCCCAAUAAUGAUGAUGAGAUAGAAGAAGAGGAUGAUCGUGUUGAUGAGGAUGAAGAGGAGGAAGAGGAGUCUAGUCCCGAGCAAGCCAUUCCGGGCGGGCGUGACCUCCAGAAUAUGCCUCUUGUCAAGUGGACCAAGCCAGAGCUUUGGGCCGAGAGACAGAUCCAUCCUUAUGCGGCUGCCACUAGUUUGGGUGUGGAUCCCCGUUUCAAGAACGAGUUUCGGUAGAGAGUCUAUCAUGAGCUCCUCAUGACCAAGUCAAAGAAGUUUGCUCCUCACAAGCAAGUUAACACUGAGAGUUUGCGCGACAAUGAUCAUCUGUACCCCGGUGUGUACUCAGCUCUUGGAAGAUUGGGUCUCAUUCCGUUUGUCACAUUCAGCCAUCCCUACAAUGAAGAUCUGGUGAUGCAAUUCUUUGCCACUUUGUUUUUCUCAAAUGACUCUGCACACACCCUCACUUGGAUGUCCGAGACGCAUCGAUGCUCCGCUCCUAUGUCUAAGUUCUCUGAGAUCAUUCCUUAUCCAUUCUUUGAAGAAGAGGCUGCAUCUGAUGAGUUUGGCAGAGUUCGGGAAAGUGGGUUGCGCACUAAGGAUGAGAUUUCCUUCUCAUACAAGCAAGAGAAGUCAUUUGUCACCAGGUCAAUCAAAGAUCUUUUGCCUCUCUAUGACACCAUGCGCCAUAUCUUGAGAUGUACACUCUCUCCUAAGGCCGGUGAUUCCCACAACAUUGGAAGCUCCAUGUUGGAUAUCUUUGUGUACCUGCAUCAGAAGAAGAGAGUGGAUGUUCUGGAUUUCAUGUUCUAUGAGCUUCGUCAGUGUGUUCAAGAGAAAAAGUCAUUGAUUUAUGCUCCGUUCAUUCAGGCUUUGAUCAAGACCGUCUGCGCAUCCAAGUACGUUUCCUCGUUCAAGACUUCUAUUCCCAAGUGCAACGCCAACUGGACCCAAGCUGCUCCUGCUUCAUAUGUGCCCAUCAAGAAGGGGCGCAACCCUAGGCCUGAGGAUCGUGCUACUUUCACUCCGGGCAUGUCCUCCACUGCUCGGAUCCCUCAUGGUAAGGCCAAGUCCGUUGGUUCUGAGGCCGUUUUUGCCAAGGGAGAGAACAAGUCCCUGUUUAAGACCUUGAGCAACAUGUUCAAGAUGUGCCAGUCUAUCCAACGCCAUCAGAUUAAGGCGACCAACCGAGAGAAGCUAGUAAGGUGUGAGCAAAAGGCAGCGAGGGCUGCAGCUAGUGAGGUGGUCAGCCCAGGGUCAGAGGACAAAGAGAGUGAGGCUACAUAUCAAUCCUUUCCAUUGGCAGGAUGGCGCUUUGAUGAUGAUGAUGAUGCCUCAAGUGCUCCUCCUCUUGUCUAGUGGGUUUGUUUGCUGCCAUUUGUCUCCUUUUUGUUGUCUUGAUGACAAAGGGGGAGAAGUGGUGGUGGUUUGUGUUUGUGGGUGUAUUCUGAGAUCUCAAGCCUCAUGUUUCUUGUUGUUGGUUGGUUUUUGCUGGCUUGAGAUACUCUUAUUUACUUUCCGCUUGUGUGGUUGUGAGAGCUACUCAAUUAUGCUUGUGAGACUCUAGCUUUAUUAUUGAACUUACUGUUAUGAUCAUAUCUUGCUUAUUUUAUGUCUCACAAUAUUUGCUCACCACACCAUUUCCUAAGAUCUAGGCACCGUUAUAGGUCUACUAUGUUGAUCUCAUGUCUUGACAAAUAAUGAUCUCAGGGGCACCUCAUAUGUGUGUACUUGAUGCAUUCUCAAGCGUUCCGUUAUUUGGGUACACAUAUAGGGGGAGCUACCAUGAUCAUUAUUUGUCCCGUGGCUAUUCAUUGCUUUUUUUUCUAUACCUUGCUCUAACCACGUUGUCAUCAAUGCACCAAAAAGGGGGAGAUUGAAAGUGCAAGUGGCACUUAUACUAUAUUUUGGUGUGAUGACAAUGUGGUUAGUUGAACUAAUAUCGGUUACUAAAGUUUAUCUCAGGAUAUUGGUUCCAAGUGCUCCGUGAUGGAGAUGUGCGACCCCCCCCCAUUCAAAAAGGUCAAAGGCGUGGUUUUCCGGUGAAUCGAAGGUUUAGUUGUUGGUUUGCUUUGAGUCAUAGGAAAGACCGCACUAUUAAGAGGGGUUUGUGUGGAUGAAAGUUGUGUGGGAAUGCCAUUGCCGAACCAUAUACAGUUAGCCUACCCACUCCUACCACCUAAAGUCCUAAUGUGUGUGCUUGUGGUACUCAGAAAGUUUGUGGCAGCAAGUUACUGGGUACCCCGUGCGCACGGGGUCUUUGGACCCCCGUGCGCACGGGGUACUGCGUAACUCUCUGAGUACCCCGUGCACACGGGGUCUUUUGACCCCCGUGCGCACGGGGUUCUGCAUAACUCUCUGAGUACCCCAUGCGCAUGGGGUCUUUUGACCCCCAUGUGCACGGGGUGGUGUGAAACUCUCUCAGUACCCCGUGCGCACGGGGCUGACUUAGCCCAUGCGCACGGGGUCCAACGGACAAACUUCCCCACCCGGCCAAGAACACUAUAUAAAUCCUCUUCUUCCACCUCCCAAGAUUUUAGGCUUAAUACUUCCUCUGUUUCAUAAUUUAGUGCCCAUAAAUUAUUUUACGAGUCAAACUUUACAAAGUUUGACCAAGUUUACGGGUGAAAUUAUCUAUAUCUACAAUAUCAUAUAUAUACAAUAUGCAAAUGUCUAUCUCAUGAGACAAAAAAUUAAUCCCUUCGACUAAAAUUACUUGUCAAAAAAAUGAAUAAAAUAGAGGUAUCUAGAACUAAAAUACAACUAUAUACACUCAUUUCUCUGACAAGUAUUUCCAGACGGAGGGACUUUAUGUUAACUUGGUCAAAGUUGGUAAACUUUGACUUUUCAGAUAAUCUAUAUGCACUCAUAUUAUGGAAUGGAGGGAGUACAAGGUUCGACAUUGAUUAGUUAAGCAACCAUAAUUAGUUAAGCUAGUUAGUUUAAACCUCCCACUGUAGUACAUCAAUCAACAUAUGGUCGUGAAACAAGACCAAAGCAUUUGGGAUAUGAUUUGAAACUAUUAACCACAUUCGGAAACAAACGUGUUGGCAUAUGUCGCCAUGUUACGUGAAAUAUAUGCUAGUAUUACUAAUUAUAUAUAUGCUUCGUGUUUUUUGCGGGAAAUUACUUGUAUUACUCACGUAGCCGAGCUACCAGCAGAAUUACAGAGUUUGACGACCUCAUUAGGUCUAGAUCCAAGCCACACCAUGGUACGAGCGACUAAUCAGAGAAUUUUGGUGGGGGAGAAGAAGGGCAUAGGGAAUUUCAUUGGAUGGCUUGGGAGAAUAUGGUAAAAUCCAAAAGAUUAGAGGGAAUAGGCUUUCAUGAUAUGCACAUAUUAACCAAGCCCUCCUCGCAAGACAAGGGUGGCGACUCCUCCAAAGACUGGAUAGCCUUUGUGCGAGAGUCCUAAAGUCGAAAUACUACCCUAAGGGAAACCUGUUGGAUGUUGUGUUUGCCUCUGAUGCUUCACAAGCAUGGAGGGGCAUCGAACAUGGGAACAAACUUCUGAAAAAAGGCUUGAUAUGGAGAGUGGGAAAUGGAAAACACAUCCAUUUCCAAAGGGAGUAGUGGGUUCCUAGGAAAAUGGCCUUAAGGUGACCGAAUUCAAGAGGAGAUCUAGACUGAGGUGGGUAAAUCAGCUCAUGGUUCAGGAAAGAAAGGAAUGGAAUGAGGCAUUGGCACACCAACGGUUCCAUAGUUUUGGUGCAAAGGAAAUCUGUAAGAUUAAAAUCCCUAGGAAGGAUGUGGAGGAUUGUGUGGCUUGGCAUAAAAAACGAGAGAUCAGGCGUAUUCUCUGCCCAUUGCGCGUAUAAGUUGGGCACUCAACUGAAACACCAAGUUAGUGUAAAAGCGUCGAGCUCGGGAUGCGAUGCUGACAACAAGAGUAUAUGGGAUAACAUAUGGAAAGCAAAAGUGCGUGAGAAAAUUCGGAUUUUUGCAUGGCGGGUAGCCACUGAGACCUUACCUACAAAAGAAAAUAAACAGAAGAGAACAUUAGAGGUAGAAAACACUUGUGACAUCUGCGGCACUGAGAAAGAGGAUGAAGUUCAUGCGGUGAUCAAUUGUACCAAAGCCAAGGUGCUUCGAAAUGAGAUGAGGGCACACUGGGUGCUACCAGCAGAGGAUCACUUUCAAUACAUAGGCAUUAUUGGCUUCAAAAUCUGCUCGGUUCUUGUACUACCAAAGAGCGCGCCAAGAUCCUCCUGCUACUGUGGCGUGCGUGGUGGCUUUGGGAUGACCGCAUCCAUGCUAAAGGCAGGCGUUGGUUGGCCAGCCAGUCCAAUUCUUAGUGAAAUAUGCUGAAGAAAUUAGAACAUGCGAGCCUCAUAGCACGGAGUAUGAGGACACGGUCCAGGAGGCUGGCCAGAAUGACUAUAUGGUUGUGUGAGAAGAGAUUAAGAAAGGGAAACAAACAAUUGAUUUGAAGCAUAGCAGUGUCACUGUUGAUCGAGGAAAAGAUAAUUAACAUGCGGUCCUGUCAUUGAUUGCCAAGCAACCGCACGGGCAUCUGCAAGCAAUAGGAGGUCAGUGGGAGUCACCGAUAGAAGGCGUUUGGAAGUUAAACAUUGAUGCAUCAUUCAUUUAGGAUACAAGGGAAACUACAACGGGUUUCAUCGACAGGAACUGGACUGGUCAAGUUGUUGUCUCAAGUGGACAACGCUUGCCGUCGUGUAGAGACCCGAAAGAAGCCGAGCUUGCCGCUGUGUUGCAUGUCCUCUCAGUGUUAGGCAAUCUCUAAAGAGGGCCACUUGUGUGGAGAUGGACUGCUCGUCCAUCCCUGCUGCCCUGAAUUGCAAAUCAAAUAAUCAGUCUGCACUCUUGACCUUAGUUAUAGAUACCUGGGAUCAGAUGAAAGUGUUCCAUAAUAUCACUGCCAAGGCUGUGAGACGAACUAGUAACAAAAUGGCACAUGAGCUGACCGCUUUUGCUAGAAGAAAUGGAGAUUUCAAGAUGUUCACAUAUGUUCCUGUACACCUAAGAGACUCCCUCAAGGAGGAUUGUAACAUCUCUCCUGUGGUAACUUAAUUACAGGUUGAGCCCGUCCCUCGAAAAAGAACUGAAAGUGCAAGUGGCACUUAUACUAUAUUUUGGUGUGAUGACAAUGUGGUUAGUUGAACUAAUAUCGGUUACUAAAGUUUAUCUCAGGAUACUGGUUCCAAGUGCUCCGUGAUGGAGAUGUGCGACCCCCCCAAUUCAAAAAGGUCAAAUGUGUGGUUUUCCGGCAAAUCAAAGGUUUAGUUGUUGGUUUGCUUCGAGUCAUAGGAAAGACCGCACUAUUAAGAGGGGUUUGUGUGGAUGAAAGUUGUGUGGGAAUGCCAUUGCCGAACCAUAUACACUUAGCCUACCCACUCCUACCACCUAAAGUCCUAGUGUGUGUGCUUGUGGUACUCAGAAAGUUUGUGACAACAAGUUACUGGGUACCCCGUGCGCACGGGGUCUUUGGACCCCCGUGCGCAUGGGGUACUGCGUAACUCUCUGAAUACCCCGUGCGCAUGGGGUCUUUUGACCCCCGUGCGCACGGGGUUCUACGUAACUCUCUGAGUACCCCGUGCGCACGGGGUCUUUUGACCCCCUUGUGCACGGGGUGCUGUGAAACUCUUUGAGUACCCCGUGCACACAUGGCUGACUUAGCCCGUGCACACGGGGUCCAACGGGCAGAUUUCCCCACCCGGCCAUGAACACUAUAUAAAGCCUCUUCUUCCACUUCCAACCCCUAACCCUAAUGUCUUGUUGAGCUCCACCAUUGCUACACCUCAUUUUGCUCAAUACUCUCAAUCCCUCCUCCCAAACUUGUUGAAACUUUGGGGAUUGGGAGAGCAAGACCCGAUCUACAUCUUGACCAAACCAAAUUGCGUUUCCCGCAACAUUUCUUCCCCAUUGACUUGUUACUCUUGGAGCUUGGGCUCCUAGGCGGUUAGAGGUUCCUUCGGAAGCUUCCUUGCUCAUGGUGUGCUCCAGAGAAGUUUGUAAAGGUGUGGUGGUCGCCUUCAAGACCAACCCCGAGUGAUUCGAGGCUCAUCCGUUGGGGGUGACUCGAAGGAGAUUACGAUGAGCCUUCGGUGACGUUCCGCAAGCUUUGGCUCCGGCACCGCUCCAAAUGGAAAGUAGCUCUUCCCCAAGGAAGAGUGAACUUCGGGUUAAAAUCCGCGUCCUCGUCUCUCUUGUGGUUAAUCCUUUCCCGCACCUUACUUUGCCUUCUCUACUUGUUGGCUUGCUACUUAUCUUGUUGCCUAGCUUUCUAUCUUGGAGCUUGCUUGUCAUGUAGGUUGCAUUCACCUAGUUACAUUUCAUGUGAACCCUUUUUAUCCGCUAAGCCUUAAAAUUGACCAAGCAGAUUAAAAUUUGUAGUCUCCUAUUCACCCCCCCUCUAGGCGACCAUAUCUAUCCUUUCAAGAACGAAGGAUGCAUCUGUAUUGAGUUUCAUUCAUUCUUCUUCAGGUCUCAGCCACACAGUUGGUGGAUUUACCAGUUCAGACGUAGCCGCAGGUACAGCAGAAAAAGCACAAUUCAGCAUAGCACAUUUCCCCUUCAAGGGGUCUUUCUCCGGCUCUUUGGUGAUUGUCAAAAUGGACUGAACAUAGCUUCUAAGAAAGCGUAUAGAAACCUGAACUGGUGGUGCUGGUUUAUCAUGUACUACCUUAUUCCGAACGUACCAAAUUCUCCAUAAGAGCAUAACCAGAUGCAGGCACUGCUCAUCAGGAAAAUUGCACGGGGCAUGGAGAAGCCAUUCCGGGCAUGUGUUCAUCAUGUUUUUAAUAUCAUGGAUAGGCCAAAUAUCAGCCAUUCCAAGCCAAAGAGUCCUGGCAUUUGUGCAUCAACACAAAACAUGAAACAUGUCUACUUUUUCAGUGCCACAAACUCGACAUAAAUCAACAACCUCCAACUUCCUAGCAUGCUUCAAAUCCCAAGUUGAAAGUGAGUUGUUUGCAACACGCCAAGCAAAAAUGCGGGUCUUUGGUGGAGCAUUACAAGACCAAAUAGCUGACCAAGCUCUUCGUUCUCCAUCAAGAGAGUCACUGGAAGAAGAUUGAUUGAGCUGGUUCAUUUCUUCAAAGGCAAUCCUAUAUGCGCUACGAACCGCGAAGAUGCAUGUAUUCUCUCCAGCCCAAGCGAUAGAACCCUCGUUGCGCACGGAAUCCUUGAUCUUCAAGAUUAUAUCAGCAUCAAGCGAAAACCAGUGACAGACUAUAGCAAUGUCCCAAUUGCCAUCGAUAUCCAAGAGUUCAGACACCCACUUCAACCUGCAAUACCCCUUGGCAGAGAUUAUUUGGAAGGGUUUUUUGAGGGAUCCAUCUAUCUCUCCAUAUUUGCACUUGGGUGCCAUUUCCAAUCCCCCAUAUUAGCCCUCUUUUUCAAAAGCUCAACACCAUGAGCUACUCCUUGCCAUGAUGAUGACGGGUUCCCAACAAAAACAAAGGUAGUAUUUUGCACGUAGGACACAUGCACAAAGACUGUCCGGGAUUGUCAGGAGACGCCAAGCUUUCUGCGCAAGUAAGGCUUGGUUAAACAACCUGAAAUCCCAGAAACCAAUACCACCCAUACACUUCGGUUUAGUAAUCUCCUCCCAAGAUUUCCAAUGGGUUUUCCCUUUUACCUUUUUCUGAGCACCACCAAUAAUUGCAGAUCGUCUGAUUUAGUUCAUCGCAAAGUCCUAGAGGCAGUUUAAAGAUACUCAUGAUGUAAGUGGCAAUGGACUUUAUAAAAACUUCUUUACCACCUUGUGAGGGGCAUCCCCAAAGAAACAUUCUCUUUGUGAGCUUGACUUGUAGAUUCUGGAAUUUACCUUUUGUCAUACGACCAUCAGGAGUCGGUAAACCAAGGUAUCUCUCUUCAAAAUUUAUUGUAUUUGCUUGGAGCAUGGCUCUGACUUCAUGCUGUCGAAUAAUGGGACAAGAUUCCCCAAAAAGGAUAGAGCAUUUAGCAGGGUUGAGUAAUUGUCCGGUAGCAGCAGUAUAAGCAUUCAAAAUACUCUUAACAUGCAUUACCUAAGAUUGUUUGGCUUCAAAGAAUAGGAGUGUAUCAUCAGCAAACAAUAAAUGAGAGAUUCCCAGGGCUCUACGACAUAUCUUCACGGGAUAAGCGUUCCCUAGUUUGGUUGCACUGUCAAAUAGAGUAGACAGACCGUCUGCAACAAACAGGAAUAGGAAUGGGGAUAGAGGAUCACCUUGUUGUAGCCCACGCGACGGUGCAAAUGAAUCCAAGAUUGUUCCAUUUAGUUUUAUGGAAUAUCUCACAAUGGUGACACAUGUCAUUAUCCAGUCAACCCAUUUGUGAGUAAAACCAAUCUUUUCCAUCGUUUGCCUAAGGUAAUUCCAAUCAACCCUAUCAUAAGCCUUGGAAAGAUCAAUCUUGUGAGCACAUAAGCCUUCUUCUGGGUCCUUCUCUUGCUUGAUAUAAUGAAUGCACUCAAAUGCAAUUAAGACAUUAUCUGUGAUCAUUCUACCCGGAAUAAAUGUACCCUGAGUAGGAGAAACAAUAUCAUCGAGUACAAGUCUCAGUCUAUUCACCAGGAACUUAGCAACAACUUCAUAGAUAACAUUACAAAGGCUAGGGAAAAAAUCUAUUAAUUUAACCGGAUUUGGAAUUUUCGGAAUCAGAACAAUGAUUGUAUCAUUAACAGAAUCCGGCAUGAUACCUGAGUUAAAGAAUUCCUUAACUGCUGCUAUAACAUCUGCACGGACCAUGAACCAGUUUCUUUGGAGGAAUCGAGCAGGAAAUCCAUCCAAUCCCGGGGUCUUUAGCGGUCCAAUUUGGAAAAUAGCAUCCGCUAUCUCCUGUUCAGUAAACUCUGCACAUACAAAUUCAUUAAUUUAAUCAUUAACAUGUGGUUGCAUGAGUUGUACAAUAGGAGAUGGAUCAAGCAAGGGGUCGGCAACAAAGAUGCUUUGAAAGUAAGAAGUAGCAGCCUGGCCCAUUGCAUCUCCAGAAUGAACAACCCCAUUUGUGUCUUCAAGUUUUUAAUAUUGUUUUUCCUCGCCCGCCAAAUCGCCUUGGCAUGGAUUUUUUUUUGUAUUUUGGUCCCCUUCUUUUAACCAAGCAGUACGAGACCUUUGCAACCACAUCAUCUCUUCCCAGUAUAAUAAUUCAUUCAUUUUAUCCUCCUCCUUUCUCAGUUCAGCUUGGUCCACAUUCAUAUUCAUUAGCUCCUCUAGCCUCAUACGAGACUUCUCAAUCUCCCUAGUGAUAUUGCUAGUUUUGGCCCUGCUCCAUUGAUGCAAGGAGGUCAUUACCUGCCCUAGAGCAGGACCAAUCUCCCCAAGUUUACGUUUUUGGCCCGGAUCUUUCCACAUGUUUGCGAUAACUUCUGUGAGGGCAGAAUCCCUCUCUCACAUGAUCUCAUAGCGCUUAAAUUUCUUUGGUUUUGGGCCCAAAUCAGCUUCGCACUUGACAAGAAGUGGACAAUGAUUCGACCGAGGUGAAACAAGAUGAUGGAACGAGGCAAUAGGAAACACUGUAGGAUCAAAAGUAGGUCUAGAGGGGGUGAUUAGACUACUUGACCAAAUAAAAAUCUAACCUUUUCCCAAUUUUAAGUCUUGGCAGAUUUUACCAACUUAGCACAAGUCAAGCAAUCAACCUACACAUGCAAUUCUAAGAGUGUAGCAGUGGGAAGUAAAACAUUGCAUAUGAAGGUAAAGGGAAGGGUUUGGAGAAGGCAAACGCAAUGUAGACACGGAGAUUUUUGGCGUGGUUCCGAUAGGUGGUGCUAUCGUACAUCCACAUUGAUGGAGACUUCAACCCACGAAGGGUAACGACUGCGCGAGUCCACGGAGGGCUCCACCCACGAAGGGUCCACGAAGAAGCAACCUUGUCUAUCCCACCAUGGCCAUCGCCCAUGAAGGACUUGCCUCACUCGGGUAGAUCUUCACGAAGUAGGCGAUCUCCUUGCCCUUACAAACGCCUUGGUUCAACUCCACAAUCUUGUCAGAGGCUCCCAAGUGACAUCUAACCAAUCUAGGAGACACCACUCUCCAAAAGGUGAUAGACGGUGUGUUGAUGAUGAACUGCUUGCUCUUGUGCUUCAAAUGAUAGUCUCCCCAACACUUAACUCUCUCUCACCGAUUUGGCUAUGGUGGAAAGAAGAUUUGAGUGGAAAGCAACUUGGGGAAGGCUAGAGAUCAAGAUUCUUGUGGUUGGAUUAGAAUGUCUUAGUCUCAACACAUGAGUAGGUGGUUCUCUCUCAAAAAAUGAGUAGUGGAAGUGUAGGCACAUUCCGAUGGCUCUCUCUCAAAUGGAGAUGGGGGUGGAGGGGUAUAUAUAGCCUCCACACAAAAUCCAACAGUUACACACAUUUAACCCAACUAGGUCAAACCGAAUAGAAGAACUGGUGAGACCGAUUCAGUUCAAAAUGUGGAUGUUAGGAAUCUCGGUGGUACCGAUAUGAUCAACUCUGUGGGACAGAUGUGCUAGGGCUAGGGGAAAGCCUCAUCUCAGUGAGACCAAUUGCAUAAACUCGGUGAGACCGAUUUCAGCAAUGAGCAAACAGAGAGUUGGUCAAGCAAACUCGAUGGUACCGAUCGCUCAUUUCGCUGAGACCGAAACGUUACAAAGGGAAACAGAGAGUUUGCAAUGCGAACUCGGUGGGACUGAUCGCUCAUUUCGGUGAUAUCGCAACAUUAUGAAUGGAAAUAGAUAGUUUGCAAUGUCAUCUCGGUGAGACCCAAAGCCGUAUCGGUGAGACUGAAUUGUCUAGGGUUUCUGGCAGUGGCUAUGUCAACAGAACACGGUGGCGCCGGAUAGAACAAAUCGGUGAGGCCGAGUUUGACUUUAGGUUUUGGACAUAUGUGGAAAUGAGAAAGUGUCUGAGGGUUUUGGAGUAAUAUCACUAAGCACUUUGAGCAAGUAGACCAUUAAGCAACACCUCAUCCCCUUUUAAUAGUAUUGACUUUCCUAUGGACUCAAUGUGAUCUUGGAUCACUAAAAUGAAAAUGAAGAGUCUUGAGCCUUUGCCAAUCUUUGUCCUUAGCAUUUUGAGGGGUCCACAUCUCUAGUCCAUGCCAUGCCAAUCAUUAAACUUUCUGAAAUAUUUAACUUAAAUGGAUAUUAGUUCAAUGAGAUAUAUGUUGUUAUGAAUUAGCAAAACCACCCAGGGAUUAGUUGCACUUUCAAUCUCCCCCUUUUUGGUAAUUGAUGACAACAUAUAGAUCAAAGCUUCGACAAAUGAUAAUAUGAAUGAAAUACAUCAUCGCUUUGAGAAGUAUGUGAUAAUCAAGAGCUCUUCCUAAAUUUGUGCAUUAUUUAAAAUUUGCUUUUGAAUGCAAAUGCACAAUCGGUUAGGAUCAUGGGUAACUCUUCCAUGUCACAUACAUCUUGGUGGAGCGCUCAAAAUGAUAAGCUAUAAAGAAUAUGCACUCAUCACCAAGGGCAAACAUCAUUGAUCAUACACAAGUAUCAUAGAUAUCAUCAAGCAAGCACACAUAAAAGCAUAGUAUGAUCAAGCAGAUGAUCAUAAGAGUAUCUCACACACAAGCACAAAUAUUGUAGCAUGCAUCAAACAAGAAAACGAUCAAAACAAAUGAUUAAACCAGCAAAAGAGGCAACAAAAGGCAAAACACACUCUCUCUCUCUCGAAGCCUAAUGAUCCAUACUCUCUCUCUCUCUCUCGAAGCCUAAUGAUCUAUAGACGUUUUCCCCCUUUGGCAACAAGUUACCAAAAAGCUUGAAAAUGCAUAGUGCUAUGCGGCACUCUAGGCACGAUCUCUGGGAGCUCCUGAAGAUGUCUUCUAGUUGGUUGCUCCGUGUGCAUAGAUGGCGUGGAGAGGAGUCCGUCAGCAAAAGCUUCAGCUGCCGGCUGUGGAGCUGGAGGAGUUGAAACCAGAGGUAUGACUAAGGCAGUUGCUGCAGGUGCUGACAUGUAGUCCUGGUAUCACUGACAACUGGCACAUCCGAAGACCUUUGUGCCCUUGGAACUUGCUGAAAAGCAUCAGUGGUUGGUCUGUCACUCCUAUCCUCAAUCUCUUCCUAGAGUCUCUCCACAAUAGAUUGGAUCUCUGUGACCUUCACAUCUAGAUCAUGGAAUUUGGUCUCAAUGAUCCUCUCAAGACUUUCAUGAUUCUGAGUCAGGGUGGCCAAGCCCUUCUCAAUCCUCACAGUAGCCUCAAGCAGAUAACUGAGUUGAUCUUGCUUGGUCUUGAGCAUCACUUGUGAAGCAUCUGGUACACUAGCUAUUUUGCUGCUUUUGCAGCCUUUGCUUUCUCUCUUUUCUCCUGGGCUUCUGCACAAGUUGGAUGAGAUGCAUACAUGACAACCUCAUUAUCCUCAAAUUCUGGCCUCAGGUAAAGGCUCUCUUUGUCAAGAAGAUAUGUCCUUGUCCCCAUCUUGGAGUUGAUUAGCAUCUGUAUAUGAGGGGCAUAUCCACAUGAUCUCUUCUGAUCAGCUGCAGUUCUCUUCAAUGUUUCAACAAUCAGACUCAUCACCUUGAAUUUUUGGCAUUGGGGCCUUGUUCUUCUCAGCAGCAGGGAUGUUUCUGGUGGAUCUCUUGGGUGCAAAAGGUUUUGAAGAUUGAGCAGAUGGCUUGGGGGCUAUCUUGGGCUUAGAUGGAGCAGCCCCAGACCUUAUAACACCCCUCAUGAGCUUUUGAGUUUUUGCAGGAGGUGCAACUGGCUCUUCCUCCUCCUCUUCUUCAGAAUCUCUUAUCAUGGAAGGUUUGACAAUAACUCUGGCACUACUAGGGAAAACCUUAUACACAUCAUCUUAGCAGUAGCGCUAGACAAAAAUGGGCGCUACUGCUACUUAGUAGUAGCAUGUUUAAAUAAACCACGCUACUGCUACUACUUUAGUAGUAGCGCGUGCUACGAAAAUGCACUCCUGCUAUGUUUGUACUGGGCGCAGAUGGCUAUCCCCCCUUAGCAGUAGCGCUUAUCUGUAACCAGUGCUACUGCUACGUCCCAUAGCAGCAGUGCGUAUCUAGGAAACGCGCUACUACUUACUUACCUUAUCCUACACGCGCCCGACCCUCUCACUCACUCGCUCUCGCUCGCGCCGGUUCCGUCGUCCGUCGCCGUCGCGCUGCUCCUCCACCAAGGUUCCUCCUCCUCCCUCCUCCCUCCUCCCUCCUCCCCCUCCUCCUUCGGUCACUCUCCUCCCAUCGCCCCUCCCUNNNNNNNNNNNNNNNNNNNNNNNNNNNNNNNNNNNNNNNNNNNNNNNNNNNNNNNNNNNNNNNNNNNNNNNNNNNNNNNNNNNNNNNNNNNNNNNNNNNNNNNNNNNNNNNNNNNNNNNNNNNNNNNNNNNNNNNNNNNNNNNNNNNNNNNNNNNNNNNNNNNNNNNNNNNNNNNNNNNNNNNNNNNNNNNNNNNNNNNNNNNNNNNNNNNNNNNNNNNNNNNNNNNNNNNNNNNNNNNNNNNNNNNNNNNNNNNNNNNNNNNNNNNNNNNNNNNNNNNNNNNNNNNNNNNNNNNNNNNNNNNNNUCCUCCUCCCUUCCCCUCCUCCCUCCAUCUCUUUUUUUUCUAUUUUUUACUGUAGUUUUUUACUAUUGUAUAAUGUAGUUUUUUUACUGAUUUAGUAAGUGUUUAGAAUAAUUAGUAAGUAAAUCAAUAAAACUAGUUGAACUAGUUUAUUUUUAGUAAGAACUAGUUGAAUUAAUAGAAGUAAUGUAUUUUUAGUAAGAAGAUUAAUAUAACUAGUUGAACUAGUUUAUUUUUAGAAAGAACUAGCUUAUUUUUAUUUAUAGUAAGUUUAUUUUUAGUAAGAACUAGUUGAAUUAGUAGGACUAGUUGAACAUGUCACAUUAUUAGUGAUCGAUGUCAUAUGUAUGAUACUAUUCGGGAUGUAUUACUGAUAAGUAAUAGGGUAUUUGUUUUUGCAGAAAAAUUAGGAGCCCCUCCAUCAUCCCCGCCGUCGUCCCCGUCACCGACCCCCUCCAACCUCGAGGUGAGACCAGCCAAAUCUCCAUGUCAAUAUGAGUCCUAUAAGAUAUGAUGUAGAUAAAAACAUGUAUAUCUUGUGUUGCUCAAAUAGGAUAUGUGGUUGCCCAAGUGACAAGUAAUGUUUGCAGGUUACACCUCCGAGUGGCCUAUGUUUUACCGCAGUGUUGAUUAAUUUCCGUUCCUGCAAAUUUCAGGCGCUCGAUAUGUCCUUUUUUAGCAAAGGUCAUGCCAGAAUUUUCUGUGAAUUUUGGCAUGACUUGUGCUAGAAUAUGUAGGAAAUAUCGAGCGGCCUGGAUUUUCUAGAAAGAUAAUUAAACGAUAUUUCGGGUUGACUUUAAGUCUGUCGAGGCCGAAGAAUCCCGACUGUUGUCGUGGCAGUCAUUUCUCCUUCUUCUCCUUGUGCUAGACCUUUGUUAUGCACUAGGGGAAGGAGGAGUAACGACCAUCACUGACGGUCAAAAAAACAGUGAGGGAGUGUGUCCACCAUAUAUGAGAGAACGAAGAAGAAUGUCGACUGUUGUCGUGGGGGUCGCUUCUCCUUCGUUCCCGUGUGCUAGACAUUUUGGUUUAAUGCACUCGGGGACGAAGGGAGGAGCGACCAUAAUCAACGGUCGAAUAUAUACUCCACAUGAGCUGAGAGUUUUCAAAAAAACUCGAUGGACCGAUAGUCAACCUGUGCUGAAUAAUAAUGAUAUAAUUUAGUUUUUGUAGUACAUAUAUUUAAUUGUACAAGUCUAAUCUUUGAAUUAUGAACAUAGGAAAUGUCGUCGGACGAAGAAGGUCCCGGGGAGUGCUCCUGGUGCAGCGACAACCAGGGUUUCUGCGACAGGCCUCACCUGGAUGAAGUUCGGCGCUUCAGCAUUAAGCUUGAGGAGGCCUUCAAUUGUGAUACGGUAAGCUAUGACGCAAAGUGUUUUUUCGUAAUUAAGCUCGACUUCUACUACUUCAACGUGUAAUUUUCGUCUUUUACAAUUUGACUAGCUUAUCCCAUGCCAUGCAAGACGCUAUGUCUUAGAAAGGAUGGGUUUUGAAGAUCAUGAGAGGAAUGAAACAAAGAAAAUUAACCUAAGGACCCAUCAUGGUAAGGAUUGUGAGGUAAAUCUAUACAACUCUGAGAGCAUAUCUCAUUUUUGUUGCCCGGGUUGAGAAGCUCUUUGCAAGAUGUAUGAUUUUCAAGAUGGUAUGUUUGUCACCAUGGAUCUUGGUGAUCCUGACAUCAACCAAGACAAUUUGGACAUUUGGGUCCUUGUUGAUACGCUUCCAAUUCUACCGCUAUGUGAGUUUUCUGAAACAUAAUUAUUAAGUAAUUUAUAUUGUUUAUUUCAAAAUAGUUGACAGAUUAUUUCCAUUGAUAGCUUAUUUUCAUUCUUCAAAGAAUGUGCGGAAGAUGGUAGACAGAACCUACUACACCGAUGGCUCUGAGUUAACUUAUAAGGAGAAAAAUCAUCUGGUCGCAUAUUGUACUAAAAUUGAGAAUUACAAUGCCUAUUAUCGAACUCCUGCACAUUAUGGUCAAUACGUGCCACUAGUGCAUGUGUUGAACCACAAUAACUUCCAUGGAGAUGCCCUGAUAAGAUUUUUUUACUAUUACGACAUCCGUGCAUCUUUUGCAUACUUCUAAAACUGAACUACAUUGCUAACUACGAAGUUAUUACUAUGUUUUUCAACAGAAAAUCCCGAUGGAUUGUGUGCCUCAUUUGAUGUAUCAGAAUGGUUGCCUUGAUGUUUUGAACAUACAGCCAGGUCGUCCUACGAAUCUCACCUGUCCAUACCGGAUUUCUAAAACCGGUGAACACAUGAUAAUCAAAGAAUGGAAAAAAUGUACGGACAAUCCUAAGGAGGUUCUUGGAAGCAACAUUGUGCGAAAGGCAAGAAUUGGAGACAGGAUAAUCUCCAUUCUCCAUAAUGGAGAGUCAGGGGCUAUAUUGUUUUAUGCUAUUUUACCUAAGAAAAUAUAGUAGGUCCUAAGAGAAUGUAGUAGGUCCUAUGAGGUACAAUAUGUUUAUGAGAGUUGAUGAUGAGGAGUAGUUGUGAUUAUGACUAGUGACCAACUUGUAUGUGAUGUCUCAUUGAUGAAAACGGUGAUCAUGCAUGAGGAGGUGUUAUAUGACAAUGAUGUAUUAUGAUGAUAAGUUGUUAAUGAUAUGAUGAUGGUGAUAUUUAUUAUAUCAUUGGGUGAAAUAACCGCAGAUUAGUUUCAACUGGAUGUCCAUCCACUUGAAACUAGUCCACGGUUCUUUCUCCCAGUGAUGUAAUAACUCAUUAUGAUGUAAAAACAAUCUCUAAAUUGCUGCGAUAUGAAAACUUGUAUAAAGGUGUAUGGAUACAACAUGAAAUAAAAAAGAAGUAAAAUACGGAAUAAUAGUAGUAGCGCGUGCUCGGAGAAGUGCUACUACUAAUUACCGAUAGCGCUGAUCGUAGAAAGCGCUGCUACUACAUCGACAUAGCAGUAGCGCGGUCCAGCCCACGCUACUGCUAGCCUUUAGCUGUAGCGCCUUACUAGUAGCGCGGUUCCCCGCACUACUGAUAGUCAUUAAACCCGCGCUACUGCUAGGGUUUUCCCUAGUAGUGUGGCCAUAGUCUUCUUGACUCUCUCCUUCCUCUUCUUUCCUCCAGCAGCCUCUUCCUCUCUUGGUUCAAGAGUGAACUCCAUGGUUUCCUAAGUGGAGGCUCUGGUGAAAGGAUCGAUAUAGUUGACUAGAGGGGGGUGAAUAGGCAACUAACAAUUUUUAGCUUUUCUUUACCAAAUUAAACUUUGCAUCAAAGUAGGUUGUCUAGAUAUGCAACUAGGUGAGCAACCUAUAUGAUGCAACAACAACAAGCACACAAGCAACCAAAGGAUACAACACAAAUAAGCUUGCACAAGUAAAGGCACGAGAUAACCAAGAGUAGAGCCGGUGAAGACGAGGAUGUGUUACCGAAGUUCCUUCCUUUUGAGCGGAAGUACGUCUCCGUUAGAGUGGUGUGGAGGCAUAAUGCUCCCCAAGAAGCCACUAGGGCCACCGUAUUCUCCUCGCGCCCUCACACAAUGCGAGAUUCCACUAUUGGUGCCCUUGAAGGCGGCGAUCGAACCUUUACAAACAAGGUUGGGGCAAUCUCCAAAACUUAAUUGGAGGCUCCCAACGACACCACGGAGAUUCACCACAAUGGACUAUGGCUCCGCGAUUACCUCAAUUGUCUAGGGUGCUCAAACACCCAAGAGUAACAAGAUCCUCUAGGGAUUAGUGGGGGAUCAAAUUUCUCUUGGUGUAAGUGUAGAUCGGGGCCUUCUCAACCAAUCCCGAGCAAAUCAACAAGUUUGAUUGGCUAGGGAGAGAGAUCGGGCGAAAAUGGAGCUUGGAGCAACAAUGGAGCUUAGGGUUGGAAGAGAUGGUCAACUAGAGGAAGAAGACACCCCUUAUAUAGUGGAGAGACAAAUCCAACCGUUAUCCACUAACCAGCCCGCGACCUGCGAUACUACCGCAAGGGCUCACAGUACUACCACGGCGGACCGCAGUACUACCGCUGCUACGGCAGGAGCUAGCCUAGGCCUGAACCGCAAAGGCUGAGGGCGGUACUGCCGCUGACGCGGUACUACCCCUCCCCCUUGCGGUACUACCGCAAGGCAGGAUUGGACUAUCCUGGGAAGGGCGCGGAUGAAUAAAAAUACAUCCAUGCCAACUUCCGCUGAAAAAUAAACAAUGCGAAAUUCCGACACGGUACUACCGCGCAGGGAGCGGAUGUAAAAAAUUAUAUCUGCCCCUACUUUCGCUCAUGUUGUCGUGCCAGACCAGGACUCACGGUACUACCGCGUGCAUGGGGCGGUACUACUAUGCAGGGCGUGAAUGUAAAAAAUUACAUACACCCCUACAGCCGCACGAGCGGAUAAGUCUAGUCCGAGGCCACGGUACUACAACUCCUCAGGAGCGGUACUACCAUGGGCACCUACGGUACUACCGCAACCUCGUGCGGUACUACCGCAGGUGCCUGCGGUACUACCGCUCCUAGGAGCAGUACUACUGCAUGCCCCUGAACAGCAACACUAGGAAUCCUUCUCUUUUGCAUAUAUAUGAAGAAAAUGGAGGAUGCUCCAAAGUGCAAAGGGAAAGACAGUGCAGAGGGAGUAAACGUGUACGUGAUGAUUCCACCCGAACCUUUCCAACGCGGACCCCCUCUUAAUAGUACGGCUUUCCUACGACUCAAAUCCACCGAAAAGAAACAUAGAAAAAUGUUGUCUUCAAUAAUCUUCGAGGGGCACCAAACCAUCUUGUGCCUAGUGACGAAACAUCUGAAAUACUCAAGGCACACGAUUAGUCCGCAAAAGCAUUGUCAUCAAUCACCAAAACACCUUAGGGAUAAAUAUGCCCUUACAAUCUCCCCCUUUUUGGUGGAUUGAUGACAAUACGGGAUUUGCACAAGGGGACAUAAUAUAGAACAUAAGCAAACCCCACAUCUCUAAAAUAUAGACGGGCUCCCCUAGAUGCGUGCUAUCUAGAUAAGUGCUUUGGACUGCACGACAUGUAUACUAGGAUCAACACUCCCCCUAUAUUUUCGAGACAAUGCAUAUCUUGCAACAAUAAGGCUAACACUAAACAAGAUAGUAAAUAUGAGCAUAGCAUAAAUAGCACAAUAUAUCAUAGGCUCAAUAAGGUCCGAUAGAGUGCAUAUGUCUUACACCAUAUGAAGGAACAAGUCUCUCGAGCAAACUAAACCAAAGCAAGCAAGGUUCAACGGAACAAAUGCGAGCAAAUCAAACACAAGCACGACACAAGACUCGCAAAUCCCUACACUCUCUCCCCCUUUGGCAUCGAGACGCCAAAAAGGCAGAGAGGACACCUACAACACAAGUGGUGGCUCAGGCUGAAAACGACUCAUCGUCGGACUCAGCAGCAGGGAUGGGCUCCUCCGUCUCCUCCUCAGACUCAGUCCACAUGAGGCCUUGCUUGGCCAUCCAGUCUGCCUCGGGAGUGAUGUGCUUCUUGGAUCCGCUAGACACCUCCUCGCCAAGCUUCCUCAAGAUCCCCUUGUCGCGACAUCGACUCUGCUUCUGAGCAACAUGUUGUUGGGGAACGUAGCAGAAAUUCAAAAAUUUCCUACGAGUCACCAAGAUCUAUCUAUGGAGAGACUAGCAACGAGAGAGAGGAGUGCAUCUACAUACCCUUGUAGAUCGCGAGCGGAAGCGUUCAAGAGAACGGGGUUGAGGGAGUCGUACUCGUCGUGAUCCAAAUCACCGAAGAUACUAGUGCCGAACGGACGGCACCUCCUCGUUCAACACACGUGCAGCCCGGUGACGUCUCCCGUGCCUUGAUCCAGCAAGGGGAGAGGGAGAGGUUGGGGAAGACUCCGUCCAGCAGCAGCACGACGGCGUGGUGGUGGUGGAGGAGCGUGGCACUCCAGCAGGGCUUCGCCAAGCAUUGCGAGAGACGAUGAGGGAGAGGGGUAGGGCUGCGCCAGGGAGAGGAAAACUCAUGUGUUUGGCAGCCCCAAAACCCCCACUAUUUAUAGAGGAAGUGGAGAGGGGUCCGGUCCCCUCCAGAUCCCAUCUAGAGGGGAGGGGCGGCGGCCAGGAGGGGUGCCUUGCCCCCCAAGCAAGGUGGAGGCGCCCCCUCCCCUAGGGUUUUCAACCCUAGGCACCUUGGGCCCUGGUGGGGGGUGCACCAGCCCACCUGGGGCUGGCCCCUCCCACACUUGGCCCACGCAGCCCUCUGGGGCCGGUGGCCCCACCUGGUGGAGUCCCGGGACCCUCCCGGUGGUCUCGGUACGUUACCGAUAGCACCCGAAACUUUUCCGGUGACCAAAACAUGACUUCCCAUAUAUAAAUCUUUACCUCGGACCAUUCCGGAACUCCUCGUGACGUCCGGGAUCUCAUCCGGGACUUCAAACAACAUUCGGUAACCACGUAUAUCUAUUCCCUAUAACCCUAACGUCAUCGAACCUUAAGUGUGUAGACCCUACGGGUUCGGGAACCAUGCAGACAUGACCGAGACAACUCUCCGGCCAAUAACCAACAGCGGGAUCUGGAUACCCAUGUUGGCUCCCACAUGUUCCACGAUGAUCUCAUCGGAAGAACCACGAUGUCAAGGAUUCAAUCAAUCCCGUAUACAAUUCCCUUUGUCUAGCGGUAUAGUACUUGCCCGAGAUUCGAUCGUCGGUAUCCCGAUACCUUGUUUAAUCUCGUUACCGGUAAGUCUCUUUACUCGUUCCGUAACACAUCAUCCCGCGAUCAACUCCUUGAUCACAUUGUGCACAUUAUGAUGAUGUCCUACCGAGUGGGCCCAGAGAUACCUCUCCGUCACACGGAGUGACAAAUUCGAGUCUCGAUUCGUGCCAACCCAACAGAAACUUUCGGAGAUACCCGUAGUGCACCUUUAUAGCCACCCAGUUACGUUGUGACGUUUGGCACACCCAAAGCAUUCCUACGGUGUCUGGGAGUUGCACAAUCUCAUGGUCUAAGGAAAAGAUACUUGACAUUUAGAAAAGCUUUAGCAUACAAACUACACGAUCUUGUGCUAGGCUUAGGAUUGGGUCUUGUCCAUCACAUCAUUAUCCUAAUGAUGUGAUCCCAUUAUCAACGACAUCCAAUGUCCAUGGCCAGGAAACUGUAACCAUCUAUUGAUCAACGAGCUAGUCAACUAGAGGCUUACUAGGGACAUGGUGUUGUCUAUGUAUCCACACAUGUAUCUGAGUUCCCUAUCAAUACAAUUCUAGCAUGGAUAAUAAAAAAUUAUCAUAAACAAGGAAAUAUAAUAAUAACCAUUUUAUUAUUGCCUCUAGGGCAUAUUUCCAACAGUCUCCCACUUGCACUAGAGUCAAUAAUCUAGUUCACAUCACUAUGUGAUUGUAAUGAAUCGACACCCAUGGGGUUUGAUCAUGUCUCGCUUGUGAGAGAGGUUAUUAGUCAACGGAUCUGAACCUUUCAGAUCCGUGUGUGCUUUGCAAAUCUCUAUGUCAUCUCCUAGAUGCAGCUACCACGCUCUAUUUGGAGCUAUUCCAAAUAACUGUUCUACUAUACGAAUCCGGUUUACUACUCAGAAUAAUCCGGAUUAGUGUCAAAGUUCGCAUCAGCGUAACCCUUUACGACAAACUCUUUUACCACCUCCAUAAUCGAGAAAAUUCCUUAGUCUACUAGUUACUAAGGAUAAGUUUGACCGAUGUCCUGUGAUCCAUUCCUGGAUCACUCUUGUACCCCUUGACUGACUCAUGGCAAGGCACACUUCUGGUGCGGUACACAGCAUAGCAUACUAUAGAGCCUACGUCUGAAGCAUAGGGGACGACCUUCGUCCUUUCUCUCUCUUCUGCCGUGGUCAUGUCUUGAGUCUUACUCAAUACUCACACCAUAUAACACAGCCAAGAACUCCUUCUUUGCUGAUCUAUUUUGAACUCCUUCAAAAUCUUGUCACGGUAUGUAUUCAUUUGAAAGUACUAUUAAGCGCUUUGAUCUAUCCUUAUAGAUCUUGAUGCUCAAUGUUCAAGUAGCUUAAUCCAGGUUUUCCAUUGAAAAACAUUUUUCAAAUAACCCUAUAUGCUUUCCAGAAAUUCUACAUCAUUUUUGAUCAACAAUAUGUCAACAACAUAUACUCAUCAGAAAUGCUAUAGUGCUCCCACUCACUUCUUUGGAACUACAAGUUUCUCAUAAACUUUGUAUAAACCCAAAAUCUAUGAUCAUCUCAUCAAAGCAUAUAUUCCAACUCCGAGAUGCUUACUCCAGUCCUUAGAAGGAUUGCUGGAGCUUUGCAUACUUGUUAGCAUCUUUCAGGGUUGACAAAACCUUCUGGUUGUAUCACAUACAACCUUUCCUCAAGAAUAUCGUCGAGGAAACAAUGUUUUGACAUCCUAUCUGCAAGAUUUCAUAAAUCAUGUAGUAAUUGCUAAUAUAAUUCCAACAGACUCUUAGCAUCGCUACGAAUGAGAAAGUCUCAUCGCAGUCAACUCCUUGAACUUGUCGGAAAACAUCUUAAUGACAAGUCGAGCUUUCUUAAAGGUGAUACUUACCAUCAUUGUCCGUCUUUCUUUUCAAAUCCAUAUGUACCCAACAGCCUUACGACCAUCAAGUAGUUCUUCCAAAGUCUAUACUUUGUUUUCAUACAUGGAUCCUCUCUCAGAUUUUAUGGCCUCGAGCCAUUUGUCAGAAUCCGGGCCCACCAUCGCUUCUCCAUAGCUCGUAGGUUCAUUGUUGUCUAGCAACAUGACCUCCAAGACAGGAUUACUGUACCACUCUGAAGCAGUACGUGUCCUUGUCGACCUACGAGGUUUGGUAGUGACUUGAUCUGAAGUUUCAUGAUCACUAUCAUCAACUUCCACUUCAAUUGGUGUAGGUGCCACAGGAACAACUUCCUGUGCCCUGCUACACACUGGUUGAAGUGAUGGUUCAAUAACCUUAUCAAGUCUCCACCAUCCUCCCACUCAAUUCUUUCGAGAGAAACCUUUCCUCGGGAAAGGACUGUUUCUAGAAACAAUCACUUUUGCUUUCGGAUCUGAAAUAGGAGGUAUACCCAACUGUUUUGGGUGUCCUAUGAAGAUGUAUUUAUCCGCUUUGGGUUCGAGCUUAUCAGGAUGAAACUUUUUCACAUAAGCGUCGCAGCCCCAAACUUUCAAGAAACGACAGCUUAGGUUUCUCUAAACCAUACUUCAUACGGUGUCAUCUCAACGGAAUUACAUGGUGCCCUAUUUAAAGUGAAUGUGGUUGUCUCUAAUGCCCAACCCAUGAAUGAUAGUGGUAAUCGAUAAGAGACAUCAUGGUAUGCCCCAUAUCCAAUAGGGUGCAUCUAUGAUGUUCGGACACACCAUCACACUAUGGUGUUCCAGGCGGUGUUAGUUGUGAAACAAUUUCCACAAUGUCUCAAUUGUGUACCAAACUCGCAACUCAGAUAUCCAUCUCUAUGAUCAUAUCACAGACAUUUUUAUCCUCUUGUCACGAAGAUCUUCAACUUCACUCUGAAAUUACUUGAACCUUUCAAUAAUUCAGACUUGCGUUUCAUCAAGUAAAUAUACAACAUCUACUCAAAUCAUCUGUGAAGUAACAACACAACGAUAUCCACUGCAUGCCUCAACACUCAUUGGACUACACACAUCAAAAUGUGUUACUUCCAACAAGUUGCUUUCUUGUUCCAUUUCACUGAAAACGAGGCCUUUCAGUCAUCUUGCCCAUGUGGUAUGAUUUGCAUGACUCAAGUGAGUCCAAACGAUCCAUCUGCAUGGAGUUUCUUCAUGCGUAUAUACCAAUAGACAUGGUUCGCAUGUCUCAAUCUUUUAAAAAACGAGUGAGUCCAAAGAUCCAUCAACAUGGAGCUUCUUCAUGCGUUUUAUACCAAUAUGACUUACAUGGCAGUGCCACAAGUAGGUGGUACUAUCAUUACUAUCUUAUAUCUUUUGGCAUGAACAUGUGCAUCACUACGAUCGAGAUUCAAUAAACCAUUCAUUUUAGGUGCAAGACCGUUGAAGGUAUUAUUCAAAUAAACAGAGUAACCAUUAUUCUCCUUAAAUGAAUAAUGGUAUUGUGAUAGACAUAAUCCAAUCAUGUCUAUGCUCAAAGCAAACACCAAAUAACAACUAUUUAGGUUUAACACCAAUCUUGAUGGUAGAGGGAGCAUGCGAUGCUUGAUCACAUCAAUCUUGGAAAUACUUCCAACACAUAUCGUCACCUCGCCUUUAGCUAGUCUCCAUUUAUUCCGUAGCCUUUUAUUUCGAGUUACUAACACUUAGCAACUGAACUGGUAUCUUAAUACCCUGGUGCUACUAGGAGUACUUGUAAAGUACACAUUUAAUUCAAUGUAUAUCCAAUAUACUUCUGUCAACCUUGCCAGCCUUCUCAUCUACCAAGUAUCUAGGGUAGUUCUGCUUCAGUGACCGUUCCCUCAUUACAGAAGCACUUAGUUUCGGGUUUGGGUUCAACCCUAGGUUUCUUCACUGGUGCAGCAACUGAUUUGUCGUUUCAUGAAGUACCCCUUCUUGCCCUUGCCCUUCUUGAAACUAGUGGUUUCACUAACCAUCAACGAUUGAUGCUCCUUCUUGAUUUCUACUUUUGCGGUGUCAAACAUCGUGAAUAUUUCAAGGAUCAUCAUAUCUAUCCCUGAUAUGUUAUAGUUCAUCACGAAGCUCUAGUAGCUUGGUGGCAAUGUCUUUGGAGAAACAUCACUAUCUCAUCUGGAAGAUUAACUCCCACUCGAUUCAAGUGAUUGUUGUGCCCAGACAAUCUGAGUACAAGUUCAACGAUUGAGAUUUUCUCCCUUAGUUUGUAGGCUAAGAAGCUCGUCGGAGGUCUUAUACCUCUUAACGUGGGCAUGAGCCUGAAAUCCCAAUUUCAGCCCUUGGAACAUCUCAUAUGUUCCGCGACGUUUCUAAAACGUCUUUAGCGCCUCAAUUCUAAACCGUUUAACAUUACUGAACUAUCACGUAGUCAUCAAAACAUGUACGUCAGAUGUUCGCAACAUCCACAGACGACGUUCGAGGUUCAGCACACCAAGCGGUGCAUUAAGGACAUAAGCCUUCUACGCAGCAAUGAGGACAAUCCUCAAUUUACGGACCCAGUUCGCAUAAUUGCUACUAUCAACUUUCAACUAAAUUUUCUCUAGGAACAUAUCUAAAACAGUAGAACUAAAACGCGAGCUACGACAUAAUUUGCAAAAACCUUUUGACUAUGUUCAGGAUAAUUAAGUUCAUCUAAUGAACUCCCACUCAGAUAGACAUCCCUCUAGUCAUCUUAAGUGAUACAUGAUCCGAGUCAACUAGGCCGUGUCCGAUCAUCACGUGAGACGGACUAGUCAUCAUCGGUGAACAUCUUCAUGUUGAUCGCAUCUACUAUACGACUCAUGUUCGACCUUUCGUUCUCUUGUGUUCCGAGGCCAUGUCUGUACAUGCUAGGCUCGUCAAGUCAACCUAAGUGUUUCGCGUGCGUAAAUCUGGCUUACACCCGUUGUAUGUGAACGUUAGAAUCUAUCACACCCGAUCAUCACAUGGUGCUUCGAAACAAUGAACUUUCACAACGGUGCACAGUUAGGGGGAACACUUUCUUAAAAUUAUUAUGAGGGAUCAUCUUAUUUACUACCGUCGUUCUAAGAAAAUAAGAUGCAUAAACAUGAUAAACAUCACAUGCAAUCAAAAAGUGACAUGAUAUGGCCAAUAUCAUCUUGCUCCUUUUGAUCUCCAUCUUCGGGGCUCCAUGAUCAUCAUCGUCACCAGCAUGACACGAUGAUCUCCAUCAUCAUGAUCUCCAUCAUCGUGUCUCCAUGAAGUUGUCUCGCCAACUAUUACUUCUACUACUAUGGCUAACGGUUUAGCAAUAAAGCAAAUUAAUUACAUGACGUUUAUGUUGACACGCAAUACAUAAAUAAAUUAAGACAACUCCUAUGGCUCAUGCCGGUUGUCAUACUCAUCGACAUGCAAGUCGUGAUUCCUAUUACAAGAACAUGAUCGAUCUCAUACAUCACAUAUCAUUCAUCACAUUCUUUUGGCCAUAUCACAUCACAUAGCAUACCCUGCAAAAACAAGUUAGAUGUCCUCUAAUUGUUGUUUGCAUGUUUUACGUGGCUGCUAUGGGUUUCUAGCAAGAACGUUUCUUACCUACGCAAAUGCCACAAUGUGAUAUGCCAAUUGCUAUUUACCCUUCAUAAGGACCCUUUUCAUCGAAUCCGAUCCGACUAAAGUGGGAGAGACUGGCACCCGCUAGCCACCUUAUGCAACAAGUGCAUGUCAGUAGGUGGAACCUGUCUCACGUAAGUGUACGUGUAAGGUCGGUCCGGGCCGCUUCAUCCCAUAAUACCGUCGAAACAAGAUAGGACUAGUAACGGUAAGCAUAUUGAACAAAAUCAACGCCCACAACAACUUGUGUUCUACUCGUGCAUAGAAUCUACGCAAUAGACCUAGCUCAUGAUGCCACUGUUGGGGAACGUAGCAGAAAUUCAAAAAUUUCCUACAAGUCACCAAGAUCUAUCUAUGGAGAGACUAGCAACGAGAGAGAGGAGUGCAUCUACAUACCCUUGUAGAUCGCGAGCGGAAGCGUUCAAGAGAACGGGGUUGAGGGAGUCGUACUCGUCGUGAUCCAAAUCACCAAAGAUCCUAGUGCCGAACGGACGACACCUCCGCGUUCAACACACGUGCAGCCCGGUGACGUCUCCCGUGCCUUGAUCCAGCAAGGGGAGGUUGAGGAAGACUCCGUCCAGCAGCACCAUGACGGCUUGGUGGUGGUGGAGGAGCGUGGCACUCCAGCAGGGCUUCGCCAAGCAUUGCGAGAGACGAUGAGGGAGAGGGGUAGGGCUGCGCCAGGGAGAGGAAAACUCAUGUGUUUGGCAGCCCCAAAAACCCCACUAUUCAUAGGGGAAGGGGAGAGGGGGCCGGCCCCCUCCAGAUCCCAUCUAGAGGGGAGGGGCGGCGGCCAGGAGGGGUGUCUUGCCCCUCAAGCAAGGUGGAGGCGCCCCCCUCCCCUAGGGUUUUCAACCCUAGGUGCCUUGGGCCCUGGUGGGGGGCGCACCAGCCCACCUGGGGCUGGUCCCCUCCCACACUUGUCCCAGGCAGCCCUCUGGGGCCGGUGGCCCCACCUGGUGGACCCCCGGGACCAUCCCGGUGGUCCCGGUACGUUACCGGUAGCACCCGAAACUUUUCCGGUGACCAAAACAGGACUUCCCAUGUAUAAAUCUUUACCUCCGAACCAUUCCGGAACUCCUCGUGACGUUUUGGAUCUCAUCCGGGACUCCGAACAACAUUCGGUAACCACGUAUAUCUAUUCCCUAUAACCCUAGCGAACCUUAAGUCUGUAGACCCUACGAGUUCGGGAACCAUGCAGACAUGACCGAGACAACUCUCCAGCCAAUAACCAGCAGCGGGAUCUGGAUACCCAUGUUGGCUCCCACAUGUUCCACGAUGAUCUCAUCAGAUGAACCACGAUGUCAAGGGUUCAAUCAAUCCUGUAUACAAUUCCCUUUGUCUAGCGGUAUAGUACUUGCCCGAGAUUCGAUCGUCGGUAUCCCGAUACCUUGUUCAAUCUCGUUACCGGUAAGUCUCUUUACUUGUUCUGUAACACAUCAUCCCGCGAUCAACUCCUUGAUCAUAUUGUGCACAUUAUGAUGAUGUCCUACCGAGUGGGCCUAGAGAUACCUCUCCGUCACACGGAGUGAUAAAUCCCAGUUUCGAUUCGUGCCAACCCAACAGACACUUUCGGAGAUACCCGUAGUGCACCUUUAUAGCCACCCAGUUACGUUGUGACGUUUGGCACACCCAAAGCAUUCCUACGGUGUCCGGGAGUUGCACAAUCUCAUGGUCUAAGGAAAAGAUACUUGACAUUUAGAAAAGCUUUAGCAUACGAACUACACGAUCUUGUGCUAGGCUUAGGAUUGGGUCUUGUCCAUCACAUCAUUCUCCUAAUGAUGUGAUCCCGUUAUCAACGACAUCCAAUGUCCAUGGUCAGGAAACCGUAACCAUCUAUUGAUCCACGAGCUAGUCAACUAGAGGCUUACUAGGGACAUGGUGUUGUCUAUGUAUCCACACAUGUAUCUGAGUUUCCUAUCAAUACAAUUCUAGCAUGGAUAAUAAACAAUUAUCAUAAACAAGGAAAUAUAAUAAUAACCAUUUUAUUAUUGCCUCUAGGCCAUAUUUCCAACACAUGUGCCGUAUACUGACCCUGAGACUGCAUGCAGAACAACUUUUUCAUCUUUGACUUGAGCUUCUUCGUCCAAGAUGGCUCAGAAGAGGGAGGAGUGUAUCCAUCAGAACUAUCCUCAUCAGCUUCCUCCUCCUCGAUCUCAUCCUCAUCCACAUCCAUUGUGGCAGCCGCGGCCUCAGCAAAGGUGGUGGUGUUGGCCCAUUGGCUCUUGAUGCGAAGCUUGAUGGGCUCAUGACGAAUCCAUCCGGGGGCCUCGAACUCCUCAUUGGGGAGAAGCUUCUCCCACGUCUUGGAGAUCAAGUGAAACAGAUAAGGCCCAUAGAUGGGGACCUUACAUUUGAGCACCGCAAACUGAAGCUCGCACCACAUGAUGUGUGAGACAUCAAGGGGUUGAGUCUGAACCGGACGCGCAUCCUCACACAGGAGCAUCAUAUCCACCAGAUAGGCAUGCACCUGGCCCACACCGAUGCGUGGGAAGAGGGUGUUGCAGAAGAUCCGAUGCAUGAUGUCGAGGAAGGAGUUCAGCACCCACACCUUCUUCUUGCUGGCAAGAGUCUUCUCAACGAGGAAGGGAUGGAGUUUGUUCUUGUUGGCAGAUUCAACGUUGGCAUGAGGGCGAACUCCAGUGGGCGUGUCGAGCCCAUCAUCAGGAACAUGAAGCAGAUCCAUGAACUCCUUCCAUUUAGCAGUCAACUCUUGACCAUUGGUCAUCCAUGUCAUGGUCCUUGCUUCAUCAGAGUGGAAGUGGACCGAAGCAAAGAACUGAGCCACAAUGACUGGGUCAAAGUCCAAGUGAAAGGUCAGCAUGUGCUCAAUGCCAAACUGCUCCACCAGAUCCAAAGCUUCUCCAAAGUAGUUACGGUGCUUUUCUUGCCUCAUGUGAUGCAUGUCAAUCCAGUGAAAUUCCACAUAAUGGUUCUGCUUGGCCUUGAUCACAUCCAUAUAGAUGAGGUUAUGUUGCUUGGUCCAGAAUAAUCAUUCCCUCUGAAGUUGGCUCGGGGAUUCACAUAGGGGUCCAUCUUUCGUCGAACAAUGAACUCGGCCAGAGGCAUCUCAUCCAUGCCCAUGACGGGCUCCUUCUGCUUGUUGGCGGUGUGCUUGGUUCUGCGUUGGGGGGCAUUGGAGCCCUCUGGAGCUUCAUCUUGGUUGCGCAGCCUCUUGGACCCGAUGUCACGGAUUGGACUGGAACGGCGAGCAGGAGCACCUGGGCCACCACCUAAAACACACACCACAAAACAAACAUGCAAGAUACGCGAGAAUGAUCAAUGCAAAGAACACAACAAAGCAGGUGAAACAAGUAGACAUAGCACGUGAUAAUUGCCACAUGAGGGAUUUGAGACAACGGUAGUAUCGCAGUGCGGUGCAGUACUAAAAUUUUAGUGCUGCUCCUAGCCACGGUAGUACCGCGCCAGGGAGGCACGGUAGUAUCGUGUCUAGGUGCGGCAGUAAAAUUUUAGUGUCGUGCCUAGCGCGGUAAUACCGCUCCGGACGAGCGGUAGUACCGCACCGGAGAUGCGGUAGUACCGCACGGUUGCAGAUCCGAAACCACAACUAGAUCUGUGCAUAGUCGUGACAACAACGCGGUACUACGGUCGAUCAAAUCCAUCACAGGGCAACAUAGAAAGUACCAUCUCUACGCAUUACUUCUCUCCUACAUUCUACUCUUGCAAAGAUUUAGCCUAAAAUCUCAAGAACAUCAUGCAUCUCCCCACAAACCUAGAAGCAAAAGAACGAGCCAAAAAGAGAGGGAUUUGGGGGAAAACCUGGGUCCAUGGCAAGAGGAAGUGGUGGGGAAUGAUCCCACCGGUCGAAAUCCGAGGAGAGCGGUUGGAGACGGAGAUCCGGCGAGGGCCUCCGGUGCCGGUCUUGGGCAGGAGAGAGAGGCAGCGUAGGGAGAAAGAGUGAAUGGGUAUGGGGGAGUUGGAACUCCCCCUGCCUGCUCUUAACCCCCACGCGCUCUCUACUUCGCGGUAGUAUCGCGCGUCCUUGCGGUAGUACCGUCCGGGCAGAAGUACCGUGCCAUGGGCGGUAGUACUGCUCCACCAGCGGCAGUAAAAAAUUACCGUCGUGCUGGUUGCGGUAGUACCAUGUCCUUGCGGUAGUACCAUGGCAGGCCACGGUAGUACUGUGGACCCAAGAAAAUGCAGUUUUAAACAAAAGGAAGAACCACCUUUGCACGGAACCUUCAAGCGAAUGAACAACCAGCGAGCUAACAAACUAGACACCACAAGCACAAGCUCGACACGAAGAAUGAAAAGCAAGAGACAACAAGGACCAAAAACGAGACACAACCUCUCCACGAAGAGGGCGGUGGCCGGAGCCACCUAUUUUUGAGUCGAUUGGUAUGACACCACAAAGAAUUAUCCUUGGGCCCAUGACCAAAACUCGUCUUUGAAGCACAAGUAUCAUCAAAAAUGGCUAAUGUGAAAAAGUUGGUCAAUUUAUGCAUAAUGGGGGAGGGAGAGUUCAUUGAGAGAACAACACUCCCCCUAUGUCCAUGCCUACACCUAAACUAGACAACAAGUUGAGUGUGAUGGGGUGUGCAAGGGUUCAAGUCACAUUGCUCAAAUCAAUGAUAUUUAGCUCAUUCCUUAACUCGUGAAAUCUUGCUUCAUCCAAGGGCUUCGUGAAAAUAUUUGCAAGGUUAUCAUGAGUGUUGACAUAGUUGAGCUCGAUCUCCCCUCGCCUAAUAUGAUCCCGGAUGAAGUGAUACCGAAUCUCAAUAUGCUUCGUCUUGAAGUGUUGCACCGGGUUGAGAGAAAUCUUAAUGGCACUUUCAUUGUCACACCAAAGAGGCACUUUGUCACAAAUGACACCGUAAUCCUUUAAAGUUUGCCUCAUCCAUAAGAGUUGUGCACAACAACUACCGACUGCCACAUACUCCACUUCGGUGGACGAGAGGGACACACAACUUUGCUUCUUGGAAGACCAACCCACCAAAUAGCAACCAAGAAAUUGGCACCCUCCGGAAGUGGACUUCCUAUCCACUUUGUCUCCCACCCAAUCGGAAUCUGGAUAUCCUUCAAGCUUGAAGUUUGCUCCUCUUGGGUACCAUAAGCCAAAGUUUGGGGUAUGAGCCAAAUAUCGAAAGAUUCGUUUGACCGCCACAAAGUGGCUUUCCUUCGGUGCGGCUUGAAACCGUGCACAAAUUCCCAUACUCAACAUGAUAUCCGGUCUAGAUGCACAAAGGUAAAGCAAGAAGCCAAUCAUGGAGCGAUAUACCUUUUGAUCCACCGCUUUACCAUUUGGAUCAAUGUCAAGUUGGCACUUGGUGGGCAUUAGGGUGGAAGCCGGCUUGACAUCACUUAGCUUGAAUCUCUUUAGCAUGUCUUGAGUGUAUUUGGCUUGGUUGAUGAAGGUUCCUUCUCUUCUUUGCUUGAUUUUGAACCCGAGAAAGAACUUCAACUCUCCCAUCAUAGACAUCUUGAACUUUGAGGUCAUGAGAGCGGCAAAUUCUUCAUUGAAAGCUUUGUUAGGGGAACCAAAAAUAAUAUCAUCAACAUAUAGUUGGCACACAAACAACUCCCCUUUGACCUUCUUAGUAAAAAGAGUGGGGUCGAUUUUCCCGAUUUCGAACCCACGAUCUUGUAACAACUCCAUAAGAUGCUCAUACCACACAUGUGGGGCUUGUUUAAGGCCAUAGAGCGCCUUGUGGAGUUCGUACACAUGAUCGGGGAAGUAGGGAUCUUCGAACCCGGGGGGUUGUUUGACAUACACCAACUCAUUAAUGGGACCGUUAAGAAAAGCAAUCUUCACAUCCAUUUGUUGCAACAUGAAAUUAUGAUGAGAAGCAUAAGCAAUCAACAAACGGAUAGAUUCAAGGCGAGCAACGGGAGCAAAGGUUUCACCGUAGUUGGUACCCUCGACUUGGGAGUAGCCUUGUGCCACCAAGCGAGCCUUGUUGCGAACAAUGAUCCCAUGAGCAUCUUGCUUGUUCUUGAAUAUCCACUUGGUUCCAAUGACAUUAUGACUCCCGGUUGGCCUUGGCACUAAUUUCCACACUUGGUUAUGCUCGCAGUUGUUGAGUUCUUCAUGCAUGGCAUUGAGCCAAUCCGGGUCCUCGAACGCCUCAUAGACCUUUUGGGGUUCGACACAAGAAACAAACGCGUGAUGUUCACAAUAGUUUGCUAGUUGUCUAUGAGUGCUUACCCCCUUUCUUAGGCUUCCAACCACAUUCUCCAUGAGAUGGCCUUUGGUAGUGAGCUUGAAAGCAAUCUUUGCAGCACAACACUCUAAUUCCUCCUCGGAUGUGAACAAAGGAGGGGUAACUUGUUCAUCUUGAGCGCCGUCUUGAGCUUGUUCUUGAUCUUGAGCUUGCUCUUGGUCUUGAACUUGCUCAAAGAGUCGAACUUGACCUUGGGCAUCAUUUGGUGGUUCGCCACCAUCUUGAGGUUGAUCUUGCCCUUGAUCUUGUUCACUAGGUUGAGGGCCUUCACUUUGUUCUUCGGAAGCGUGUGGGUCUUGGGUUGGUGAUGGCUCCACUUGAGUGGAGCAUUGUCCUUCUCCUUCGGCCACAAGGGGUUCCUCAAUGGGUAGGAUAUGACCAACACCCAUUCUUCUUAUGGCUUGGGGAGGAAUUUCAUCACCUACAUCACAAGUACCACUUUGCUUCACUUAGGAGCCGUUAUUCUUGUCAAACUCCACGUUACACGUCUCCUCAAUGAGUCCGGUGGACUUGUUGAGGACACGGUAAGCAUGAGAGUUUGUAGCAUAACCAACAAAUAUGCCCUCAUAAGCUCUAGCCUCAAAUUUAGACAAACGAACACCUUUCUUGAGAAUGAAACACUUACACCCGAACACCCGGAAGUACUUGAGGUUCGGCUUGUUACCGAUAAGUAUUUCAUAAGGAGUCUUGUUCAAGCCUUUGCGGAGGUAGAGCCGAUUGGAUGCAUGACAUGCUGUGUUGAUGGCUUCGGCCCAAAAGUCGUAAGGAGACUUGAAAUCCGCCAUCAUGGUCCUUGCCGCAUCCAUCAACGUCUGGUUCUUCCUCUCUGCUACACCAUUUUGUUGAGGGGUGUAAGGUGCAGCAUACUGAUGCUUGAUCCCCUCAUCACUGAGAAACUCAUCCAAGGUGUAGUUCUUGAACUGGUGUCGUUAUCACUCCUUAUUAUCAGGAUCUUUGCAUCAUGUUGACGUUGAGCUUCAUUUGCAAAGUCGAUGAUGGUUUGUUGAGUCUCGCUCUUCCUCUUGAAGAAAUAUACCCAAGUAUAUCUUGAAUAGUCAUCCACGAUCACCAAGCAAUAUUGUCUACCCCCAAGACUAUCAAAGGAUGGAGGCCCAAAGAGAUCCAUGUGAAGGAGCUCCAAGGGUCUCUUCGAGUAGAUGAUAGUCAUGGGAGGGUGAGCCGUCUCAUGAAGCUUUCCCUCGAUACAAGCACUGCAAGCACGAUUUUUGGCAAAACUAACAUUUGUUAGUCCAUGGACAUGGUCCCCCUUGAGAAGACUUUGCAAAGAUCUCAUAUUGACGUGGCCUAAACGGUGAUGCCAAAGCCAUCCCACAUCAAGAUCUCCAUCAUCAUGAUCUCCAUCAUCAUGAUCUCCAUUAUUGUGUCUCCAUGAAGUUGUCUCGCCAACUAUUACUUCUACUACUAUGGCUAACGGUUUAGCAAUAAAGUAAAGUAACUACAUGGCGUUAUUCAAUGACACGCAGGUCAUACAAUAAAUAAAGACAACUCCUAUGGCUCAUGCCGGUUGUCAUACUCAUCGACAUGCAAGUCGUGAUUCCUAUUACAAGAACAUGAUCAAUCUCAUACAUCACAUAUAUUUCAUUCAUCACAUCCUUUUUGGCCAUAUCACAUCACACGACAUAUGCUGCAAAAACAAGUUAGACAUCCUCUAAUUGUUGUUGCAAGUUUUUACGUGGCUGCUAUAGGUUUCUAGCAAGAACGUUUCUUACCUACGCCAAAACCACAACGUGAUAUGCCAAUAGCUAUUUACCCUUCAUAAGGACCCUUUUCAUCGAAUCCGAUCCGACUAAAGUGGGAGAGACAGACACCCGCUAGCCACCUUAUGCAACUAGUGCAUGUCAGUCGGUGGAACCUGUCUCACGUAAGCGUACGUGUAAGGUCGGUCCAGACCGCUUCAUCCCACGAUGCCGCCGAAACAAGAUAAGAUUAGUAGUGGCAAGUAAAAUGACAAAAUCGACGCCCACAACAAACUUGUGUUCUACUCGUGCAUAAAAACUACGCAUAGACCUAGCUCAUGAUGCCACUGUUGGGGAUCAUUACAGAAAUUAAAAAAUGUCUAUGCAUCACCAAGAUCAAUCUAUGGAGUAACUAGCAACGAGAGAGAGGGGAGUGCAUCUUCAUACCCUUGAAGAUCGCGAUACGGAAGCGUUGCAAGAACGCGGAUGAAGGAGUCGUACUUGAAGCGAUUCAGAUCGCGGUGGAUUCCGAUCUUAGCGCCGAACAAUGGCACCUCCGCGUUCAACACACGUGUAGCCUGGUGACGUCUCCCGCGCCUUGACCCAGCAAGGAGGAGGGAGAGUUUGAGGAAGAUGGCUCCAACAGCAGCACGACGGCGUGGUGGUGAUGGAGUCGCAGUUCUCCCGCAGGGCUUCGCCAAGCUCGUGCGGAGGAGGAGAGGUGUUGGAGAGGGGAGGGGCUGCACCUUGGAUGUGGUGUUGCAGCCCUCCCCUCGCCCCUCUAUUUAUAGGAGAAGGGGAAGGGGGGCCGGCCCCUCUAGAUGGGAUCUAGAGGGAGGGCGGACAAGAGGGAGGGGGCUUGCCCUCCAAGCAAGGGGAGGCGCCCCCCUUAGGGUCCCCCCCCAAACCCUAGGCGCAUAGGCCCUAGGGGGGCUGGCGCCCAGCCCUCUUGGGGAUGGUUCCCUUCCACCUACAGACCAUAAGGCCCUCUGGGGUAGGUGGACCCUCCCGGUAGACCCCCGGAACCCCGGUGGUCCCGGUACAAUACCGGUAUACCCCGAAUAUUUCCGAUGACUGUAUGAUGACUUCCCAUAUAUAAAUCUUCACCUCAGGACCAUUCUGAAACUCCUCGUGACGUCCGUGACUCCGAACAACAUUCGUUAAUCACAUACAAAUCUUCCUUAUAACCCUAGCGUCAUCGAACCUUAAGUGUGUAGAACCUUAAGUCUAUGUAUUCACACAUGUAUUACGGUUUUCGGUUAAUACAAUUAUAGCAUGAAUAGUAGACAAUUAUCACGAACAAGGAAAUAUAAUAAUAAUCAUUUUAUUAUUGCCUCUAGGGCAUAUUUCCAACACUCCCUCCUUCACAAACGUUUUCUUGAUAGGGGGAGGUCGUUUGGUCUUGUCGUUCUUCUUCUUAUUCUUGGACUUGGGUGCGAACCCAACUCCCUCCUUGGCCACAACUUCCUUUUGCUUUCUCAAAAGGUCAUUGAGGUUCUUCUCACCUUGAAUACAUGUCACAAGGCCUUUCUCCAGUUGCUCUUUCAACUUGGCAUUUUCCUCCACAAGAUGCACAUGCUCACAACACGAGUUAGUAGCAUUUGUGUUAUCAAAUAAGACCAUAUGAGGAAAGGUGGCUUUCUCCUUGGUUAGCUUCACUUGGAGUUGAUCACGAGACUCCUUGAGGCUAGCAUGAGCACCCUUCAAGGCCUUGUGAGCCUUGUCAAGUAAAUCAAACUCAUCUUUAAGUCUAGCAAGGUCAACCCCAAGUUUAGCCUUCUCGGAGUUUAGCACACGAGAGACAACAAGAGCAUGGUCAAGAUCUUUAUUUAAUUUAGCAUGGUCAUCGUUGUGUGACUCCUCAAGAGCCAAACGAUGCCCACGCUCUCCCUCAAGAGCAUUAGAGAGAUCCGGUAUCUCAUCGGCAUAGUCACGACUAUGACCUUCCAUCUUAGAGAUGGUUUCUUCAUGAGCCUCGAUCAUGUCAUUGGCUUCACCAAGUUGUUCCACGAGAGAAAUGAAGUGCUUCUUGGAUUUUCCCAUGAGUUUAGUCAUAAAAGACUCAAAUUCAUUCAUCUCUUCAUUAGACCCCUCAUUUUCAUCAAUGCAAUCCGUCAGGGAGGGAUUAGUAAUGAUGGUGGUUUUGAUGUUGGGGGUUACCUUGUUAGUGGCUUUAGCCAUGAGACACUUGGCGGUGAUGUUCUCGUUGGGUGAAUCGAAGAGAGACACCCGGGGAGUUGUGACAGUGGCAAUGGAGGCCAUGGCCAUUGCUUCAUCAUCUUCAUCAUCAUCGUCAUCAUCAUGGUAUUCUUCUUGAACCACCAACCCUCGAGUAGGAGUCUUUUUGGUGAAGUUGUUCUUGUUGGGGAAGGACUUGGCUUUGUCUUUUCGAAUGAGCUUGCCACCAUUGUCUUCCCGCUUCUCGUAAGGAUAAUCCACAACGAAGUGGCUCACAUUGCCACAAUUGUAAUCUCACUCUUUGCUUGCCCUUGAAGCCACUUGAGUUGUUCUUGUUGAAGUUGGGCCUUGUGUUCUUCUUGCUCCAAAAUUGCCUUGAAGCAAGAGCCAUGUGCUCAUGAUAAUCAUAUUUUGUAUCUUCGGGGUUGCUCUCCUCAUCUUCCUCUUCUUCCUCUUCUUCCACAAUGGACUAUGGCUCCGCGGUGACCUCAACCGUCUAGGGUGCUCAAGCACCCAAGAGUAACAAGAUCCGCUAGGGAUUAGUGGGGGGAAUCAAAUUUCUCUUGGUGAAAGUGUAGAUCGGGGCCUUCUCAAUCAAUCCCGAGCAAAUCAACAAGUUUGAUUGGCUAGGGAGAGAGAUCGGGCGAAAAUGAAGCUUGGAGCAACAAUGGAGCUUAGGGUUGGAAGAGAUGGUCAACUAGAGGAAGAAGACACGCCUUAUAUAGUGGAGAGACAAAUCCAACCAUUAUCCACUAACCAGCCCGCGACAAGUGGUACUACCGCCCAAGACAAGCGGUACUACCGCAAGGGCUCAUGGUACUACCGCGGCGGACCGCGGUACUACCGCUGCUAUGGCAUGAGCUAGCCCAGGCCUGAACCGCAAAGGCUGAGGGCGGUACUGCCGCUGACGCGGUACUACCGCUCCCCCUUGCGGUACUACCGCAAGGUAGGAUUGGACUAGCCUGGGAAGGGUGCGGAUGAAUAAAAAUACAUCCGUGCCAACUUCCGUUGAAAAUAAAACAAUGCAAAAUUCUGACACGGUACUACCGCGCAUGGCAUGUGGUACUACCGUGCAGGGAGCGGAUUUAAAAAAUUACAUCCGCCCCUACUUCCGCUCAUGUUGUCGUGCCAGACCAGGACUCACGGUACUACCGUGCGCAUGGGGCGGUACUACCGUGCAGGGCACGGAUGUAAAAAAAUUACAUCCGCCCCUAUAGCUGCACGAGCGACUGAGUCUGGUCCGAGGCCAUGGUACUACAACUCCUCAGGAGCGGUACUACCGUGGGCACCUACGGUACUACCGCAACCUCGUGCGGUACUGCCGCAGGUGCCUGCGGUACUACUGCUCCUAGGAGUAGUACUACCGCAUGCCCCUGAACAACAACACUAGGAAUCCUUCUCUUUUGCAUAUAUAUGAAGAAAACGGAGGAUGCUCCAAAGUGCAAACGGAAAGGGGGUGCAGAGGGAGUAAACGUGUACGUGAUGAUUCCACCCGAACCUUUCCAACGCGGACCCCCUCUUAAUAGUACGGCUUCCCUACGACUCAAAUCCACCAAAAAGAAACGUAGAAAAACACCGUCUUCAAUAGUCUUCGAGGGGCACCAAACCGUCUUGUGCAUAGUGACGAAACGUCUGAAAUACUCAAGGCACAUGAUUAGUCCGCAAAAGCAUUGUCAUCAAUCACCAAAACACCUUAGGGAUAAAUAUGCCCUUACAUCUGGCUUUAGACAUGGGCUUCCUCUUGGCAGGAGGAGCUUUUACCUUCAUACCACGCUUUGUGGCAGCAACAUACUCCUUCUUGAGCACUUUCCUCCUUGAGUUCACCUCCUCAUCAACAACGAAGUCCUCAUCCUCUAAAUCUGAGGUUCUCUUCUUCUUUUGCCUAGUAGCAGCCUUAGGCAAGUUGCUUGGGGUGCUUCUGCUACCAUCAUCAUAACCGCUAUUGGAGGGACUAGUACCCUCACUGAGAUUCACCUGCUCCUCAGACCUGUUCUAACUGUCACUGCCCUCUGACAUCUCUGAAACUGAUCCUAUGAAUAGAUAGGUAUAAAUAGAAUGGAUGAGCAUCACAAAGCACAACUAUUUUUUUUAAAAAAGGGUCAAAAACUUAACUUUAGUUUUCUGCAGAAAGCAUUUCAGAGCUACCGAUAUGACAAACUCGGUGACACCAAAGCAGCAACAGAGUCUAAACAUGCAAUUUUGGUCAGACCGAAAUGCAGUUCGGUGACUCCGAGAUGCUAGGAUUUCACAGAGUGAGUGACUUCGGUCACACCGAUUCGUACGCUUCGGUCAGACCGAGUUGUACUUGUGCAAUGGCCUGAGCCAAAUCGGUGAGAUCGAGAUCCUCAGAUUGGUCAGUCCGAGAUGAGUUCGGCGGAAACCUAACCCUAAGUUUUUAAAUCAAAUCUAAUCUAAUGGAACUUUUCAUUGGAUAGAUUGAUCUCAUUCAUGGCAAGAAUAAUGGCAAUAAUCUCUUUGCAAGAAUCAGAAAAAGGAACACACAAAGAGGUCGAAUUCGUACCCUAACUUGGCGACAAACUCGCUACGACGACAAGGGCAGUGAGAUUUCUGUUGACGGCGACGAAGUCCAGCGGCAGGAGGACGCUGGCGACAACGGAGACGAUCCGGAGACCAAGGGGCGACAGAGCUAGGAGGUGCGGACGAGUGGUUUGGAGGAGUUUCCAAAAUUUCAACCCAUGGUAUAUAUACCCAGUCACUGUCGGUGUGACCGAGUGGAACGACUCGGUGGCACCGAGAUGCAAAACUGCUAGCCGUUACUACAACUCGGUGUGACCGAAUUGUUUAAAUCAGUUGCACCGAGGUGAAAACCUAGAUCAACUUAAUGAAUUCAGUAAGACCGAGUAUAAUGAAUCAGUCGGACCGAGAUGCAUUAAGAGGUUUUGGAAGUUUAAGCCCUUGACGGAUUGCUGGCUCUGAGUGCUCCUCACCCAGAGGGUCCAAAUUCGACUUGUUCAAGCUUUGUGACGUAGCAUGAUUAGAGUUUGAGACGAGAAAAGCAUAGAUAUCUAGAGGGAGUACUUAGGCAUUCUUGUCCAUCCAUUUCGCAAAAAGGAAAGGCAAACAAUCAAAGCAACAAAUGGAUGUCCUUUAAUAGAGAAAAUUAUGCAACCAACAUGCUCACACAAUAAGAUAGCAAAUGAAAUAUGGGGUAAAACAUGCACAAAACACUCUAGCAUCUAUCAAGCAAUUGGCGAUGACUAGGUCAUCUAUAUAUGAGUAUAUUGACUCGGUGGGACUGGUAUGAUCAACUCGGUGGGACCGAUGUGCUAGGGCUAGGGCAAAACCUCAUCUCGGUGAGACCAAUUGCAUAAACUCGGUGAGACUGAUUUAAACAAUGAGCAAACAUAAAGUUGGUCAAGCAAACUCGGUCGGACUGAACGCUCAUUUUGGUGAGACUAAAAUGUUACGAAGGGAAACAGAUAGUUUGCAAUGCGAACUCGGUGGGACGGAUCGCUCCGGUGAGACCAAAACAUUACGAAGGGAAAUAGAGAGUUUGCAAUGCCAUCUCGGUGAGACCGAGAGCCUUAUCGGUGAGACCAAAUUGUCUAGGGUUUCUGGCAGUGACUAUGUUAACAGAACUCGGUGGCGCCAGAUAGAACAAAUCGGUGGGGCCGAGUUUGACUUCAAGUGGCUGAGGGUUUUGGAGCAAUAUCACUAAGCACUUUGAGCAAGUAGACCAUUAAGCAACACCUCAUCCCCUUUUAAUAGUAUUGGCUUUCCUAUGGACUCAAUGUGAUUUUGGAUCACUAAAAUGAAAAUGAAGAGUCUUGAGCCUUUGCCAAUCUUUGUCCUUAGCAUUUUGAGGGGUCCACAUCUCUAGUCCAUGCCACGCCAAUCAUUGAACUUUCUGAAAUAUUUAACUUGAAUGGAUAUUAGUUCAAUGAGCUAUAUGUUGUUAUGAAUUACCAAAACCACCCGGGGAUUAGUUGCACUUUCAAACAUGUACCUCAAGUCCAGAUUCGCAACUCCGCGAUCUAACCGUACUUUAACAUUUGCUGCACCACUCCUCUUAUUAUCAAAAGUAUAUGGCCUUCCAGCAAAACCCAAAUCAGCUAGCUCACACACUUCCGGUGAAUCCCGAGAAGCAAGCAUUUGGGCCGGCGCACACGGCGUGUUGGAAAAAUGUUCAAAAUCCCACAAUGGUUCAUUAAAAUCUCCAACAGCCAACCAAGGAAGAUCAUUCUGGGUAGCUAUAUCUUCCAUCAAGGACCACAUGAAGUGUCCAUUCUCAACACGGGGCUCUCCAUACACGCAUGUCAGGUGCCAUUUAGUCUCUCCAGGAGCUUGGAUGUGUGCAUCAAUGCAUCUUGAAUUUGCAAGCCUAAUAUACACUGUCCAAUUUUCAUGCCAAUAGAGAGCAAGCCCCCCACUAUUACCAUCACUACUAACACCUUCAAAACCUCGCAGACCAAACCUAUCUCAUUAGCUUUUCAUCUUAUCCUUACUUUGCCUAGUUUCGCAAAGGAAAACUAGGCUAGAGGAAUGCGACUAGAUCAUAGUCGCUAGGCCUCGAACUGUCUGGGAGUUCCCCCACCCCCCGGUAGUUCCAACUUAGGAUAGUCAUUGCCCCCGGCGGUCCUCCACCAUGAAGGCCACUGAUCUUCUGGUUGUUGUACUGUCAAUUGCCAUACCAUUUCCUCCUUUUAGCUUCUUUUUAUUCACAUUUUUCUGUGGCAUUCCAGUUAUGUUAUUAUUCAGUAGCUCCUCUCCUAGUGCCUCAAACUGAUCAAUAAUAAGAUAAGUAUCUCCCAAAGGAACAAUUGCACCGCUAUUCAUUUCAAAGACAUCCGCUACAGCAGAACCUGUAGGAAGGGGGCCUGAGUCCUCUGCGUCUCUUUUACGAAGGACAUUAAGAUCAUCCUUUUGCUGUUCUUUCUCUACACCGAGCUCAGACACUCCGUCGGUCUCCAUUUUGAAGUAGAGUUUGCAUCAUCCAACUAUCACAUACACCACCAUGCCGAUGAUGAACAACAUACCGUGGACAAUUUGUUCUCACGACAUACUGGUGUUCGGUCCAAUUGGAUCACAUUGGGUUGUUUAGUUGCCAUGUAUGUGUGCACUGGUGCACAUGCUAAUUAUACCAUUGUAACUUCUCCAUGUAAUAUUUAUUUAUCUCGCUGUCUUCAUCAACAAAUUCAACAAUAUAUAUCUAAGAAGUCAAAUGAAAUGAAUAUCAUACCAUCAUGAUUGAGUCACAACUGUUGCCGGCAUGAAGAUCUGCAAUGCUAGAGUAUUUUCUUGAUCCACCUUUGGUGCCGGAUAAGACAAGUAGUAUGGGUCGGAUGGAGUAGCACAUAUGUUGAUGCAAAGUUGGAUGGAAAUGACAUACCUUGGUUUAGAAAGAACACUCUCAACAUAGGAUCCAGUCUUCAUUCGUGUGUCUACACGUUGGAUCUUUCCAAUCUACACUUCUGUUCGUCGGCGACAUGUGCUGUUCUGGUGUGCUGGUUCUACGACUUCCUGACUAUCUGCUACGACAAGGUUUGCCAAACUUCCGUGAAGGAGGGACGAUGACGAUGGUGCGCCACCAUCUAUUUGCACUAGUGCUUGUAGUCAUCGCUAUGUGAUCUACAAACAAGAAUGUAAUUUCAAUUGUUUCUUGUGUUUUUUGUAUCACCAUGAUUGUUUUUUUUGAAUUGUUUGGAUUGCUUACCACAUGUGUCACGUGGUGUAUCGCCAUGAUGUUUGAUGAAAAGAUUGGAAGAUUUUCCCAAAAAGAAAAAUAAAAGAAUCCAUUCUCCACGUAGGAUAGGGGCUGGACUAAGACUGCUUGGCAAAUGUGCCAGCUAUCAAACUAAAUUCCCAAAGGGAAAAAAUCAUGCAAUUACAAAAAGCAAGAGUGACUCUUCUGCCAUGCACAUGUUAUACCAUGCAUGCAUUUAUAGUCCAUUUUUGCUCUUAGAUUUGUGCCAUGUUUUUUAGGCAAUUAUGUCUUGUUUAGCUCAGGUUCAAUGUUAUUGUGAUUGGACUUAUCCCUUUGUCUGUCCUCCCAAGCGAAUAUGCGACUAGGUUUCCCGCUUACAGUCGUCGCAUCGCCGAUCCUGUCUUGUCUCAUGUUGCCUUAGUAUCAUGAGGUGUGGUGGAUCCAUGCCCUUGCCGGCGGGAGGGCUUUGUUUUUAGAUGUUUCUUUGAGUUUUGUUAGGGUUUGUGUCAUGUGUGGUGGAAGGCCGGACGACGAUGACUCCUGAAGACGGAAUAAAGUUCUCCCCGCCUAGCCCCCGUCCCUAUGGUGCGUCUAGCAUCGUCGAAGAGCGUGUAGAGGUGUGUCUCCGUCAUAUCUCACGGGGUUUGGUCAUGGUUGUUUUUGGUGAAUCAGCUCAAACCAGGUCUUUGUUCAUCUAUAUUCUUGUGUCUUCAAGUUGGAUCCUUUUGAUCUUAGUUUAUUUUCAUCGGCGGUGAUUGCUGUUAUGGUCCUAUUGGGUCUUAGCACGACAACUUUCCGGCUAUCUACUACAACAAAUUUUGCACGGCUUCGACGAGUGCGGGGCGAUGAUGGUGCCGCGUCUUAGUCGUCGUUAGAUGAUCUACAAAUUUAAAUUAAAUUUUUGUUACUUUUGAUGUUCUUUAUACUAUCAUGAUUGCAACUAGUAGAUCGGAAGUUUUCUAUAGAAAAAUUAGCCGGCCUUGAUGAAUAAAAUAAAAUGCCAAGAGGGCGGUGUUAAAGAGAAAGAAAGAAAGAGAAAAUGCACCGUGAGGCCACAACACGACACGUGUACCCGGUCUAGACCACUCCCCCUUUCUUUCGUUCGGCCCUCGCAGGCCUCCUCGGGUUACCUUUGCCUAAAUCACCAUUUUCAUCAGAAACUUAAUUUGGAUCCAUCUCUUCUCUUCUCCCGUCGCCUCCGAACCCUAGCUAGCUACCUCGGUCCAGUCCGGCUGCGAGAGGCCACCGGCGGCAUGGCUGCGUGCGGCGGCGGAGCAUAGCACGCGAUGCGACCGCUCUAAUCGGAUCCAAUCGAAUCCCGCCGCACCGCCCGCCCCGCUCGCCGUGGCCGAUGACCGCGUCCCUCCCCAAACGGCGGCGAUGAUGGAGGGAGCCGCCGGCGCCGGCCGGGCUCCCGACCGGCCGACGCGCCGGGUCGCCGCUCCUCGGGCCCAGCCCCUCCCGCCGCGCCGUCACGCAUCGGCUCGGGGGCCCCCCUCGGGGAUGCCGCCUGUGCGGGAGGCGUCCGCAGCGGCGCGGGCUGGGGACCGGGCGGCGGGGCCCGUGGUGCGCUCCGGUCGAGGGCUUGGUCGGGCCUGGCGCGGGAUCUGAGCCGCCGUCGAUGGAUUUUUGGCCAGCUUGGCUGCAUCUUGCUUUCGAUUCGGUACUAUCCCCAUCUCUCUCUCUCUCAGACUCGCACUCGCUCACUCUGUGUGUGCUCGCGCGCGCAGAGUUGACACCAGUUAACCCUAACCCGAAACCAAAUCAGGCGAGCUCUCGUUGCCGGAUCGCUGACCCAUCGUCCCGGUGGCCGCUGCCUCAGUUCCACACCGCUACGGAGCCGCUAGCCACCGCCGUUCCAUUGCCUUGGAUUCGGUUGUGGCGUGGGCUGGAACCGUGCUCUGUUGUCUGAUGCGUCGUUCAAGCGGGAGGUUUGGUCGGCCGAGGCCAGGUAUGAGCAGCUCCUGAGCAGGAUGGAUGGAUGCAUUCAUGUGUCGUGAACUAAAACCACGACUCCUAUUUUGGAACGGAGGGAGUACAUUUUGGAACGGAGGGAGUAUGUAUGUAUGGAUAUCAUUGUCAUGUUGCUUGGUGUGGGGGUUGAACCUCCUUUUUUGGAAAAAAAAAGAGGAGCAAUGAUGAUGGUGAUGACGACGAUGGCUGAAAUAAUCAUGUCUUGAGCAAUCAAGACAGCCGUGGCGUGGUGGUACUAAACAGAGCUGAACAAAUCGGUGUCCGCGUUGGAGUUGGCCUUAGAGCCCACCCUUGCCUCUCUUGCAGCCUGUCCAAUUCAUUGCUGAUGUUGGUUGCUUUGUGCCUCGGAUGGUCAUUCUGUUGAGUGAUAACCAUGGCAGUUCUCUUACAUCGUGAUGGGUAGAUUAUGCAGCAAGAGAUGGUGAGGGUUUGGGCUUGAAGAUGGAAGACAAAACUGAGCCUCUUUUGCUAUGCUACAUAUACCCCCACCCCUCUACCUCUAACCCUAAGCCAAAUCAGUCGAGCUCUCAUUGCCAACUCGCUGUCCAAUCGUCUGGGUGGUGCCCUCUUCAGUUCACUGCUGCGGUGCUGCCAGCCUCUGCUGUUCCAUUGCCUUGGAUUUGGCUGUGGCGUGGGCUGGGAACCGUACGGUGUAAUCUGGGGCGUCAUCAGGUCUGGUUGGUCGGUCCAGGCCAGGCAUGAGUAGCUCCUGAGGCUGAUGGGGAUGGAUGGAUGGACAUGUGCAUGCAUGUAAAUUCACUCAUUUUGCUCCGUAUGUAGUCCAUAUUGGAAUCUCUAAAAGGACUUAUAUUUAGAAACGGAGGGAGUAUGAUCUAAAUGCUCUUAUAUUUGUUUACAGAGGGAGUAUGUAUGUAUGUAUGGAUAUCAGGGUCAUCUUGCUUGGUGGGCAAACGCUGGGGGUACAACCUCCUUUUCGGUAAAAAAAUGAGGGGCGAUGAUGAUGACUGUGGCCGAAAUAAGCAUGUCUUGAGCAAUCAAGACAGCUGUGGCCUGUGGGUACUAAGUUAGAGCCCACCUCCCUUGCAGCAUGUUCAAUUCAUCGGUAAUGUUGGAUGUUCUUCACCUCGGACGGUCAUUCUGAUAAGUGAUAACCAGGGCAGUUCUCUUACAUUGUGAUGGGUAGAUUAUGCAGCAAGAGAUGUGACUGUUGGGUUUGAAGAUGAAAUGCAAAACUGAGCCCUCUUUUUCUUACGAUCCUUAUUUCCCCUCUCUCUACAACAACAACAACAACAACAACAACAACAAAGCCUUUAGUCCCCAACAAGUUGGGGUAAGCUAGAGGUGAAACCCAUAAGAUCUCACGCCAACUCAUGGCUCUGGCAAAUGGAUAGCAAGCUUCCACGCACCCCUGUCCAUAACUAGUUCUUUGGUGAUACUCCAAUCCUUCAGGUCUCUCUUAACGGACUCCUCCCAUGUCAAAUUCGGUCUACCCCGACCUCUCUUGACAUUCUCCUCACGCUAUGCACUGGAGCUUCUGGGGGCCUGCGCUGAAUAUGCUCAAACCAUCUCAGACGAUGUUGGACAAGCUUCUUUUCNNNNNNNNNNNNNNNNNNNNNNNNNNNNNNNNNNNNNNNNNNNNNNNNNNNNNNNNNNNNNNNNNNNNNNNNNNNNNNNNNNNNNNNNNNNNNNNNNNNNNNNNNNNNNNNNNNNNNNNNNNNNNNNNNNNNNNNNNNNNNNNNNNNNNNNNNNNNNNNNNNNNNNNNNNNNNNNNNNNNNNNNNNNNNNNNNNNNNNNNNNNNNNNNNNNNNNNNNNNNNNNNNNNNNNNNNNNNNNNNNNNNNNNNNNNNNNNNNNNNNNNNNNNNNNNNNNNNNNNNNNNNNNNNNNNNNNNNNNNNNNNNNNNNNNNNNNNNNNNNNNNNNNNNNNNNNNNNNNNNNNNNNNNNNNNNNNNNNNNNNNNNNNNNUUCCGGUUUCUAUGGUGCUGCCAGCCGCCGCCAGUCCAUUGCCUUGGAUUUGGUUGUGGCGUGGCUGGGAACCGUAAGGCGUGUCUGAUGCGUCAUCCACAUUGUGAGGUUUGGUCGGUCGAGGCCAGGUAUGAGCAGCUCCUGAGACUGUCUAAGUUACUCACCACUAUGACUAGCUAUGGUCAUGUUGCUUGGCCAUUUGACCCUUUUUUUUAAAAGAGAGGGGCGAUGAUGAUGCCUGUGGCUGAAAUAAUUAUGUAUUGAGCAAUCAAGACAGCCAUAAUAGGGGCCCCAAAUGGGUGCUGGCGUUGGAGAUGCCCGUAAGAGCUCACCCUUCUCUUGCAGCCUGUUCAAUUCAUGGCUAAUGUUGGAUGUUCUGCGCCUUGGAUGGUCAUUCUGAUGAGUGAUAACCAGGGCAGUUCAAUUACAUCGCGAUGGGUAGGUUAUGCAGCAAGAGACGUGUGUUGGGCUUCAAGAUGAAAGGCAAAACUGAGCCCUCUUGCUACGCUACAAAUACUCAGUUUUUCCUUCUCCACUGUACAUUGUUUUAAUUUUCUAUUCCUCUCUAUUGUGUUGAUGUGAGAUCCGGAUCUGGAUUGAUAUCUUCUCUUGGUGAUGAACCCAACCACCCUAGCUUUACUUGGGUUGGUUUCUAGUUGGCAUCGUUUUUGCCUUUCUAAUUGUACAUACUAUAUAUGUGUCAAACGGUUGCCCUUUUUUCCUCCAAUGCUUGUAGCUAUUGGCAGUUCUAUUCAACUAGUUAACGAGAAGCUAUUUUCUUGCUUAUCUUGUCCUUCCAGAUGCUUCUUCAAAGACAAAGUUUUGAUCUGUUAUGUCUCUGUUUUCUAUAAACUGAAGCUCAGAUUACCUUCGUAUUUGUUUUGGUCAGAACAGACAUUUUUUUAUGAUUCUCUAUGCUAUUUAAUUCAGUGGUAAUUAUUCUAUUCUUUAGCUGCUGCUGUCAAUAUUAACUGCCACAUUUCUGAUGCAUUAGCAUGGUGCAGAUCCCUUGCACGGAUUCUAAAUGAGUGUCAAGUAAAUUUGUCAACUGCAAAAGUGUAUUUGUUAAAAAGGCUUAUAUAUUUUGUCUUAUCAUAACUGAAUGUCCUCCUGGAGCUUUUGCUUGGGUCAUUUGGGAUUUAUAUGUUGGCGGUUGGCCCCCUUCUCAUGUUGGAAUAGUAUUGCCACUAUUCAAUGUUACAUGUCUGACUAUUUAGCAUUAGAACCCCAUUUUUCAUCGGAUAAACGGGCAAGCUGCAUUUCCUGUUUUCUGUUUGUAUUAUACGCAUCCCUUUUUGCAAACUUAUGCUUUUCUUCUGUUUCAAAAUGGAAAGUUUAUGUCAUCCUGUUUUUAUUAGGCUUGUAGUUACUCCUUUUAUCUGAAGUGAACAAUUUGGAAGGUUUAUGUUACCCUGUUCUUAUUUGGCUUGCAGUGACUCUUUUUUUCUGAAGUGAGCAAAUGUAAAUUGCUUCUUUUUGCCAGUAAUACGGCCAUCAGUGCAGUGUUCCAAAUUAACUUCUGAACACAGCAUAUUUGUUUCUGUUGUGUGUUGAUGAGUAUUAUUCUUUUCUGAAUGGCUAUGAUGAUUUCCGCCCCUUGGUGUUGGAGAUCUUUCAAUGUAUCCUGCGAUAGAGAUGCUUUCACGUCUCCUAGGUUGGUUCCAUUCAACUUUGCCCAGUUAGACAGUUGGUCGUUAAACUAGGAGGCCUUGCUCUGCACUAAGUUACUAGUUGUGGUAAUUUGUUGCUGGACAGAGGGAGGGAGAGGGAGAGAGAUAUUUUAUUUGUUUAUGGUACCACUUCAUUCAUUCAAAUAGUACUCCCCAAAAACUUUCCCAGGAUUUUGUACCACCUGAAGCAUUUCCCAACUUUGGUGAUUCAUGGCGGGUUAAAUCUGAGCCAUUCAUUCAAAUAGUACUCCCCAAAAUUUCUCAGGAUUUUGUGAACUAUUCCUCAUGUGUUCUAAUCGCCCUCCAGCUGCUGAUACUGUGCUUAGCUGCAGAUGUUUUGUAUCUGAUCCAACCUACUUUUCACCCUUAACUGUUGCAUGCGCAAAGGGAUCUAUCCAUCUCUUUAUCAGGGGCAAUGAUGAUCAAACUUGGCUGACAAUAAACCUGUCUUCGAUUAUUCGAGGAGCCAUGGGUAUAAAAAACACGCUCUCCACUCUUUUGUGACCUUUCAUUCUGACCGAAUAUUGAUGGCUCUGUUGAGUGAUAACCAGCAGAGCUUGACUUCAGUGGCGGGGGUUGAUCUGGUGAAUGAAGAGGGUGGGGCUAGGUUGUAUGAUCUAUCAAAGGCGAAUAUGAGCCCUCUCAGUUCAACUAAUACUGUUCCCUGCUAUACAGUAUGGUUUACACAUUUAUUUAUUCCUAUCGCCUUUUUAUGAGUAGAGUGAUAAAUUGUCAUGGUUGUGGCAUUGGCCCAUCUCACUAAGAUUGGCUAACGCACAGGUCACCUCUUGUGGUGUUUGGUUUGUCUUCUCAUGAUUUUGUCGAGGGAACCAGUUUGGUGCAUUCGGGCUUUGCUCAAGCUCGUCUCACUGUGGUGGUCCUAGUACUAGUAGUGGUUGAAUGUGUUUACUCCCUUUUCAUGGGGUUAAAUAUGUGAAACAUGAUCUGUGCAUGUCCUCCUUUACUACCAACAACAACAACAACAACAACAAAGCAUUUAGUCCCAAACAAGUGGGGUAGGCUAGAGCUGAAACACAAUCUCGCAACCAACUCAUGGUUCUGGCACAUGGAUAGCUAGCUUCCAUGCACCCCUGUCCAUGGCUAGUUCUCUGGCGAUAUUCCAUGUCCCCCUGUACUACCCCACCCCUGUCCUGUCCAUGGCUAGUUCUUUGGUCAUUUUCCAUGUUCUUUACUACCCAUAUUAAAUUUUAGGUAGUUCUUUUGGUAGUGAUGUACAUUCAAGUUGGCAAGUUGUCAACUUCUUUUCUACUGUUUUGGUCCAGCACUGCAACUGCUAACGGCCCUCAAGGAAUAAUAUUUGAACGGUUUGCUUUCUGCUGAUGACCAAUUGACCAUUUUAAUGCUUAUGGAAGCCAAUACGUGAAAAAACACAAUGUUGUCGUAAGCCUGUAUCUACCUUUUAUAAUCUCUUGUUGCAAAAAUACCAUGACUACCUUUUAUAAAUUGGCCAACUCUGAGACUCCCGCCCAAUAAAGUUCUGAGUAAAAUGAGUGUUUCCUUCCCAAAAUUUGAACUGAUCUUUUCCUUUUUGAGAAUUUGUAUUUCUUGCUUGCUCGCAUCCAUGUAUACAUAAAAGAUAUGUUGAGAGUUCGGUUAUGAUAUUAGUUCUUUCGGUAAAAUCAUGGUCUGGUGGAUGCAAAGGACUGUUUUGCAAGUUUAUAUUUUCGCUUUUUUUGUACACAUUUUGUUGGUUUUGCAGUAUGUCAACCAGUUCUGUUGUUUUAGGAACAGUACUCCAGCCACACUUAAUUCUUGUCUUCUGUUUUGUUUUUCCUUUUCUGUUCUUCCUUUUUCUUGAAUGGCUAUGAUAAUUCUGAUGUCCCUUGGAUGGUUUUUGAAACUAUCUUAUUUGCUUAUUUCAAUUGCUAUUUGACUUGAUAAUUUCAUUCUUCUAUUGUACUCUUUAUCUACUUAUCAGUUUGUACUUUUGGUUUCUCUUUACUUCUUUACUGGUUUCAACUUAAGGGUCGUAUAGGGCAAGUUCAGCUGUCAAGAUUACUGUUUUCUUCGUGUCAUGUUCAUGAAUGGCUGUGAUGAUAUAACCUCCCUGUGAGGGCUUCUAUCUAACACCUUAAUUGAUUUACUUGGUGCUAAACUAGGAUGGCUUGUGUCACAGCAAGUAACCAGUUUAGUGACCAACUAUUAUUCCCUAAAGGGCAGCCUGGUGCACGGAGCUCCUGCUUGCGCAGGGUCCGGGGAAGGGUCCGAUCGCUUUGGGUCUAUAGUACUCAGCCUUUCCCUACAUUUCUGCAAGAGGCUGUUUCCAGGACUCGAACCCAUGACCUCAAGGUUACAAGGCUACAGCUUUACCGCUGCGCCAAGGCUCCCCUUCUUAACUGUUAUUCCCUCCGUUCACAAAUAUAAAUGUUCAUAGUCAUUCUACCAGAAAUUCAGUUAUAGUGUUGAGAUGGGAGUGUAUCUGAGCCAUUUACUUAUACAUGUCCCAGUUUUUGUGUCCACCAGUUCAUGAUUUGCUCCUGAUAUAGUGAUUAUUUCUGCUUUUACCGAUUCUCAUGUUGUUUCUGGUCAUCUUGCGCUCUUUGACUAUUGGCUUCUCUGUUAUUCUCUUUGUGGGAUUUGCGCCUAAGUGCUGUUGAUGGCGAUGAUGAGUAAGGCUCAGUCAGAGGUGUAUCGAGAUCAGAUACCAUCACUUGUUUUUAUGGGUAUGGUUUUGGGUUAGGGUUUUGUGUGACUAGGUGGAAGCGUGCAAAUCGGGACGGCUUGCUUUCUGUGAGCAACCAUUUGAAUGCUGAAAUGUCACACAGGGGUGUAAGGGCAUCUGCAGCACGGAUCACCAAGUGUAUUGGAUACCGAGUGGGUUUUUGAAUAAAUACUGUUUCUACAUUUUGUUGUUAUGUAUAUUUUUAAAUAUUAUUGGUUUGAUUAUUCUCAAUCUAUCAAUGGUUUAUAGCAGUAUUGGGAUCUCACUGUAAUAUAUGUUAUAAUCUACGGCACUUACAAGAUAUGCUCAUAGCAAACUGGAUUUUGUGCUAUUUUACACUUGCAUACUCAGAAUGCUUUAAUUUGCUAGUGCAUCAAGAGGUUCUGCUUUAUUCGAAUAGAAAGCAAUCCAGUGUGCUGAGAGGGCCCUGGGAAGCGGCAGAGGGCUUCACAUCUUUUGUUCAAACUAUGUUAUUAUUUGCAGCUGUGAGUCCUCUGUUAGUUGCAUGUUGUGUUUCUAUGCUCAGCGUUCCCGUUUAUUCGUUCCUGCAUUUUAUUUGAACUUAAGUGUACUCUACAUCUUUGAUCUCCCAUGUAGUUAAUUCCUUAGCUUUCUAGGUGAGUUCUGAUGAUGCGCUCUCAUGUAUUCUGGUGAGGUAAUAACAAGUGCCUUGGAGCAGCAAUAAAGCUUUUUUUCUUUAUAUGGCCGCCCUUCUCUGUACUGAUGCCUGUUCAAGUCAUCAUAUGUACAAGUGUUGGUGGUGCUGUAAUUCAUAUGAUCAAUUUGGAAAUUGUCACAUUUGGAUGCAACAGAGUGUCAGUGCAUAUGAGCAUUGAGAUGGCUAGAAGAGUAAUUGCCAUGCCAGUGGCUUGGAAUGUAAUUUUGAUAGCUAAUGUCAGUGGAUUGGCUUUAUGCAUUAACCCUCAAUGUAACUCCCAAGUUAUCAUCGUCAACAUCUUCAGAGAGGGUGGUCCGCUCCAGUCUGAUCCAGAGGUCCCAGUAAAUAUCACAUAACUAUUUGUACAAUACACAUUUACAGAGUUUCCUGCUAUGGUCAUGAUAUGGGCUGUUGACUUACAAUCCAACAACCAUGUUAGAGCAACUCCAAUGCGGUGACCCAAAUGUACACGCGUUUGGGUCGGCCGAGCGGAUGGGUGCGUUCACUUUUUUAUUUGGGUUGGGUGGUGCGCUCAACGGGUGGGAGACCCAAACCUGCGAGCGGCAUUAAAAAAAAACUUAGUAGAUAUGCGGCCAAAACAGUAAACUUGUCGCCCAAAGUUCACUUAAACAUUAAUGGGCGCGUCUACUGGGCGGCCGGCUGCCCAGUAGAGCGAUCCAGCGGCCAGUCAAAUAAGGUAAGUAUCUGUCCCUUUCAUUGUCAGAAAAAGAAAACAAAGGAAACAGCCACCUGUCCUACCGUUUGGGCAGCCGUUGCAUGCAUGCGUCUAGUGUUUGCAUGCCGAUGCAUUAAUGUUCCUCACGUUCGUUUCUUGUGCAUUAAUUUUUGAUUUUCAAAAUUAUAAAAGACAUAUCUUCUAAACCGCGUGUUGAAAUUCAGAUCCGUUUUCACCGUUGAAACCCUCGCGACGUGCUCUUCAAAAGUAGAUCCCGCAUGGCGAUGUUUCCACGAACUAGUCUUCCUGCCAAUUAAACAUCAAUAUGUGUGCAACUAGACUACAUGCUGCGCCAACUGAGCAUAUGUGUGUCAAUAGUCCUUCUGUCAAUUAAAUAUUAAUGUGUGUACAACUAGACUACAUUCCCGCGUCAAUUGAGCAUAUGUGUGUGUCAAUAGUCUUGCCAACUAAAUAUCAAUGUGUGUGCAACUAGAUUACAUUCCCGCGCCAACUGAGCAUAUAUGUGUGUAACUAGUCCUGUCAACUAAAUAUCAAUGUGUGUGCAACUAGACUACAUUGCCGCGUUAAUUACGCAUAUGUGUGUGCAACUAAUGUCCUGCCAACUAAACAUCAAUAUAUGUGUAAUUAGACUAAAUUACAAGCCAAUUGAGCAUAUGCAUGUGCAACUAGUCCUUCUAGCAACUAAACAUCAAUGUGUGUGCAACUAGACUACAUUAUAAGCCAACUAAACAUUAAUGUGUGUAUAAACUAGACUAAAUUACAAGCCAACUGAUUUUAAAAAAAGUUGCACGAUAUAGUACUAAAGUUGCACAAUGCAAUACUUUAGUUGCACCAUAUAGCAUCAAAAUUGGCAUCAAAAAAAUUUCGUCGAAACAUAUCCAUGCGGGAUCUAGUUUUAAAGAUCUCGUCGCGAUGAAUCUAACGAUGAAAACGGAACUGAAUUCCGACAUGUGGUUUAAAAGAUAUGACUUUAAAAGAAUUUGAAAUCCCGAAAUAAAAGUACGUGGAUCUGUUUUCUCUAACUGAUGAGACUAGUGUGAACAUAUUUAAUGCCAGCACCCACAUGCGCUACGAGACAAAAAAAUACGCAUGCAUGUGUGUGACAGACGCGGCCGCUCGAAAACACCAAAAAGCGCACGGCCACUUUUUAGAUUUUGGGAACAUUAAUAAAACUUAAAAAAAGUUUGCUCCGUUAGCACGUUGCCCUGUUGCCCAAAGUUCACUUAAACAUUAAUAAAACUUGAAAAAAGGUUUGCUCCGUCAGGACGUUGCCUUAGGCGUCGUCCUCCUCCUCCCUGAGGCCGGUGAGGUCAAUGAACAUCGGCUCCAGCCUAGCCCAUGGAAAGGUGGUAUCCCACGUCGCACGCGCUGCCUCCACCGUUUGUCCCGUUGGCUGUGGGGUUGGUGGCUGCACUGCUACUGCAUGGGCGUGCUCUUCCUCCGCCUCCCGUGCCAAGCGACGCUCCAGCUCCAAUUGUUGCUCGAUGUUGGCGUGCGCCCUCCAUUGUUGGAGGUACGCGACUUCUUGCUCUGGCAUCCCCCAAGCCACACGCGCGGCGCUGACCCACUCACGGAGCUGCCCGGUUCACUGGUAGACCUUUGGCUGGUGCUUCAUGGAAUGUGGUUUUGGUUUGGGGAGGAACGUCCUGCGAUGGCAGUAGCGAAGGGAGGAUGACACAAUCGCCGUGGCAGCCGCGGACAAUGUGAGGGCCUCCUCCAUGCCAACCCAGCGCGUGUCCUUGCGCUGGCUCUUCUUCAGGGCGCGCUGGAUGGUGGCCUCAACGGCCUAGUAGGUCGCAUGCACCUCCUCCUCCUCCGACAAGGAAGGGGGGAGGGUGCACAACAUGGUCGAUGUGGAUGCCGCGCGCGGCGCUCCUCCUCAUGCUCUAGCGCAAACCAGCGGUCCUAGUUGGGUAGUCUGGCGCAUAGGCACGCGUCGCGCACUGAUCCGACAUCAGGAGCUCGCAUCGCCGGCGAACAUCCUCGGCAUGCGCCCUCGCCGAGCACGGCACCGCCAGAACGGGGAUCCUUUGUGGGUCCAGAUGCCAACUGUGCGACAAGCUUACGUCUGGAUAUUGCAGGGGGCAACGGGACUGCCAGUGCCUGAUAGAGGCUAAGGUGUCCCGUCUUUCGAUGAGAUGAUGGAUAUCGCUUUGGUGGAAGUCGACUUUGACGAUCCGACUACGAACGUGCGAGGACGUCGCGCCUUAGCAAUCGCUAAACCAACUCCGAGAGGUUAUUGACCACGCCGGAGCACGAUCAACCUGACCACGAGGGUUUGUUUCCUGCGAGCAAACGAAGAACAAGCAAGAAACUAAGAUUGCAAUCUGGAUAUUGCGAAUAUAAGAUGAAAGCUUUAUUGAUCAAGGUGGGGUUCUUGACGCCUUUGUCUGGUCGUUGAACACAAACGAAGUACGCGAAGUUGCAGCUAUGGCGAACUUUUAAUCUAAACAAAACCCAAAGUCUAAACGAUGCCCUAAGGGCUGUAUAUAUGGAGGAAGAGGGGGGGAAUUUCGUGGCCCUUGGUGGAGGGGUCCGAAAUCAACCCUAUCUCUUGUUUCCCCACACAUACGGACUCUAAAAAUAGCCUAUACUUAUGUAUUUCGAAAUUACAUGGGCCUGGCCCAAUAAUAAGGUGACGCAGCACCUAAAAUAGCCUCGGGACGAAAUUUAUGAAGUGGCAUCUUGUAUAUUUCGUCCAAGGCUUCAUGCACCCAUUAUGGUGGCUUCAAAGUCCUGAAAUCAUCACUUGUAACCCCGUUCUUGUUUCCCUUGCGCAUGCCAUCAUCUCCAUGCUUGUUCUUGCUCCAAUGUUCAUCCUUCUCCAAGCUAGGCCCUUCAUUUGUAAGCAAAACAAAUGUAUCCAAUUUAGGCAGCAUCAUAUUCUCAUGAACAUUAGAAUCAUUACCAAGAAACGAAAGUACCUGGUAAUUUAGUUGGCGUGCACGAGCUCUAGUAAUUGGUCCAGUAUGUAUAGCAGCAGGGGCUGUGGGUGUAACAAUUGUAUUGAUGUCCUCAUCAAAUAGCCUAUACUUAUGUAUUUCGAAAUUACAUGGGCCUGGCCCAAUAAUAAGGUGACGCAGCACCUAAAAUAGCCUCGGGACGAAAUUUAUGAAGUGGCGUCUUGUAUAUUUCGUCCAAGGCUUCAUGCACCCAUUAUGGUGGCUUCAAAGUCCUGAAAUCAUCACUUGUAACUCCGUUCUUGUUUCCCUUGCGCAUGCCAUCAUCUCCAUGCUUGUUCUUGCUCCAAUGUUCAUCCUUCUCCAAGCUAGGCCCUUCAUUUGUAAGCAAAACAAAUGUAUCCAAUUUAGGCAGCAUCAUAUUCUCAUGAACAUUAGAAUCAUUACCAAGAAACGAAAGUACCUGGUAAUUUAGUUGGCGUGCACGAGCUCUAGUAAUUGGUCCAGUAUGUAUAGCAGCAGGGGCUGUGGGUGUAACAAUUGUAUUGAUGUCCUCAUCAUCUCUCACAAAACGCCUAUAGAAUCCAGCGAGGCCAAGAAAACUCCUCACUUGUGUGACCCUUUUGGGUUGCGGCCAACUCUGAAUAGCUUCAAUCUUGGCUUUAUCAACUUCAAUUCCCUGUGGAGUAACAACAUAGCCAAGAAAAGAUACUCGGUCGGUGCAAAAGGUGCACUUCCCAAGGUUACCAAACAAACGUGCAUCACGUAGAGCAAUAAAAACAGCACGUAAAUGUUCCAAAUGUUCCUCCAAAGAUCUGCUAUAAAUCAAUAUGUCAUCAAAGUAAACUACCACAAAUCGUCCAAUGAAAGCACGUAAAACUUCGUUCAUUAAUCUCAUGAAAGUACUAGGUGCAUUAGUUAACCCAAAAGGCAUGACUAACCACUCAUAUAAUCCAAACUUAGUUUUAAAUGCUGUUUUCCAUUCAUCUCCCAAUUUCAUACGAAUUUGAUGGUAGCCACUACGCAAAUCAACUUUGGAGAAUAUUGUAGAGCCACUCAAUUCAUCAAGCAUAUCAUCUAGCCUAGGAAUAGGAUGACGAUAACAAAUAGUAAUAUUAUUAAUGCCUCUACAAUCAACACACAUACGUGAUGUACCAUCCUUUUUCGGCACUAGAAUAAUAGGAACAGCACAAGGACUAAGGGAUUCGCGUAUAUAACCUUUGUCGAGAAGCUCUUGUACUUGACGCAUAAUCUCCUUCGUCUCCUCUGGAUUGGUACGGUAUGGUGCACAGUUUGGCAAUGAAGCACCGGGAAUUAAGUCAAUCUGAUGCUCAAUCCCUCGAAUAGGCGGUAAUCCCGGUGGCACGUCUUGUGGAAAAACGUCAGCGAACUCCUGCAAAAUGUUAGUGACAGCAGGAGGCAAAGAGGAAGGCACGUCCUCGAAUGAAAAUAAUGCCUCUUUGCACACAAAAGCAUAGCAAACAGAUUUGCUGAAAUCUAGCUCAUCAAUAUCAGAUUUGGUGGCAAAUAAACAUGCACUUUUCAAUUUAAUUUCAGAAGCAACACUAGAUGAUUUAUUAUUAGGCUUCAUUUGUUGCUCAAAUUCUUUUGCCACAAUCUGAUUUUCACUCUUAUUCUUCUCCUGUUGUGCUUUAUUAGCUCUAUUAAUAUCAUCUUUCAAAAUGGAAUCAGGAGUCAUAGGAAGCAAAGUAAUAUUUUUAUCCUUAUGAACAAGAGUAUAGUGAUUGUUUCUACCAUGGUGUACAGAAUUUUUAUUAAAUUGCCAUGGUCUACCAAGUAAUAAGGAACAUGCUUGCAUAGGUACCACAUCACAAUCAACAUAAUCAGCAUAUGUAGAGAUACUAAAAUGCACACGAACAGUACGUGUUACCUUAACCUUGCCGCUGUUGUUGAACCAUUGGAUGUAGUAAGGAUGUGGAUGUGGUCUUGUGGUGAGAGAAAGCUUCUCCACCAUCUCCAUGCUAGCCAAGUUGUUGCAGCUCCCUCCGUCUAUUAUGACGCGCACAGAACGUUCCUUCACAACUCCCUUGGUAUGGAACAAAUUGUGCCUCUGAUUUUGCUCAGCUUGUGUGACCUGCACACUCAAAACACGUUGAGCAACUAAACAUUCAUACCUGUCAGCGUCUUCAGGAGCCAUGUAUUGCGUCUCAUGAUCAGAAUCAUCUCCACCAUGUUCCUCACGUGUAAUAAGAGCCAAAGUCUCCUCAUCAUAGUCACUAGUGGACUCAUAUCCACCAUCCGCGAUAGCAAUCAUCACACGCGGAGAUUUGCAUUCUCUCGCAUAAUGACCUCCUCCCUUACAACGACGACAAAUAAUAUCACUUGUGUGCCCUGUUGAUGCCAUGGAAGAAGAAGAACGCUGUGCAGGCCCCGCAGGUGCGCUCUUGGCAGAUAAUGGUGGUUGUGCCUGUUUUCUUGUAUCACGGCUGGAGGUGGCACCGGAUGGAGGUGCUGGUGCAGUUGAAGUAGAAGAUGCACGUGGUGUCCAUGAUGAAGGUCGGCCUGCAGAAAAGUUAGUUCGCCCCAAUGCUUGUCGAUCCUGCACUUCACGUUCAGCUUUACAAGCAAGAUGGAAUAAACGAGUGAUAUUAGUAUACUCCUUAUAGUCUAGAAUGGUCUGAAUCUCUCUAUUUAAUCCACCCAGAAAACGUGCAAGCAUAGCUUCAUUCUCAUCAACAAUACCACAUCUAAUCAUGCCAGUUUGUAAUUCCUGAUAAUAUUCUUCUACAGAAUUUUUCCCUUGUCUUAAACGCUGCAAUUUUUGAAGCAAUUCACGUUGAUAAUAUGGUGGAACCCAACGCGUACGCAUAGCAGUUUUCAAAGCAGCCCAAGUAGUUGGAAUAGGAUAUAAUCUACAAUGUUCAGACCACCAUACACAUGCAAAACUAGUGAAAGCACAAACGGCAGCAGCAACUCGUCUCUCCUCAGGAUAUUGUAAACAUGUAAAUCGUUGUUCAGUUUCUAACUCCCAAGUAAGAUAAAUUCUACCCUUAUCUCCAGCAAGUUUAUAUUUAGCAUUCAUGCGCUCAAUGUUUUCCUUAGUUAACUCAUGCAUUUUUAAAAUCAAUUCAGCACGUUGUUUAGCAUCAAAAUUAACCUUCUCCGAAGAUGGAAGAGGCAACAAAUCAAUAGGUGCACGAGGUAGGAAACCUUACACAACUUCAAAAGGGCACAUCUUAGUAGUAGAAUGCAAUGAACGAUUAUAAGCAAAUUCAAUAUGAGGCAAGCAUUCCUCCCACAUUUUCUUAUUAUUCUUCAAAACAGCCCUAAGCAUAGUAGACAACGUUCUAUUGACUACUUCAGUUUGUCCAUCAGUUUGGGGGUGACAAGUAGUACUAAAAAGCAGUUUAGUCCCCAACUUAGCCCAUAAACAUCUCCAAAAGUGGCUAAGAAAUUUAGUAUCACGAUCUGAAACAAUAGUAUUUGGCACACCAUGCAAGCGAAUAAUUUCACGAAAGAACAAAUCAGCAACAUUAACAACAUCAUCGCUUUUAUGACAUGGUAUAAAGUGUGCCAUUUUCGAGAAUCUAUCCACGACAACAAAUAUGCUAUCCCUCCCCUUCUUUGUUCGAGGUAAACCUAAAACAAAGUCCAUAGAUAUAUCCUCCCAAGGAACACUAGGUACAGGCAAAGGCAUAUAUAAACCAUGAGGAUUGAGGCGUGACUUAGCUUUUUGACAUGUAGUGCAGCGAGCAAUAAAACGCACAACAUCCCGUCUCAUCUUUGGCCAAAAGAAAUGUGUAGCAAGUACGUCCUCCGUCUUCUUCACGCCAAAGUGUCCCAUUAAUCCUCCUCCAUGCGCCUCCUGCAACAACAAAAGACGAACGGAGCUAGCUGGAAUGCAUAGCUUGUUAGCACGAAACACAAAUCCAUCGUUAACAACAAACUUGUUCCACAUUCUUCCUUCUUUACAAUUAUGCAUUACAUCUUUAAAAUCAGCAUCAUGCACAUAUUGAUCUUUGAUGGUCUCCAAACCAAAUAUUUUGAAGUCAAGUUGUGAAAGUAUAGUAUAGCGACGAGACAAAGCAUCAGCAAUAACAUUUUCUUUUCCCUUCUUGUGUUUAAUGACAUAAGGGAAAGUCUCAAUGAAUUCAACCCAUUUAGCAUGUCUACGAUUCAGUUUAGCUUGACUUUUAAUAUGUUUCAAUGAUUCAUGAUCAGAAUGUAUAACAAAUUCUUUGGGCCAUAAAUAAUGUUGCCAUGUUUCUAAAGUCCGAACAAGAGCAUAUAAUUCUUUAUCAUAAGUAGAAUAAUUCAGACUAGGCCCACUCAAUCUUUUAGAAAAGUAUGCAACAGGUUUGCCAUCUUGUAAUAACACACCUCCUAUUCCAAUUCCACUAGCAUCACAUUCAAGCUCAAAAGUCUUAUUAAAAUCAGGAAGUUGGAGUAAAGGAGCAUGUGUCAACUUAUCUUUCAAUACCGUGAAGGCUUCUUCCUGUGCGGUACCCCAAAGAAAAGGCACAUCUUUCUUUGUAAGCUCAUUGAGAGGUGCAUCAAUGGUGCUGAAAUCUCUCACAAAACGCCUAUAGAAUCCAGCGAGGCCAAGAAAACUCCUCACUUGUGUGACCGUUUUGGGCUGUGGCCAACUCUCAAUAGCUUCAAUCUUGGCUUUAUCAACUUCAAUUCCCUGUGGAGUAACAACAUAGCCAAGAAAAGAUACUCGGUCGGUGCAAAAGGUGCACUUCCCAAGGUUACCAAACAAACGUGCAUCACGUAGAGCAAUAAAAACAGCACGUAAAUGUUCCAAAUGUUCCUCCAAAGAUCUGCUAUAAAUCAAUAUGUCAUCAAAGUAAACUACCACAAAUCGUCCAAUGAAAGCACGUAAAACUUCGUUCAUUAAUCUCAUGAAAGUACUAGGUGCAUUAGUUAACCCAAAAGGCAUGACUAACCACUCAUAUAAUCCAAACUUAGUUUUAAAUGCUGUUUUCCAUUCAUCUCCCAAUUUCAUACGAAUUUGAUGGUAGCCACUACGCAAAUCAGCUUUGGAGAAUAUUGUAGAGCCACUCAAUUCAUCAAGCAUAUCAUCUAGCCUAGGAAUAGGAUGACGAUAACGAAUAGUAAUAUUAUUAAUGCCUCUACAAUCAACACACAUACGUGAUGUACCAUCCUUUUUCGGCACUAGAAUAAUAGGAACAGCACAAGGACUAAGGGAUUCGCGUAUAUAACCUUUGUCGAGAAGCUCUUGUACUUGACGCAUAAUCUCCUUCGUCUCCUCUAGAUUGGUACGGUAUGGUGCACGGUUUGGCAGUGAAGCACCGGGAAUUAAGUCAAUCUGAUGCUCAAUCCCUCGAAUAGGCGGUAAUCCCGGUGGCACGUCUUGUGGAAAAACGUCAGCGAACUCCUGCAAAAUGUUAGUGACAGCAGGAGGCAAAGAGGAAGGCACAUCCUCGAAUGAAAAUAAUGCCUCUUUGCACACAAAAGCAUAGCAAACAGAUUUGCUGAAAUCUAGCUCAUCAAUAUCAGAUUUGGUGGCAAAUAAACAUGCACUUUUCAAUUUAAUUUCAGAAGCAACACUAGAUGGUUUAUUAUUAGGCUUCAUUUGUUGCUCAAAUUCUUUUGCCACAAUCUGAUUUUCACUCUUAUUCUUCUCCUGUUUUGCUUUAUUAGCUCUAUUAAUAUCAUCUUUCAAAAUGGAAUCAGGAGUCAUAGGAAGCAAAGUAAUAUUUUUAUCCUUAUGAACAAGAGUAUAGUGAUUGUUUCUACCAUGGUGUACAGAAUUUUUAUCAAAUUGCCAUGGUCUACCAAGUAAUAAGGAACAUGCUUGCAUAGGUACCACAUCACAAUCUACAUAAUCAGCAUAUGUAGAGAUACUGAAAUGCACACGAACAGUACGUGUUACCUUAACCUUGCCGCUGUUGUUGAACCAUUGGAUGUAGUAAGGAUGUGGAUGUGGUCUUGUGGUGAGAGAAAGCUUCUCCACCAUCUCCAUGCUAGCCAAGUUGUUGCAACUACCUCCGUCUAUGAUGACGCGCACAGAACGUUCCUUCACAACUCCCUUGGUAUGGAACAAAUUGUGCCUCUGAUUUUGCUCAGCUUGUGUGACCUGCACACUCAAAACACGUUGAGCAACUAAACAUUCAUACCUGUCAGCGUCUUCAGGAGCCAUGUAUUGCGUCUCAUGAUCAGAAUCAUCUCCACCAUGUUCUUCACGUGUAAUAAGAGCCAAAGUCUCCUCAUCAUAGUCACUAGCGGACUCAUAUCCACCAUCCGCGGUAGCAAUCAUCACACGCGGAGAUUUGCAUUCUCUCGCAUAAUGACCUCCUCCCUUACAACGACGACAAAUAAUAUCACUUGUGUGCCCAGUUGAUGCCAUGGAAGAAGAAGAACGCUGUGCAGGCCCCGCAGGUGCGCUCUUGGCAGAUAAUGGUGGUUGUGCCUGUUUUCUUGUAUCACGGCUGGAGGUGUCACCGGAUGGAGGUGCUGGUGCAGUUGAAGUAGAAGAUGCACGUGGUGUCCAUGAUGAAGGUCGGCCUGUAGAAAAGUUAGUUCGCCCCAAUGCUUGUCGAUCCUGCACUUCACGUUCAGCUUUACAAGCAAGAUGGAAUAAACGAGUGAUAUUAGUAUACUCCUUAUAGUCUAGAAUGGUCUGAAUCUCUCUAUUUAAUCCACCCAGAAAACGUGCAAGCAUAGCUUCAUUCUCCUCAACAAUACCACAUCUAAUCAUGCCAGUUUGUAAUUCCUGAUAAUAUUCUUCUACAGAAUUUUUCCCUUGUCUUAAACGCUGCAAUUUUUGAAGCAAUUCACGUUGAUAAUAUGGUGGAACCCAACGUGUACGCAUAGCAGUUUUCAAAGCAGCCCAAGUAGUUGGAAUAGGAUAUAAUCUACAAUGUUCAGACCACCAUACACAUGCAAAACUAGUGAAAGCACAAACGGCAGCAGCAACUCGUCUCUCCUCAGGAUAUUGUAAACAUGUAAAUCGUUGUUCAGUUUCUAACUCCCAAGUAAGAUAUAUAUCAGGAACAUAUCUACCCUCAAAUGGUGGAAUAUUCAAUUUCAGUUUAGGAAUAUGGACAUCAUCUCGUACCUGAGGUGGUGGUGCAGGCCUACCAUUACGAAUAUAUACCUGAGGUCGACCUGCUGGUGGUGGUACAGGUGGCUGCACGUAGUGUUGAUUUUGAUCAACCUCAUCCGCAUAAUCUUCCACAUAAUCAUCCUCCUCCGCAUCAGCAGCAGGAGCCACAGAAGUAUCAACAGCAGCACCAACAGUUUGGCCAAACGCAAGAGGAACACGGCUUGCUUGGCGGAGGUCUGCUUCGCGACGUGGAGGUAGUCGUUGUUGUUGCUGUUGGAGAGGUGCGUUAGCUGCAGCGGGUGGCGGUGGUGGAAGACGCGCGAGCAAUUCAUUAAACUUGUUAUCGAGCUUUGUUUCGAACGUCUUCUCAAAGCCAGUGAUCUUCUCCAUGGCCUCUUCAAAAUUGUUCAGCACAUCUUGCACCUGUUCAGUCAUCAUUUGCUGAAACUUAUCAUGAAGCUCCUUGUUCGAUAAAUUCUCCCAGUCAAUCUCGUCGGCUUGUGAUCCUGGCAUGGUUAGCAGCAAUAGAAACACACAAGAAUAUGAUCCUACAGACUACGAACAAGUAGUGGUGGUGGGUGUCACAAAUACGUCAAGCAAAUCUCAAAUUCUUACCAGUUCUUACCCAGCAGCAGGCGGUGAUCGGCAACCGUUGUAGUCAAAAACUCUCAAAGCUUGGAAAGUGCGAUUACCAGGGAGAGUCAAACGCACGACGUAGAUGUAUGUGGAGCUGGGAAGGCUUAUAAUAUGGUAGCAAAAAGGGUCAGCAAUAAUCAAUUCAGAGAUGCAAAGUUGAAUAAACGCUCAACGACGGUACUGUGCUGGUCCUAGGCUAGACUGUGCUAGAGACGCGAGCCUAGAACACUAACAAAAUCACGGCGCGGCACGUAAAUAAGGGAAAACACACUCUGGAUUUUUUUUUUCGCUCUUUUUUUUUGCGCUGUUUUUUUUUUGCGAAAAAUCACUAUAAUGGCGAGUGUCUCAAAACUCUUCUUAACUCAAACUGACAGGAUGGGCACGAAAUUUUUUUUGACCAAUUUUUUUUUUGACUGCCCGGACCCAAAAACUGGAAACGGGUCAAAAAAAACUUCCUAUAAUGGCACCUGUCUCAAAACACUCAGAAACACCUAAAAAUAAGAUAGCCAGAAAUUUUUUCGAAAAAUGCGUUUUCGAAAAAUUUUGGGCCUAAACAGAGCGUGGCUACCCGACUCUUUUUUUUUUCCGAAACCUACUCCGGCAAGGAAACACGAAUCGGAAUCUAGAUGGAUCUCGAAAACAAACCUAAUAUGACAAGAACUUGGAUUGGUGGUGGAUAUAUGGUGGUAGAUGGCAGCGAUGGUGGCAUAUGACAGCUGUGGUGGUAUAUGGAUACGGAUUCGAAGCGGUGGCGGAUAAGCGGUGGUGGUAGAUGGCAGGGGCGAUGAUGAUGGUGCGGCGGCGGCGUGACAACUUAUGACCAGAACUCGAAACUCUAAAAGACUAGACUCUAAGACCAGCAACUAGACACGACGAUGCAACCGCAAAUUCAACAAAGCAAAACCCUAAAAAGAUUAUGCAAAGGCUCAGAUUGGUUCGGAUAUGAUGAACUAACCCUAAUUUUUUUUUGUGGCUUUUUCGUGGACUGUAGGUAUGAAGAACAGACUCGAUCUAAACUACGAAAAACUGUAAAAUCUCACCGAGCAACCUGGAAAUCUGAUACCACUUGAUAGAGGCUAAGGUGUCCCGUCUUUCGAUGAGAUGAUGGAUAUCGCUUUGGUGGAAGUCGACUUUGACGAUCCGACUACGAACGUGCGAGGACGUCGCGCCUUAGCAAUCGCUAAACCAACUCCGAGAGGUUAUUGACCACGCCGGAGCACGAUCAACCUGACCACGAGGGUUUGUUUCCUGUGAGCAAACGAAGAACAAGCAAGAAACUAAGAUUGCAAUCUGGAUAUUGCGAAUAUAAGAUGAAAGCUUUAUUGAUCAAGGUGGGGUUCUGUGACGCCUUUGUCUGGUCGUUGAACACAAACGAAGUACGCGAAGUUGCAGCUAUGGCGAACUUUUAAUCUAAACAAAACCCAAAGUCUAAACGAUGCCCUAAGGGCUGUAUAUAUGGAGGAAGAGGGGGGGAAUUUCGUGGCCCUUGGUGGAGGGGUCCGAAAUCAACCCUAUCUCUUGUUUCCCCACACAUACGGACUCUAAAAAUAGCCUAUACUUAUGUAUUUCGAAAUUACAUGGGCCUGGCCCAAUAAUAAGGUGACGCAGCACCUAAAAUAGCCUCGGGACGAAAUUUAUGAAGUGGCAUCUUGUAUAUUUCGUCCAAGGCUUCAUGCACCCAUUAUGGUGGCUUCAAAGUCCUGAAAUCAUCACUUGUAACCCCGUUCUUGUUUCCCUUGCGCAUGCCAUCAUCUCCAUGCUUGUUCUUGCUCCAAUGUUCAUCCUUCUCCAAGCUAGACCCUUCAUUUGUAAGCAAAACAAAUGUAUCCAAUUUAGGCAGCAUCAUAUUCUCAUGAACAUUAGAAUCAUUACCAAGAAACGAAAGUACCUGGUAAUUUAGUUGGCGUGCACGAGCUCUAGUAAUUGGUCCAGUAUGUAUAGCAGUAGGGGCUGUGGGUGUAACAAUUGUAUUGAUGUCCUCAUCAGUGCCACUGUGCUUGGUGGACUGGUAUGUACAACCGCUCCCGCUCCCGCGGUAGCGAGCCGACAACGACGGAGAAAGAGACGCGUGAGAAGCUCACGCCGGCACUAAACUUGCCCUUCUCCUUCCCACUGAAGAAACCCAUGGUUGGCUGGCUGGCUAGGGUUUCUGGUUGCCAGCGAGGGAGCAGGCGUGGCCAGAUGUGGACGGGGCGGUGGAAGUGGAUGGGGCCAGCCCCGCCGCACGCUUGCAUUAAAAAGGACGGGCACACGACAUUUCCACCCAUUGCUAGGUGGGCCCAAGGUAGGUGGGCGCGUCUACUAUGACCGCGUGCGGUGGUUGGGUGGCCGACAUGUGGGGACGCGGCGGACAUGUAGCGGACGCAAACCGGCCCCAAAUUUGGGCCAGAAAUGGAUCGACGCGGACAUCUAGCGGACACGUUUUGGGUUUGAAUCGGCGCGUUGGGUCGGAGUUUUUGUCCGUGAUGACCCAAACAAACACACGCGGAACGAGAUGGGUCGCGCUUAGACUAGUCAUAGUGGGAGUAACUUCGGCAGUAAUAUCGAGUCCAACUCAACAAAAUUGCUUAUGUGGUAAUGAGUUAAUGAGGAGAGAGAUAGUUUCAGUAACUUAGCUAGUUAUUGUAACAUCACAUGUCCCAAUGCAAUAUGAGUCUAUAACCUAAUAAAUGAAUCUUUGCAUGUUACCACACUUAUGUUACUACCCACUAUGAAGGUAGUAACAUAAUCCAGGGAUAUGUGUAUGUUACUAGCGUAUAUUACUCUCCAUUGUGGCCACUUGUAGGGCGUGACCUGCUGUCACCGGGUUUCUGUCCCAACACGACACGUGCACUCGGUGUAACUCUAGUGCGCUAGUCGCCACUCCACUCGACCACUCCCCUCAAGCUGCCUGCCUUCAUCCUUCUUCCCCCCCUAUGCAUCGGAGUAGUAUUAUUUUUGCUAAAUGACCCCUUCUCUGGUCCUUAUUAUUUGCAGCAUCUACAGCCGGACCUGAACCCGGAUCUGGACCGGAGAUCCAUCCGGACCCGGAUCUCUUCUCCCGCCGGGGCCGAACCCUCGGACCAGUCCGGCUGCGAGAGGCCACCGGCCAGGCUCCCGAGCGGCGGACGCGCCGGGCCGCCGCUCAUCGGGGCCAGCCCCUCCCGCCGCGCCGGCUCGCGCAUCGGCUCGGAGGCCCCUCGGGGCUGCCGCCGGUGCGGGAGGCGUCCGCGGCCGUGCAGGCUGCUGGUGCCCGUGGUGCGCUCCGGUCGAGGGCUUGGUCGGGCCGGCGCGGGAUCUGAGCUGCCGUCCAUGGAUUUCUCGCAGCUUGGCUGCGUUUCGCUUUGGAUCCGGUACGGUCCCCCGAUCUCUCUCUCUCUCUCUCUCUCAGACUCUCACACGACACGCGCGCGUAGAGUUCACACCAGUAAAUCCUAAACCGAAUCAGCCGGGCUCUCGUUGCCGCCUCAGUUCCCCAGCGCUGCUACGGUGCCGCCAGCCACCGCCAUUCCAUUUCCAUUGGCUUGGAUUCGGUUGUGGCGUCGGCUGGGAACCGUAGGAUGAUGUCUGAGGUUUGGUCGGUCGAGGCCAGGUAUGAGCAGCUCCUGAGAAGGAUGGAUGAGUGGACGCAUUAGGUGUCGUGAACUAAAACCACGACACUUGGUUUGGAACGGAGGGAGUAUAUUUUUAAACCAAAUCAGGGGAGCUCUCGUUGCCGGAUCGCUGACCUAUCGUCCGGAUGCCCGUCGCGUCAGUUCCCCACCGCUACAGUGCUGCCAGCCACCGUCGUCCCAUUGUCUUGGAUUCGGUUGUGCGUGUCGGCUGGGAACCAUACGGUGUUGUCUGAUGCGUCGUCGGACCGGAGAUUUGGUCGGUCGAGGCCAGGUAUGAGCGGCCCCUGAGCAGGAAGGAAGGAUGGAUGGAUCUAUGGAUAGAUGGAUGUAUGCAUGCAUAUAUGUAUGGAUAUCACUCCGCAAAAAAGAAAAGAAAAAAAUAUGUAUGGAUAUCAUGGUCAUGUUGCUCGGGAGUUCAACCUCCUUUUUGGAAAAAAAAGAGGGGCGAUGCCGAUGAUGAUGACUGUGGCUGAAUUUAUCAUGUCUUGAGCAAUCAAGACAGCUUGGCGAGGUGGGACUAAACAGUGCCAGAAAAUUGGUGUCUGCGUUGGAGUUGGCCUUAGAGCCCACCCUUGCCUCUCUUGCAGCCUGUCCAAUUCAUCGCCAAUGUUGGAUGUUCUUUGCCUUGGAUGGUCAUUCUGAUGAGUGAUAACCAGGGCAGUUCUCUUACAUGGCAAUGGGUGGAUUAUGCAGCAAGAGAUGUGAGUGUUGGGUUUGAAGAUGAAAUGCUAAACUGAGCCCUCUUUUGCUCAGUUCAGUUGCAUUUUGUUUUGGAUUCAGUAUGGGUCCUCCUCACCUCUCUCUCUCUCUCUCUCUCCCUAAAACAAACCAGUCAAGCUCUCAUUGCCGACUUGCUAUCCCAUCGUCCAGGUGGCUGCCACGUCAGUUCCCCGUCUCUAUGGUGCUGCCAGCCACUGCCAUUCCAUUGCCUUGGAUUUGGUUGUGGCGUGGGCUGGGAACCGUAAGGCGUUGUCUGAUGCGUCGUCCACACUGGGAGGUUUGGUCAGUGAGCAGCUCCUGAGACUGAGACUAGUCAUAGUGGGAGUAACUUAGGUUUUAGUUCAACAAAUUGAACUAAAACCACGACAGUAAUUAUGGAACGGAGGGAGUAGUAACAUGCAUGCCACAUAGGCAAAAAAGAUUAUGUGACAAGUAAUUAAAGAGGAUGGAUGGAUGGAUGUGUGCAUGCCUGUAAUGGAUAUCAUGGAUGCGACAAGUUACUUACCACUACGACCAGCCUGAUGGAUGGAUGGAUGGAUGAUGUAUGCAUGCUACUGUGUGAUGAAGAGAUGGAGUUCUUACCAGGGGCGAUGAUGAUGACCGUGGCUGAAAUAAGCAUGUCUUGAGCAAUUAAGACAGCUGUGGCCUAUGGGUACUAAAUUAGAGCACACCCUUACCUCUCUUGCAGCCUGUUCAAUUCAUCGCUAAUGUUGGAUGUUCUGCGCCUUGGACGGUCAUUCUGAUAAAUGAUAACCAGGACAGUUCUUUUACAUCGCGAUGGGUAGAUUAUGCAGCAAGAGAUGUGAGUGUUGGGCUUGAAGAUGAAAGGCAAAACUGAGCCCUCUUUUGCUACGCUACAAAUAUUCGAUUUUACCCUCUACUAUGCACUGUUUUUUCUUUUCUAUUCCUCUCUAUUGCGUUGAUGUGGGUAACGGCCCAUCUGGACUUGGAUUGAUGUCUUCUCUUGGUGAUGAAGCCAACCGCCCUAGCUUGGAUUGAUUUCCAGCUGGCUUUGUUUUUGCCUGUAUAGUUGUACAAACUAUAUAUGUCAAACGCACUAUUGUUUUUGACUUGGAUUUCUACCUUACGUUUUUCUUCUUUUCCAGAAUGGAAAAUUUAUAUUAUCCUGUUUUUAUUUGGCUUGGAGUUGCUCCUUUUAUCUGAAGUGAACAAAUGUAAAUUGCUUCUUUCAUUGCUAGUAAUACAGCCAUCAGCAUAGUGUUCCAAAUUAACUUCUGAACACAAGAUAUUUGUUUCUGUUGAGUGUUGAUGAGUUCUAUUCUUUUCUGAAUGGCUAUGAUGAUUUCCUCGUCUUGGUGUUGAAGAUCUUUCAACAUAUCCUGAGAUAGUGAUGAUUGGUUCCAUUCAACUUUGCCCAGUUAGACAGUUAGUCAUUAUACUAGGAGGGCUUGCUCUGCUGCAAGUUACCAGUUGUGGCUAUUUGUUGCUGGGCGGGGAAAGAGAGAGAGAGAGAGAUGGUAAGGAGAGACCUGAAGGACUGGAAUAUCACCAAAGAACUAGCCAUGGGCAGGGGUGCAUGGAAAUUAGCUAUCCACGUGCCUAUCCCAACUUGUUUGGGACUGAACGGCUUUGUUGUUGUUGUUGUUUGGUACCGAAAGGCCUACCUGAAGCAUUUUCCAACUUUGGUGAUAUAUGGUGGGUUAAAUCUGAGCCAUUCAAGUAAUACUCCAACAUUUUUCUGGAUUUUGCGAACUAUUCGUGCAUGUGUUUGUUAUGACACCUGUGUCUGAUACUUCUACUACUGUUUGGUUAUAGUAAUUUUGAUCAGUGAGUAACUUUAGAAUGUACUCCAGAAAACAGCUUGAUUUUCCUUAAUAACUUUGUUUGUUUCUUCUUGCUUUUAAGAAUACCUGUUUGGUAACUGUGAAUGGUCAUGGGUUCAUUGCGAAAAUUAAGUUGUAUAUAUUCUAUACAUUGUGGGCCUGUAGCUUGAAAAAGAAACCUGGCAUUACCUAUGGCUUUGGGUUCUCUGUUACGGCUCUGGUUCUUUGUGUGGACCUUCUGGGAAGGUGAGAUGGUGUGAAAUCUUUUAUUUGAACCAAUUUAAAAGCAGAUUCUUGUUGAUGCUAUUUUUCAGUUUUUUGGUCCUAUUUUCGCAUCCAUUGUCAAAUUUUCUUCUAUUGAUAUUUGCCAUUGUAGUCCUCCUUAACUUCCACUAUGAAUGCAUGCCAUCCCUAUGUCCUCAUAAAGCUUCAUCUGUGAGGGAGAGGCAUCGAUGAGGAAGGAUGCUGGUGGUGAUGCCUGCCGUCUCCCUAUCAAUUUGACUGGAUAAGUUCAUUCUUCUGCUGUAUUCUUUAUCUACUUAUCAGUUUGUACUUUUGGUUUCUCGUUACUUCUUUACUGGUUUCAAGUUUCAACUUAAGGGUCGUAUAUGGCAUGUUAAGAUUACUGUUUUCUUUGUGUCAUGUUCAUGAAUGGCUGUGAUGAUAUAGCUUCCCUGCGAGAGCUUCUAUCUAACACCUGAAUUGAUUCACUUGGUGCUAAACUAGGAUGGCUUGUGUCACAGCAAGUAACCAGUUUAGCGGCUAACUAUUACUCCCUCCGUUCGCAAAUACUCCUUCCGUCCCCAAAUAUAAGUCUUUCUAGAGAUUCCAACAAGUGACUACAUACGGUGCAAAAUGAAUGAAUCUACACUCUAAAAUAUGUCUACAUACAUCCAUAUGUUGUAGUCCAUUUGAAAUGUAUAAAAAGACUUAUACUAGGAACGGAGGGAGUAUAAAUGUUCGUGGUCAUUCUACCAGAAAUUCAGUUAUGGUGUUGAGAUGGGAGUGUAUCUGAGCCAUUUACUUAUACAUGUCCCAGUUUUUGUGUCCUCCAGUUCAUGAUUUGCUCCUGAUAUAGUGAUUCUUUCUGCUAUUACUGAUUCUCCUGUGUUUUCUUGUCAUCUUGCGCUUCUCUGUUAUUCUCUUUGUUGGAUUUACGCCAAGUGCUGUUGAUGGCGAUGACGAGUAAGGUUCAUUCAGAGGUGUACUGAGAUCAUAUACCAUCGCCUGUUUGCAUGGUAUGGGUUAGGGUCAGGUAGGGUUUUGUGUGACUAGAUGGAAGCGUGCAAAUCAGGACGGCUUGCUUUCUGUGAGCAAAAUGAAUGCUGAAAUGUCACACAGGGGCAUCUCCAACGUGGAUCACCACGUGCAUGGGAUACAGCGUGGGUUUUGCCCAUAUGAUAGACGAGCCAACUCUGAGCCUCCCAUUUCUUCUUUUAAUAAAUACGACCUCUCUACAAUUUGUGCUUAUGUGCUUACGUAUAUAAUCUUCUCAAUCUGUUAAUGAAUUAUAGCAGUAUUGGGAUCUCACUGUAAUAUAUGUUAUGGUCUUUGACACUUACGAGAAAUGCUCAUAGCGAACUGGAUGUUGAGCUAUUUUACACUUGCAUACUCAGAAUGCUUUGAAUUACUGAUGCAUCAACAGGUUCUACUUUGUUUGACUAAGAAACAAUCCUGUGUGGCAAGGGCCUUGGCAAGCGGCAAAGGGCUUCACAUCUUCUGUUCAAACAAUGCGAUUGCUUGUUCUGUUUUCUUUGCUCAGCGUUCCUGUUUAGUCAUUCCUUCAUUUUAUUUCGCGCAAGGUUUCCUUCCCUUCCAUACCUAUAUAUUAUAUAAAUUGUUCUACGUUGCUCUUUCUGAUUCAUGCAUCUGCUGCACUAUGGCACCUCAAGCUUCAGCAAAAAUAUAUUACGUUUGGUCUUUGAUGUCAUCAUAUAUUUAUUUAGUUUUGAGUCCACCCAUUUAUUUUUUGUAUAAAUCAUGUGCAACCUAAUCUGCAGCACUGCCCCUAUUGCUAUGUUUGCCUCUUGUGUGAUUCCACCUUGCCCUCUUUCUGUGCGCCGCUGAUAUUUCCAGUAAUACAGUAUGUGAUUUCAACUUGAGUGUACUCGACAUCUUUGAUCUCCUUUAUAGUUAAUUCCUCAGCUUUCCGUGCGUAAUUUUUGAACUACUGCUAAUUUUAAUGACAUAAUUGCUCGCCUAGAAAUCUCAGUAUUAGAUAAUCGCAAGCUACAAUCAUAUAAACUGGACGGUUUGCCACCAUGAGACACUCCCGAGUCUGAUGAGUUCUUGUGACGUACUAACAAGUUCUGGUGACGUGUUUCUCUGAACGGAAGUCUGGUCAUAUAUGCUUGGUCAGUGGUUUGCAUCUGUAACUCUUUUCCAAUCACCGGCGCCGUAGAAGAUGCAGGGCAAAGGACUUGGAAGGGCUUUCCUGUAAUUGUUGUUUUCCAAGGUCUUACCUGCAAUGCACGCCUUUGACUCAAUAUAUGAACACGUGUGUCGCCUCUCAAAAAAAGUCUGGUCUUAUAUGCUUUCGUUGGUGGUUCUGUAAUUCACAUGGUCAAAUUUGUUAACAUGCUUGUCACAAUUGGAUGCAACUGAACUGAGUGUGAGUGCAUAUGAUUAUUAAGAUGGCGAGAGUAGUAAUUGCCAUGGCUUAGAAUGUCUAGUAAUUUUGAUAGCCAAUGUCAGUGGCUCAGAAUUACGCAUGAGCCCUAAAUGCAACCGUCCUGUAUUUGGACCUUUUGUUUCUGGCAGAGCUACGUGCCUACAUGCUUACUCGCACAACUUAAUGGCCCGUUGUACAUUAUGCCGUUGGCGAUUAUACAAGCACUUUGUUUUGUCGGAAGUACACUUGUUGCUGGUGGUUGCUAAAAUAUCUGUGUGAGGAGUCUAGACUGUAUCUUCCCAUAUACAUGUUCAGUUUUGCUUAACGAUGAAAGGAUAUUGUCCAGUAAAUUUCUAAAAUAUCGGAAUAAGUAUUUAUAUGGAAGGUUGCAUCAUGUAGAUACAAGAGUGAAUGAGACAAGUCAAAGAGACCGGGAGUAGGUUGAUAAACUUGUUUGCAUAUUUGAAACCGGAGGUAUUGUACUUACACUAGUAUGUGUGGGCAUACACUCAUUUUAUGAAAUCCGGCUCAGCCCCUUUCCAUUACAAAAUACUACUCCCUCUAUAAAGAAAUAUAAGAGUGUUUAGAUCACUAACUUUAGUAAUCUACUCUUAUAUUUCUUUACAUUUUAGUGAUCUAAAUGCUCUUAUAUUUUUUUUACAGAGGGAGUAUAACAAAGGUGCAACCUGUCUAAAAAAGGUUAAAAAAGGAAAAAAGGGAAGUGAGUUGAAUGCAUUGACAGAAAACCCUCGUGUCAUUACGUGUGAUUGCAACUGAAGUAUGCGGGACACAAACUAAACCUAAUAAGUUCCAACAUAGCAUAACUAGGACGACUCUCCUCAAAUAACGUGUCCCAGAAAAGACACCUUAGAAGUCACAUUUCUUCAGUUUUGCAUAUGAAUCAUGCUUCAUUAAUGUCUGAAGAACUAUUUCUGCAUGUUGAUCAUGCUCUUCUUCUAUCUUUGAAUAAAUCAAAAUAUCAUCAAUAAAUACAACCACGAGACGAUCCAAAAAAGGUCUGAACACAUGGUCCAUUAAGUCCAUGAAGCCCGGGGAGCAUAAUGUCCAUAUCUUGUGUGGAACACUGUUUUUUUGGAAUAUCUCCAUGCUUUAUUUGUAGCUGGUGAUAUCCCGACUGCAAAUCUAUCUUUGAAAAUACUUGUGUUCCUUGUAAUUGAUCGACCAAAUCAUCAAUUCUUGGUAAUAGAUAUCGGUUCUUAAUAGUUACCUUGUUUAGCUCCCGAUAAGAAUCCUAGACAUCAGAGAUAGAAUUAUGAGAAAAAUGACCAUCCAAUUUGUAAAAGUCGAAUGGAGCAACCACACAGAGAGGAAGCGACCUGGGAAAAAGAAGACGAUUUGCGUGCAUGUUUUCCGCAUCUCCAGUUUAUGGGUAAUUAAAUUUGAGGACGGAAUUUCUAUAAGUAGGGGAGGAUGUAAUACCCGUGUUAUUUAGAAUAAAUGAGGUGCUUUAAUUGGGAAAUUAAAGAAAAAUUAGCACACACUGAAGUUGUAAUUAGCAGUCUACUUAAAUAAAAUCAAUCAUUGGCCAUCAUUGUUUAGUACUAAGUGGAGUAAUCAAGUGAUUCCUUAGUGUAGAAGGAUGUGCAUUAGAAGAAUGUGUAGGUAGAGCCUUCGAGUAGGUGGCCAAAUGUGGCUGUAGUACAAGAUAUUUUGCAGCUCAAGCUUGCACUAUCUAUGGCAUUAAAUUACAUGCUGAUUCAGCCAUGCACGUGUGCGGUUCUAGAUGUCAAAGUACAAGCAACUGUAAAAUCUAGGACACCGAGGCCUUAGAUUUUUCUGAGUUACACUUAUCGAGCCCCAUUCCCUUCUCUACUAUGCCUAUAAAUAGAUGAGCAGGACUACACAACAGUAACCAUCACAACAUACGUACUAGCUCACUAGUUAGCUUUGCAUGGAGUAGAAUCACUUUGAUACCACUUUAACUAUCACACCCCGAGACCUUAGAUUAGCGAGAUAGACAGCCGUUGGUGACUAUAGGCCUAUCUCGCCUAGGCCCAGUCUCGGGGCUUGACAUACAUGAAAUUUGUUACCGCCGCCGACGACGAGAGGUGUUACGGGGUGAUGAGGUGAUGCGAAUGGGCUACCAGAGGGAUGUGAUGGCAACGAUGUUAGAGGCCGGAGACACAUGCCAGACGUCGCAACAGUUGAUGGUGCGGGCUGCACCCGGUCCAGUAUCCUCUUUUCUCCGGGGAUAUGCGAAGACCUGGCGUGGGAAAACGAUGAUUGUUACAAUAUUUUAUCUAACAUUCGCCAACACUCUAAACUAAUCGAAUCGGUCGGUGCUAGGUGCUCGGCCCGGCCAGCCAACGCCUAGUGUUGCCCCCUAAAGUUUUUGUCUGAGUGUUUUUUUCAUCAAAAUUUAUUGUGCGAGGUCCGCUUCAAUUUUCAGAUCAUUUGGACAUCUGAGUAUCUCUCAACAAAAAAAAAAGAAUUCGGAUAAAAACAGUGCAUGUAUAGUAAACUUCUUUUACAUACCCCGAAUUUGUCCUAUUUGCCAAGAGCUGCUCAGAUGUUCAAAUGAUUUAAAAAUUAAAGAGGGCCUCACCCAUCAAAUUAUUUACCAUGCAAAACAAAUUUAGAAUUUUUUGAAUUUUCUAGUAUUUGUUUUGAUUUUUUCCUUGGCGCGGGUGCAGAUGAGCCCGGGCUCAGAAGUGGAUACCGUUUUGGCUGGACUGCACUAUUUUGGCUGGCAAGAUUGCAUACGAUCUGGGAUGAAUAUGACCCAAAAAUCAAAAUUGUUUCUUUUGACGUUACAAAUAUGUACAUAUAUUAAAGGGGCUAAGCUAGAGCUUCUUUCAUGCAUUUGAAGUGCUGGACGGGAGCUCUCUCUUAGGCUGACACGUGUCUUUGGCUUUCUUGGAUUCACUUCCAAUUUUGGAGCGAGUUUUCUCGUUCAGGCUAUUGGUUUUAUGCUAGCACGUGGAGUUCCCUUUUUUUUGCGAGAAAAUUUCCGAUCUAUUCAUCUUCAAUCAUGGCAGUACAACGAAUACCAGAAAUAAUAGAAAUUACAUCCAGAUCCGUAGACCACCUAGCGACAACUACUAGCACUGAAGCGAGCCGAAGGCGCGCCGCCGUUAUCGCCCCUCCAUCGCCGGAGUCGGGCACAAUUUGUUAUACUAGACAGUCGGGAAGUCGUCGUGCUAAGGCCCCGUAGGACCAGCGCACCAGAACAACAACAGCCGCAGAUGAAGAAUAACGUAGAUCAAAAAAAUCCAAUCCGAAAACACACGAACGUAGACGAACAACGACGACAUCUGAGCAAAUCCACCAAAGAUAGAUCCGUCGGAGACACACCUCCACACGCCCACCAAUGACGCUAGAUGCAUCGCCGGAACGGGGGCUAGGCGGGGAGACCUUUAUUCCAUCUUCAGGGAGCCGCCGCCGUCUCGUCUUCCUGAACAGGACACAAACCCUAGCAAAACUGAAAGAAACGAUUAAAACGGAGCCUCCCGCCGACCCUUGCCAAGAUCCACUGCGCCCCCAUGGCCCUAAGGCCAUCGGAGAGGAGGCGGACCUGCGGCGGCGGCGGGAGGCAAAACCCCUAACUUUUUGUGGAGGAGAAGGAGGAGGCGGCGGCUACAAAGGACGACAGAUACGUGGAGAGCUGCAGUUAGCCACCGCUUUAUCUCUCCACGUAUCUCAUCUAGAACUUCCCUGUAUGCAGAAAAUCAAAUCAUUUGACCUUCUCCUCAGCCCAACACACAUCUGCUCCGGGUGCUUCGCUGCCCCCUUUGGCUAGCCGCCUGCCGUGCCACCACCACAAUGCUCUCCCCUCCCUCCCCUGGCCAGUGAAAAAUCACAAAACUCGCUCUUUGGCCAAAGUUCAGCAUAAAAUGUAUUUUUUCUAAAGAAAUUCACGAAAUGGCCCUACCCGCAUGACACCCGUGCCCCAGGCGCCAUGCUAGAUACCAUAACGCCCUGGUCAAAGACGCCAUGAGCGUCGGCGCUGACUGGCACGUUGGCCUGGCCUUGGGCCCAUGACGCCUCGGCCCAGGACGCCAUGGGCUGCACCACAACGCCCUGGGGCGCCAUACCGCUUCACCAUAUCACCGCCCGAGCCCCUCUGGUCUCUGUUCGUUCUUUCCUCUCUCUGUUCUUUCCCACACCCAUGGCGCCGCUCAAAUCGUCCCUCUCUCUCCCCACUCAAAUGUUGCGGAUCUGAGACAAAAAUCAGUGGACCCGGUUGCCCUUCGAAUCCUCAAGGUAUCCUCCUCCCUUUCCCCUCUUUCUAUUGGUUGAAAUCUCUACAUUUGAUUGAUUUGGGUGAAACCAUAGUUCAUCCUUUUCUUGAAAUGGAUAGUGGAUUUUGGUGUGAUAAUGUAGGGAUUAGUGUGAUCUAGGAUAUGUAUGGCUUAGAAUAUGUAUGAUAUGGGAUUUUAUGGAAGUGCUAUGAAUUUGGUUAGGAUAUGCCGCACAUAUAUGGUGUAUGGAAGAAUUUGUGCAAAUAUAUGGUGUAUGGUAUUGUAGAAAAUUGUAUGCACAUAUAUGCUGUAUGGAAGAAGAAAUAGUGUAGAAAUUUUGCACAUGUAUGUAUGUUUUUGCACUAGUGCGGAUAUUUGCAAAUGACAACGGGGCUUACCAUAUACAUUUGUAAUUUGUAGGAUGGCCUCUCUUAUCAAUCCAUCGUACGAUCAAUUGCAUCGUGGAUGGUUCAUGGCAGAAGAAGGAAGGGUAUUUGAUUAGCUUCACCUGAGGUCCGGUUCGGUUCAUGGCAAGAUGGAGUAUGACAAGCGAUACACGGAGUAUAUCCGGAAGACCGGGCUUCUCCCUUUCAUCUCACUCGUGUCUCGUUCGAUGCCGAAGAUGAACCCUUGUGCGAUCAUGACACUCGUUAACCGAUGGCGCCCUAAGACACAUACUUUUCACUUCUAUGUUGGGGAGAUGAUGGUCACUUUGCAGGAUGUGUCUCUAAUCACUAGACUUCCCAUCAAAGGAGAGCCUAUUUGUUUUAGCAAAGAUUCUGAUGGAUGGCGUGAGAUUAUGGUUGGACUCAUAGGGAGGGAGCCAGGGGUACAAGGGAAGUCCGCCGGUGCAAGUUAUCAUUGGAUUGCUGAACACUUUGGGGAAUGCCCGGCUGAUGCGGACGAUGAAACAAUGUAGCAGUAUACCAAGGCAUACUUGUGGUAUGUAGUCAGCCGAACUCUUUUCUCUGAUGGCACUGGUGUGAACACUUCCUUUAUGUGGUUUAAGCUAUUUGCUGGGUGGGAGCAUGGACUCGGUUGGUGUACGGCGGCGUUGGCUUAUUUUUAUGGUCAGGUAAGUAGUUUUGCUUAUAAUAGUGUGUUCAUCAUGUAGAAAUUUUCUCUAGUUUAUAAUGACAUAUUUCUUGUUUGUGUGUAGCUGGACGAGGCAUGCCGUAGGGGCGCGAAUCCAAGAAACGUCGUAGAGUCAAAGGAAGCCAACAUCGGUGGCCAAUGCUUCUAUUAUCGAUCUGGAGUUGGGAGCACUUGCGAGUGGGGCGACCGACACCAAAGGGUUAUGACCCGUGGGAUGAUCAUCAUGACCCAGACCGUAUGCCUACAUGGGCAUAUAAGUGGGACAAGGUUGAAGGUUUUGUUGGCAACUCAAAGACCAUGUAUUUGCACUACUGCAAUGAGCUUGACAUCAUGACCCCGGAGUAGGUUAUCUUAGUAGCUUCUUGCUUUGUCUCUUCGAUUUCUUCGGUUUUCCAAAAAUCAUACUAACAAUGUAGUUUUUUCUUAAUCUUUGUUUAUAGGUUACCUGUGAACCGUACGGAACGAAGGGCAACAUUGGUAGGGGAGCUGGUUUUAUUACUUUUAGACUUAACCCAAAGUGUCUACAGUAAGCAAACUUAUGGCGGAUGCAUUGCCCGUUGAUUUGUUAUUAUGCUGUUGAGUUUUAUCAGCCACAACGAGUUAUGACAUAGUUUGGCUUAUUUAAAGAGACCCCGCCGAAGUACAUGGACACUUCGGUACAUUUGCAUAGGUAAGUGAUUAGCACUUCAAAUGCUUUCUCCAUUGUUUUGCAGAUAGUAACGAAAAUGCAUUUGUCAAAUGCUAUGCACUCUCGACAAGAUGAAGCAGAAGAGUAUAAAAAAAUGGGAUCGAGAGCAUGACAUGUAUAUCCAGGAGUUCAAGCACAAGCUCAAUAAGAUUGAGCUUUCAUUGCGUCAACCCACUUCUAAGCCUCCCUCAUGGCCUUUUGAUACAGAAGCAUUCAACAAUUAUCUUGUGUGGUUUCGUUCCGUUGCACGUACUCAACUUAACGCACCCGCGUUUCAGCCAGGGGACAUAUUACAUGAACCCAAUCCAGGUUUUGAUCCGAUGGCCAAUAUGGAGUACAACAGGCUUAUUAGAGAUGGUAGACGGUAUGAAUCGACACCAACUAUCCUCUUUGUGGUAAGUUACCGUUAUAUCUAUAUGCUUGCCUACAUUGUGCUAAAAUGAUUUGUCCUAUUCUGUCCAACAGCAAAAUGAGCUCCCGAAGCAUGUCAACGACGCCGGUGAGGCACUCAAGUACCCUCCAGGUGAAGAGUCAUACAACAAGCUUAAAGCUUUUGUUGAGGUAUGACAUUUGAUAAUUUGCUUUCCGUACACAUUUUUGAGGCAUAUCUCCUAACUUCAUGAUAUGUCAAUUUCAUAGCGGAGCAUGUCUUGGGCACGUGGCCUUGGUGCUCUACUAGGCUGCCGCUCCACUGAUGUUGUAGUCCCUACUGCUUCGAGGUCGAGAUCAUAUUCAAGCGGCACCCAAUAGUAAGGCGACGAAUCGGUUGAUGAUGAGGGGGAUGAACAGAUGCAUGAUGAGAUUAGCACCUCGCAGUUGCACAAUGCACCUCAGCCUAGUCAAAGGCGUGGAAAGUAUACUCUGGGCAAAUACGCAAGGAAGGCAUGUAAGGACCGGGUGAUCGAGGCCGCCUCUCAGGAGGAGGAGGAAGAGGAGGUGCCAUAGCUCCAGAGGAGAAGGCGCUCAGUGAAGGGGAAGGAUGCUGCACUGGCUAAGAGGGGGAAAGGAAGGAAAUGAUGCAUUUGUCGUCAAGUUGAUGUAGUAUUUGUCCAAAACUAGAUGUCGUGAACUUAUGUUUGUCGAGGACUUGUAGUAUUUGUCCAAAACUAGAUGUCGUGAACUUAUGGUUGUCGAGGACUUGUAGUAUUUGUCCAAAACUUGAUGUCGUGAACUUUUUUGUUGGAAAAUUUGAUGUGUGUCAUUUAUGUCUGUCAACACUUAUUGUCAAAAACUUUGUAGCAUUCUCAUCAAAAUAAAAAACAAAAACGGAAGCAGAAACAGAAGUUGACAACAUGGCGCCCCAGCCCAAGGCGCCAUGGUCAACGACAGCAUGGCGCCCCAGCCCAGGGCGCCAUGGUCGUGUAAAUGGCUAAGUCCUGAGAUUUUUAGCUCUUGAUGUUGGGGGCGCCAUGCAUUUUUUUCUGGGCGCCAUGUAUGAUGCCCUCGCCCAGGGCACCAUGGUCGUGGAAAAUGGUUAAGUUCUGAGAUUUUUAGCAAUGUGCGCUUGAACUGGCUGGUCAGAAAUGUGCCAUCCACGGACACAACCGGCCUACAAUGCCCGAAGGCCCUAAUGCAUGGCUCAAAAGUCCAGAAUGCAUGUGAAAGUGGAACUAUACCUAGGUGGUUUUGGUAAUUCCUAACAACAUAUAGCUCAUCGAGCUAACAUCAUUCCAAGAUGAACAUUUCAGGAAAAUCUCAAUGAAUGGUAUGGCAUGGAUGAGGAAAGUGGAUCCCUCAAAAUAAUAAGGAUAAAAGGAUUGGCUCAAGCUCAAAAGCUCAAGACUCUACAUUUUAUAUUUAGUGAUCCAAAAUCACAUUGAAUCUAUAGGAAAAGCCAAUACUAUCAAGGAGGGAUGAGGUGUUGUUUAAUGAGUUUCUUGCUCCAUAGUGCUUAGUGAUAUGCUCCAAAAACCCUCAACUAUUUUCUCAUAUCCACAUAUGACCCAAACCAAAAGUCAAACUCGGCCCCACCGAUUCUUUCUAUCCGGCGCCACCGAGUUCAGAUGUCAUAGCCAGUGCCACAAACCCUAGGCAAAUCGGUCUCACCGAUAGGGAUCUCGGUCUCACCGAGAUGGGAUUGUAAUCUCUCUGUUUCCCUUCGUAACGUUUUGGUACCACCGAGAUGAGCGAUCGGUCCCACCGAGAUUGCAAUGUAAACUCUCUGUUUCCUUUUCAUAACACUUCGGUCCCACCGAAAUUAGCGAACCGGUCCCACCGAGUUUACCUGACCAACUCUCUGGUUAGCUUAUUACCAAAAUCGGUCUCAUCGAGUUUGUGUAAUCGGUCUCACCAAGACUACGUUAGCCCUAACCCUAACCAUAUCGGUCCUACCGAGUUGCAUGUCGGUCCCAUCGAAAAUUCUAACAGUCACUAGGUUUACUAAAUCGGUCUGACCGAUUUUGUUGAUUCGGUCCCACCGAGAUUGCUAAAUUGUGUGUAACGGUUAGAUUUUGUGUGGAGGCUAUAUAUACCCCUCCACCUCCUCUUCAUUCGUGGAGAGAGCCAUCAGAACGAACCUACACUUCCAACUUACCGUUUCUGAGAGAGAACCACCUACUCAUGUGUUGAGACCAAGAUAUUCCAUUCCUACCAUAUGAAUCUUGAUCUCUAGCCUUCCCCAAGUUGCUUUCCACUCAAAUCUUCUUUCCAUCAAAUCCAAAUCCUGUGAGAGAGAGUUGAGUGUUGGGGAGACUAUCAUUUGAAGCACAAGAGCAAGGAGUUCAUCAUGAACACACCAUUUGUUACUUCUUGGAGAGUGGUGUCUCCUAGAUUGGCUAGGUGUCACUUGGGAGCCUCCGACAAGAUUGUGGAGUUGAACCAAGGAGUUUGUAAGGGCAAGGAGAUCGCCUACUUCGUGAAGAUCUACCGCUAGUGAGGCAAGUCCUUCGUGGGCGACGGCCAUGGUGGGAUAGACAAGGUUGCUUCUUCGUGGACCCUUCGUGGGUGGAGCCCUCCGUCGACUCGCGCAACCGUUACCCUUCAUGGGUUGAAGUCUCCAUCAACGUGGAUGUACGAUAGCACCACCUAUCGGAACCACGACAAAAACAUCCGUGUCUCCUAUUGUGUUUGAAUUCUCCAAACCCUUCCCCUUUACAUUCUUGCAAGUUGCAUGCUUUACUUUCCGCUACUCAUAUACUCUUUGCAUGCUUGCUUGAAUUGUGUGAAGAUUGCUUGACUUGUGCUAAGAUAGCUAAAAUCUGCCAAAGACUAAAAUUGCGAAAAGGAUAAGUUUUUAAUUGGUCAAGUAGUCUAAUCACCCCCCCUCUAGACAUACUUCCGAUCCUACAAGUGGUAUUAGAGCUUUGGUCUCCAUUUGCUUUGAUUUCCAUAGCUUUUGGUGGUCAUAGCCUUGGUUUCACAACCUAGGAGAGUAUGGCGUCUAGCAAGGGAAAUUAUCACCGUAGAGGUCCUUACUUUGAUGGUACGAGUUUUGCUAGUUGGAAGCAUAAGAUGAAAAUGCAUAUUCUCGGACAUAACCCCGCCGUUUGGGCUAUUGUGUGUAUUGGCUUGCAAGGUGAAUUCUUUGAUGGGAGAGAACUGAACCGUGAAGCUAGCGCGGAAGAGUUGAAGAUGCUGCAAUACAACACUCAAGCUUGUGAUAUCCUCUUCAACAGACUGUGCCCCGAAGAAUUCAACAAAAUCAGCCGUCUUGAGAAUGCAAAGGAAAUUCGGGAUACUUUGAUUGAUAUGCACAAAGGUAUCGACUCCGUCAAGGAAUCCAAGUUGGAUGUGCUCCAAAGUCAACUUGACAAGUUCAAAAUGAAGGAUGGUGAAGGUGUCGCCGAAAUGUACUCUAGGCUUGUUCUUAUCACAAAUGAGAUUGCGGGCUUAGGAAGUGAAGAGAUGACCGACAAAUUCAUCAUCAAGAAGAUCCUAAGAGCAUUGGAUGGAAAAUAUGAUACCGUGUGCACAUUAAUCCAAAUGAUGCCCAAUUACAAAGAUCUCAAGCCAAUGGAGGUCAUUGGAAGAAUUUUUGCUCAUGAGAUGUCACUCAAGGAUAAGGAGGAACUUCACAACAGGUCAAGUGGUGCUUACAAAGCCUCAUGUGAAGCCCCUACAUCAUCAAGUGAGAAACAAAUCUUCAAUGAAGAAUUGAGCUUAAUGGUGAAGAACUUCAACAAAUUCUACAAGAGUAGAAGCAAAGAGAGAAGCUCCAAGUCAAGGUCCUACAAUGACAAAAGAUCUUAUAGUCGAGAGCGCAAUUGCUACAACUGUGGGAGACCCGGACACUAUUCCAAUGAGUGUACGACACCCCACAAAAGAAGAGAAGAAUCACCCAAGAGGAGAAGUAGAUGAGAAGAAUCACCACCAAGAGAGAGGAGGAGUAGAGAUGAUCUUUAUGAACGAAGAACAUCCCGGAGAAGCAAGGAUUCGGAAAGGAAGGACAAGUCAUCAAGGAGCUACACAAAACAAAGACAUCAAGCUCAUGUUGCUGAAUGGGUAUCCGGCUCCGACUCCGACAAUCACUCUGAGAGAAGCUAUCACUCCGACUUUGAACAUACUCAAGAUGAAGGCGUUGCCGGUCUAGCACUUGUGUCAACCAACUCCUACGACAUAUUUGAUUCACCAAAUGAAGGACUUGGAAGAUGCUUCAUGGCUAAAGGCCCUAAGGUAACACACCCCGAGUAUGUUGAUUUCAAUAGUGAUGAAGAUGACUUGUUAGGUUAUGAUGAUUUACUUGUUGACAACUCUAGUGAUGAAUACUAUGAUGAAACGUCAAUUAAUCAUGCUAAUCAAGAUAAAACGAAUGACAAUGAUAAGGAGAAAAUUGAGCUUCUUACUAAAGAACUAAACACUCUUAAGUUAGUUCAUGGAACUAUCUUAGAAGAUCAUCGAGAACUUUUAAGGACUCAUGAGAAAUUACGCUUUGAAAAGCUCAACCUUGAGCAAGAGCAUGAGUUCUUAAAGGCAAUCAAUGAUGAUCUCCAUAAGAAAAGUUCUUCUUACAUUGCCAAGCGUUUACUCUUAUCUACUUACAUGCCUCAAGUCAAGUCCAUUAACAAAAACAAGAAGGAUUCUUCCUCUAGUAGUAACAAUAAUCAUGCUAAAUCCAAUAUUGUUGCUUCUAGUAGUUCUCUUGAUUCCACUAAUGAUUCUCUUAGCCAAGUUACUCUUGAGCAAGAAAAUAGCUUAUUGACGGGAAUUAUAGAGAAAGGUGUUUACAAGAGCCUUGCCGGGAGUAAGCAAAUUGAGGAAAUUGUACGCAAGCAAGGAAGGCAUCAGAAGAACCAAGGUGUUGAUUUUGAACGAAAGUUCAAUGCCAAUGGAGUUGAGUGGGAAGAAGAUCAAUAUCCCAAGACGAAGUUUGUUCCUCAACAAGAGAAGUAUGAUCCUACUUCCUUCAAGGGGACACAAGCUCAAGAUGAUCUUCCACCACAAGACCACAAGCAAAAAGGCAAGGACAAGCUUCAAGAGGAGAUUGAUGCAUUUGAAGAAGCUCCUAAGGCCUUGGUCAAGUGGGUUCCCAAGACUACGUCAAAGUUCUACUUCAUCAAGUACGACUACAACUCCAAGGAUUCCCAUCAAGAUGAUGUGGAUCCCGAAGAAGAAGAACUAGAGAGUUCUUGAGGGUGACUCCGCCAACAUACUUCACUCAUAUCUUUUUGGCAACAACAAGUGCAAUCAACUUCCACAUCUUGCACUAGUUCAAGGAGUCACAAACCCUCUUGUUGGUAAGACAAGGGACAAGGUAAUCUAAUGCUUUCAUGGACAUCAUCUUGUGUGUGCAUCACUCUAUGUCUAUGGAUAUACUUAUUUGUUCCUUGUGGGACUAACCCGUAUAGGUAUUGAAAGUGCAACUCACUCCAAAGGAUUGCUCCAAAUGAUCUUCAUCAACAUUGAGCAUCCACAUCUUCAACACCUACAUGAAGUCAUCAUCGACAAAACCCAAGGUUAGUUCAUCCCUCUAAGGGGGGAUCUCACAUCUAGGGGGAGCUUAACUCUAAGAAUUGAGACAAAGCAACUCUAAUGGUGUGAACACAUCAAUGCAUUAUGUAAAAGUGGUAACCCCACUUGAGCUUAAACGAUGAGUAUGACCUAUGAUCAAAUGUUCUCAUUUGACUCCUAAGUCAAUAUACUCAUAUAUAGAUGACCUAGUCAUUGCCAAUUGUUUGAUAAAUGCUAGAAUUGGUUGUGCGUGCUUUGCCACAUAUUUCAUUUGCCAUUUUAUUGUGUGAGCAUGUUGGUGGCAUAUUUAACUCAUUCGAGGACAUCCACUUGUUGCUUUGAUUGAUUGGCUUCUUUUUCUUUUGCCAAGUGGAUGAACAAGAAUGCCUAAGAACCUUCUCUAGCUAUCUAUGCUUUUCUUGUCUCAAACUCUAUUCAUGCUACAUCACAAAAUUUGAUCAAGUCAGAUUCGAACCACUCUGUGUGAGGAGCACUCGGAGUCCCCGAUUCGUCAUGGACUUAAACUUCCAAAACUUCUUUGUGCGUUUCGGUCUGACUGAUUCUUCCAUUUUGGUCAUACCAAGAUCACUAAGUCGAUCUAGGUUUUUAAUCUCGGUGCAACCGAUUUGAACAUUUCGGUCACACCGAGUUGCCGUAACUGCCAACAGUUAUGCAUCUCGGUGCCACCGAAUUGUUCCACUCGAUCACACCGACAGGAUCGGGCUAUAUAUACUCACGGGCAAAAAUUUGGAAACUUUCUCCAGACCUCUUCGCCCGCGCAUAGCUCGCUCUGCCUCCAGGGUCUCCGGAUCGUCCUUCUCGUUGCCAGCCGCCUCCAGUCGCUGGUCUUCGCUGCCGUCAAUAGAAUUCAACCCCGCCGUUGCCGCCGUAGCGAGUUCAUCGCCAAGCUAGGGUAUGGACUCAAUCACAGUGCUAUCCCCGAUCGAUUCCUAGCACAUUGUGUUCAUCAUGAUUCUUGCCACGAUUGAAACGAUUCUAUCCAGUCAAAACAAUCCAUAGAUUAGAAGUGAAUUGGAAAUUUAGGGUUAGGUUUCCGCCGAAACCAUCUCGGACCCACCGAGUUGUAGAACUCGGUUCAACCGAUUCGGCUAAGGCCAUUGCACAAGUGAUUCUCGGUCUGACUGAGAAUUGCAAAUUGGUGUGACCGAGUUCAGGACUUUGUGAAACCCUAGCAGUCUCGGUGCCACCGAACUGUGACUCGGUCUGACCGAGUUCACUAGUUUAGGUUCCAAAGCUGCUUCGGUAUCACCGAGUUUGCAAAUUGGUUGAUCCGAAAUGCUUUCUGUGGGAAAUUAAAACUAAGUUUUUGAAUCAUUCUUUUGCAAAAACCUCUAUGUUUUGUGAUGCUCAUCCACUCUAUCUCAUCUGUAUCUACUCACAGGGUCUGCAGUCAGUGGUUGCAAUAUGUCUGAUCAAAGCGCAGCCAGAACCAGCCAGAGGAGCAGAUUCACAUGAGUGAGGGCACUAGUCCCUCGAGCACCUCAGAUGAUGGCAACAGGAUCACCCCAAGCAACUUACCCAAAGCUGCCACCAGGGCCAGAAAGAAGAGAACCUCAGACUGUGAGGAUGAAUACUAUGUGGCAGUUGAGGAUGAGGCCACUUCCAAGAAGAAAGUGCUCAAAAAGGAAUAUGGCACAGCAGCAGCCACCAAGCCAGGUCUAAAUAAGAAAGUCCCUGCAAGAGGACACCUAUCCUGAAAGUCAGAGAAUCAACUCAAGUACCUGAGAAAUUUGAUCCCAAAGAGGCUGCUGCAGAAGGGAAGAAGAGGAAGGAAAGGGUCAAGAAGACCAUGGCCAGAGUUGUUGGACAACCUUCCAUGAUGGAAGAGGAAGAAGAAGAAGAGGCUGCGGCUCCAACACCUACACCUCCAGCUCCAUCCACUUCCACUGAUGCUUUCAUCCUUGGAGUCCUAUCUACACCACCACCUGAAGAUCAAGCCUGAGAGUCGUUUUAGUACUAUGCAUUUUCUAUGAACUUUUUGGUAACUUGUUGCCAAAGGGGGAGAAAAAUGUAUAGAUCAUAAGCUUCGAGAGAGAGUGUUGCUUUUUUUUUCUCUCUUGCUUUGGUGGUUGAACUUUAUUUGCUUGUUCGAGAUACUUUUUGUCUGUGUGAUACCUGGAUGAUCAUGUGUUUGAUCAUAUGCUACAUUUAUGCUUGUUGGAUGACAUUAUCCCAUCUAUCUCUAUAUGAUCAUUCACUUUGCUUGGUGAUGAGUGCAUGUAUUCAAUCUUUAUUAUUUUGAGCGCUCCACCAAGAUGUAUGUGACAUGGAAGAGUAACCCAUGAGUCUAACUCUUUGUGCAUUUGCAGUCCAAAGCAAAUCUUAAACCAUGCACAAAUUUAGGGGGAGCUCUUGCUUAUCACAUACUUCUCAAAGCGACAAUGAUUUUCACUCUUAUUAUUAUUUGUCAAAGCUUUGAUCUAUAUGUUGUCAUCAAUUACCAAAAAGGGGGAGACUGAAAGUGCAACUAUCCCUAGGUGGUUUUGGUAAUUCCUAACAACAUAUAGCUCAUUGAGCUAACAUCAUUUCAAGAUGAACAUUUCAGGAAAAGCUCAAUGAAUGGCAUGGCAUGGAUGAGGAAAGUGGAUCCCUCAAAAUACUAAGGAUAAAAUGAUUGGCUCAAGCUCAAAAGAUCAAGACUCUACAUUUUAUAUUUUAGUGAUCCAAGAUCACAUUGAGUCUAUAGGAAAAGCCAAUACUAUCAAGGAGGGAUGAGGUGUUGUUUAAUGAGUUUCUUGCUCCAUAGUGCUUAGUGAUAUGCUCCAAAAACCCUCAACUACUUUCUCAUAUCCACAUAUGACCCAAACCAAAAGUCAAACUCGGCCCCACCGAUUCUUUCUAUCCGGCGCCACCGAGUUUAGAUGUCAUAGCCACUUCCACAAACCCUAGGCAAAUCGGUCUCACCGAUAGGGAUCUCGGUCUCACCGAGAUGGGAUUGUAAUCUCUCUGUUUCCCUUUGUAACGUUUUGGUACCACCGAGAUGAGCGAUCGGUCCCACCGAGAUUGCAAUGUAAACUCUCUAUUUCCUUUUCGUAACACUUCGGUUCCACCGAAAUUAGCGAACCGGUCCCACCGAGUUUACCUGACCAACUCUCUGGUUAGCUUAUUACCAAAAUCGGUCUCACCGAGUUUGUGUAAUCGGUCUCACCGAGAUUACGUUAUGCCCUAACCCUAAACAUAUCGGUCCUACCGAGUUGCAUGUCGGUCCCAUCGAAAAUUCUAACAGUCACUAGGUUUACUAAAUCGGUCUGACCGAGUUUGUUGAUUCGGUCCCACCGAGAUUGCUAAAUUGUGUGUAACGGUUAGAUUUUGUGUGGAGGCUAUAUAUACCCCUCCACCUCCUCUUCACUCGUGGAGAGAGCCAUCAGAACGAACCUACACUUCCAACUUACCGUUUCUGAGAGAGAACCACCUACUCAUGUGUUGAGACCAAGAUAUUCCAUUCCUACCAUAUGAAUCUUGAUCUCUAGCCUUCCCCAAGUUGCUUUCCACUCAAAUCUUCUUUCCACCAAAUCCAAAUCCUGUGAGAGAGAGUUGAGUGUUGGGGAGACUAUCAUUUGAAGCAGAAGAGCAAGGAGUUCAUCAUCAACGCACCAUUUGUUACUUCUUAGAGAGUGGUGUCUCCUAGAUUGGCUAGGUGUCACUUGGGAGCCUCCGACAAGAUUGUGGAGUUGAACCAAGGAGUUUGUAAGGGCAAGGAGAUCGCCUACUUCGUGAAGAUCUACCGCUAGUGAGGCAAGUCCUUCGUGGGCGACGGCCAUGGUGGGAUAGACAAGGUUGCUUCUUCGUGGACCCUUUGUGGGUGGAGCCCUCCAUGAACUCGCGCAACCGUUACACUUCGUGGGUUAAAGUCUCCAUCAACGUGGAUGUACGAUAGCACCACCUAUCGGAACCACGACAAAAACAUCCGUGUCUCCUAUUGCGUUUGAAUUCUCCAAACCCUUCCCCUUUACAUUCUUGCAAGUUGCAUGCUUUACUUUCCGCUGCUCAUAUACUCUUUGCAUGCUUGCUUGAAUUGUGUGAAGAUUGCUUGACUUGUGCUAAGAUAGCUAAAAUCUGCCAAAGACUAAAAUUGGGAAAAGGAGAAGUUUUUAAUUGGUCAGGUAGUCUAAUCACCCCCCUCUAGACAUACUUCCGAUCCUACAGCGUGUCCAAAUAUUCGAAUGAUUGCAUCAUUGUAUAUCCUUGUUCUCAUGCCAUCUGGCUCCACCAUAUAGUACAUGCCAGGAUUUUCUGCCACCAUCGCUUUCAACACCAUCGCGAGGCGGUUGUAUGUAUCUUCCCAACCACCAUACAAUAUCUCAAAGGCAGCUUGCUUGGCCUUCCAUGCCUUCCUAUACUUCACCUCGUAACCAAAAACCUCCUUCACCAUCUCCAUCAAAGCCCGAAUGGGAUAUGUCGGGAGUAUCUUUAUGGAGGCUGAAAAUCAAUAUGCAAUGAAUUUGGAGGUCAAUUGACGGUGAUCAUCCUUUACAUUAGCAUCAUCAAUAUCCUUGCAACUACAUCGAUGGUGAAACACAGAAGAACUUGUAAUCUUUGACACAUCUUACAUGGAUAACCAAAGGGCAAUGAUUCUUGUGUUCCUCACAUCUGACCACAUAACGCACUUUCAAGUUUGACUUCUCCACAAAGAAUGGCCAAUGAAACUUAACCACGUAGUCCUUGGCCCAUAUUUGAAGUUCUGCCAAGCUUUCAAAGAUUGUUCCUUCACUAACACCAUACACACUUGCUUUGGUAUCUCGCUUUGAUGUUAACCUUGGUGCAAGAAUUUUACUUGUGCCACCAUCAACAAUCGCCUUAUCGGCUAGGCUUAGAUCACGAAACAAUGAUGUCUUGUGACUACGACCUAUUACCUUAUUGAAAGCAUUGGCUUCUUUAGCCGUCAAACCAUCCUCAUCUAUUUCUUCAUCCGGGCCUUCAUCCUCCGAGUCCCAUGGAAUCUCAUGGUACAUGCCCUCUUCCAUUCAAUUUGCCUCAACAUCACCAACAUAAUGGUCAUGAAGAUAAUCCUCCGAUUCAUCACCCUCAAACUCACCACCAUAAUGGUGCAAGUCUUCAUUAUCAACUUGGUCAUUCCCGAUGGGGCUUAAACAUUGGGUCAUUGGAGGUUGGCUCAUUGUUGUGUCAUGCACAUCCGGGGUGACAUGUGUUGAAUCUCGAACCAGGCUACUAACAUCAUAUGAAGAUGCACACCGAUUCAAAUCAAUGUGCAACCGAGCACGAACAACCUUUGUGGCAAAUAACUCAAAUGAUUUAUCUUGUGAGGCCAACACACUCUCUUUAUAUGCUUCCCAAUAAAACUCGGAAUCAAGAUGCAUUAUCUUCCAACGAAUAUGUUGCCCAUACCCAACAUUAUAUCUUUCGAUUAAGUCUACUCCAUCGCUUUCUUCCAUCCAAUUCAACCUUCUUCGAAGCUCAACCAAAACCUCCUCAAGGCUAGGACUUGUGGAAAACAACAUCACUACCGACUUCUUCUUCGGGUCACCAUACUCCGUGUCUUCCUUCUCAAAGGAGAUAAAGUCCACAUGAUGCACAUUGACGAUCCUCGCCAUCUAGAAUCAUAGACACCAAAAUGCAUUAAAAAAAUAAAAAAAUUGGAUGACCUAGGGUUUCCCCAAAUCCCCACAAUGUGGAGAUUUCAACCAACAAAAAGAGGAGGAAUGAUGGAGAAUACCUUGAGGGGCCGAAGGGAAGGAUAAAUCACCAAUUUGGUGCUCCGAUCCAUGAAAUUUUGUGGGCAUUAGGGAGGGGAUUGAGUGGGGCGGCUGGGGUUGAGAUGGGGAAAGUGAGGGUCUGUGGAGGGGAAAACAGGGGGCACUCUAUUUUGUUGAGGCAAGGGGCAUGGCGCCCUGGGCUGGGGCGUCAUGGUCAUGAGCAUGGCGCCCUGUGCUGGGGGCGCCAUGGUGCCAUGCCCUGCCAACGUGGAAAGUCACCGCUGACCAGUAUGGUGCCCUUGACUAGGGCGUUGUGUACAUAUGCAUGGCGCCCCGGGUGCGGGCGUCAUGCAGUUAGGGCCAUUUUAUGAAAUAUUUUCAAAAGAGGGCCAUUUUGUGCUGAGCUUUGGCCAAAGGGCCAGUUUUGUGAUUUUCACCCUUGGCCAAGCCCCUCCAUUAAUUCCUAUGCCCCUUCUCUACUCAGACAUGGAGCCCACAAGUACAAACCCUAGCUCGGGUUCUUGAGACCUAUCCGACUUGAUAGAGGUGGUUGCACUCCGGCUAGGGAAGGUCUGCCUUCGCCCACCAGCACUGGUUUGCGCAAUGAAUUGCACAGUUCAUACGGCUUUGAUCUUGCAUGAAAGGUAGAAUUCAUGUUCUUUGUAAUUGUUAUGUCAAGUGUAAUAGUAUUUUUUAUGAAUGUUUUGCUUUAAUUUUUCAAUCAGAUCACACGACAAAUGUACACCUGACAGAUUGCUAAUUCAUUUUGUUAUAGUUGUCAUAUGUAUUGAAUUCAUGCUCCAGCCAACUCAUCCAAAUGUCCAAACUGAUGGAGGGAGGUGGGCAAUAUAUUUCAACACUCCCCCUCACGUCUAGGCUAUUUAAGUCCUUAGACAUGGGAUCGAUGUAGGCCGCAGAAAUCAUUUUAUUUAAUACUACGUUGGCAGGGUCUUAAACUCAAGACCUCUUGGCUAUGAUACCAUGUUAGAUGGGAAGAGUUCCUACUCCCUCGUAAGGGAGCCGCGUGGUAUAUAUUGAUUGUUGGCAGGAAUAGCCCCUGCCGUGGCUUACAAGGAUUCACCGAUCGCUAGGAUACGGUGGUUACAAUUUAAGGACAAUAUAACCGAGCCUAAUGCAAGCUCUCACAUCGAUUUGCGUUUUAGGCUGUUCGUUUUAUCGAUUUGAUUGUUUCUGGCCGUUAGAUAUGCUGUCCUUAGGGGCUGCUCCUCCGCAGGAAAAAACCGAGCACUCUACUAAACUGGGCCGAACAACCCAUUUAUCUAGCAUAGCACACACAACCUAGUAGGGUCCUCGCUACGCUCUCGCGUCUCCGGAAAGGGAAACUCUUCGAUCCAGAGAGGAACGGGUCGGGGCUGCGGCCGACGCGUUGUCUCGUCUUCUGAAUGGAUCCAGCCAAGGCGAGCGAGAUCCUUCCCUUCCCUUUACACCGACAAGGCAACCACGGAGACGACAAAUAGGUUGGUGAGGACGGAGAGAUCCGCAUCUCAUCGUCUUUCCUCGACGCCUUCCCCACCCUCUCGCGCUCCAUCGGCGGCGAACAUGGUGCGCCACGGCGGCCUAUUUCUGCUCGUGCUCCUCGCCGCCGCGGUGGUCGGAAAGGCACAUGGAAUGACUUAUUAUGCCUCCCAACUGCUGCCACGACACCUACCCAUUGUCAAGAUACUGACAGCAGAGGUCGACAACCCAGGCAGACGCCGGCCAUGUGCCCCUUCGCCAAGCACUGCCCUUGGCCUCACCGUCGAGUGAAGAUUCCCACCCCACCACGAGCUCGCCCCUUCCCAGCAGGUUCUUCCCUUCCUCUCUCCUGCUCUGUUGCUUAUUUGCUUGAAUUAUUGCUGCUCGCCAUUGUUUUGAUGUGAAUGUGUGACUGUGCGGAUGAUGUUGCUGUGUGUGGGCAUGUGGAUCUCAUGCAAAGUUGGUUCCAGGUACUCUGCUCAGACCUGAAAUAGCUCGUGAGGCUACUGAUAUGUACCAUGUUGGUGUGUAUUUCACUAUUUCAUGCAUCUCACUUCUAAUUAAUAGUAGUAAUUGACACUAGGAAUGGAGCAAUUGUCUUACAGUUUAUGUUUAAGAAUCACAGUAUGCUAAUAAUAUUAACAUGAGCAUGAAAAUAUACGAGUCCCCUUUUCACCUGGUAUUCAUCUCCCAUGCAAUCUGACCUCUUCAGUACAAUUAGCUUGGCUAUUUACAUUGUUUUGGAGAUCAUAUUGGUUCAAUUUAGGAAUAACCCUCCCCACUUUACCAGGUUUAAAAUGCGAGUACUCUCUCAAAUUCAACGUUCCCUGCUCUUCUUGGCUUCAGGAUGUUCUGGUGGGAAGCAUCAUGUCCUGUGUUGAAUCUCCCUCUUAAUUGGUCUCUUAAUAGUGGAGGUGGGUUGCUUUCUCUUAAUUUCCUCCAUUUUCUAUAUGCUUUGCAUUGGCUUUAUUUGCGCCUUGCUUGCAUUGCGCUUGGCUCCUUUUUCUUUAGGCGGUCUUAUACUCCUGGUGAUGGUGGGCGUGAGGCGACACCUCCAGUUCCAGCAAUGUUCAGACCUCUCCCCCAUCUAGGCGCGCCAUCACAAUCUGUAGAACGAAGCCCAUCCCAAACAUCAGUCGUAGGAUGAAGGGAUUGUUCAGGGAAUGGAUCGUGUUGCGCUACAGAGGAUUGUUCAUCUUCCUUUAGUGGAGGAACUUCUAUCUGGUUAGUGUUUGAGCCAGUUAGUUUAAUUUAAUUUUCUUGUCUAAUCCAAUCUUCUUUGUGUCCUUUAUACUAGGGAGGUCACCUUGCUAUUGAAGGAUACCAAGCAGAAUUUUUUUCUUCAGGGAGAAGGAUACCGAGGAGAUAUUUGAUUACAAUUGGUGUUAAACAUUGUUGCCAGUGUUCCCCCUCAUGACAACUCCCGCAUUCUUGAUGAGUUAAGCCUUGGCCAUCCAUCUUGAGGUUUUAUUCCGCAUGUAAUAAACUUGCUGAUUUUGGGUUCAUGGCGAGAUAGCAUCCCUCUCAUUCAUAUAUCUACUUAGUUAGUGAAUAUCUACUUAGUGAAUAGUGUGCAGGGAGGAAAAAUGUCAAAGCACAUAUUUUUCUUUUUUGCAUUUUAUGGAUAGAGGAAAUAUGAUAUGCCAAAUUGAUCUUAGAAAUUAUUUAACCAUCCACUAUGUCUUUUGGUAUCACUGAAACUUUGUGGAGAGGGAAUAUGCUUUAAUUGGAAACCAAAUGUUUACCUUCAGGCCGAGACUUGUUUUAUGUAACUCAACUAAUUUACCAAAAAGUAAAGAGAGUGCCCACACCAUGUACAAUGGACUAAAUCAGCUCAAAAAAUUACUAAUACACUAUAUACAUAUGAGUUCAUGCCAAUUUUAAAAUAAACUAAAUCUCAACAUAUAUUAGUACCAAUCCAUAACAUUGAAGUGCACAAAUAGAUGGGCCCAGCAACGCGCACCAUCAAUGAUCUAGUGAUCGAUAGGAUAGAUGCGUGACGGAGAAGGAGAAAGAGUUUGUUGAGAUUACAAUAGGAUUCCAUCUCUAAGUUUAACACCCUCCCUUAAUCUCAACUAUCCUACAUUAAGAUUCUUCUUGAAUUCUGCAAAUAGUUUGACUGGCAAAGCUUUAGUGAAACCAUCUGCCACUUGGUCUUUGGACGGAAUAAACCUUAUGUCCAGCUUCUUCUCUACAACUCUUUCUCAUACAAAAUGAAAAUCAAUUUCUAUGUGCUUGGUUCUGCCAUGGAAUACUGGAUUUACAGAGAGAUAUGUGGCUCCUAAAUUGUCACACCACAAACAAGACACACGAUGCUGCUUGAUUCCCAAUUCAUUGAGCAAUGAUUCUACCCAAAUGAUCUCAGCAAUAGCAUUAGCCAGCAACUUGUAUUCAGCUUCAGUACUUGACCUGGACACUAUGGCUUGUUUUCUAGCACUCCAAGAAAUAAGAUUAGCACCAAAGAAGACUACAAAACCUCCAUUUGAUUUCCUAUCGUCACUACAUCCUGCCCAGUCAGCAUCAGAGAAUGCACUAACAAGGGUGGAGGUAGAACACCUGAACUACAGGCCUAAGUUCACAGUGUGCUUGAUAUAUCGUACAAUUCUGUUAACAUCUAUCCAAUGUACAGUAGUAGGUGCAUGGAGAUACUGACAAACCUUGUUAACAACAAAGGAUAUAUAUGGUCUUUUAGUGUAAGGUGUUGUAGGACUCCUAUUGCACUCCUGUAUCUAGUAAUCUCUUCUUCCUUAAGUGGCUCACCUUCAAAGGCUAAAAGUUUUUCUGAAGAAGACAAUGGUGUGAGUGAGGGCUUGCAGUCCUUCAUCCCCAUCGAGCUAGAAGUUCAGUGCAUAUUUUUCUUGGUUCAGUAUUAUGCCAUCUUGAAUCUUCUUAACUUCGAUACCUAGGAAGAAGUGUAGAUCACCAAGAUCCUUCAAAGCAAACUGUAAGUGCAUCUAGUGCCACCCCUAGUUGGUUUUGGAGUAUUGACGACAAAGUUGGUUGAGGGACUAAUGCGUUUGUGAGAAUUGCAGGAUAACGCAGGAAGUGUCCCUCAUUGAUUCGGUUUACCUACCGGAGAUGACCCCUAAAAAUGUAUGAAGACAUUGAAGACAAUGGUGGUGUGUGAAGAUAUUCACACUGAAGUCUAUGACAUGAGAAGACAUUGUGUGAAGACUAUGGAGCGCGAAGACUGAGUUGUUUCGUUGUUUCCUUUUCUUCUUUGUUGAGUCAUAGGAACCACCGUACUGUUAAGUGGGGUCCAAGUGAACUAAGUCAGAGUGACUGAAGUGAUGCUCAACCCAAAUCCUAUGUCUUCGAGCGAAGACAAUGAGAGCAAAUCUUAUCCAGAGCUGGAUGAGUCAGCUUUGCUUGUAGCCCAAGUAAAGUUGCUGUGUGUGUUUGAAAUCUGACCAUUGGAACACGUGUCAGUUCCUUAGUGACCCAGGGUCAUUUCGGACAUAUCAGGUCGGGUUGCCUUGUGGCUAUAAAUAGCCCACCCCCUACACCAUAAAUUGGUGGUUGCUGAGAGUUAGUUUAUGGCUUUUGUCGUUUUGAGAGCAACCCACCUCGAAGCCUUUGAGAGAGAAAUCCUUGCAAGGACAAAGCCCAAACACCCAGAGCCAAAGAGUGUUAGGCAUCACUGAAGUCUUUCUGUCUGUGUGACCUGAAGACUUAUUACACUUGAGGACUGUGUAUCCUCCAGCCGGUUAGGCGUCGCGUUCUGAGCAUCCAAGAGUCAUUGUGGAUUGCCGGUGAACGAAGUCUGUGAAGGUUCGGAAGUCUACCUUGAAGACUUACCAGUGUGAUUGGGCGAGGACUGUGUGUCCUUAGCUCAAGGGGAAUAAGGUGAAGACGCGGUCUUCUGAGUUGAAUCUCAGCCUCCCUAACCAGACGUACAGUUGUCACAGCAACUGGAACUGGUCCAACAAAUCCUGUGUCUUCACCAAGUGACUGGUUCUAUCCCUUCCCUCCUUUACUUUGAGUUUGUCUUCGUGAAGUCAUUGCUUAUUUGUCUUAUCUGUUUGACUUCAUUGCUUGACUACUAUUGUUGAUUGGCUUCAUACUAUCUUCCAUCCCGAUCCUUACUACCUAGCUGCUAUUAGUCUUCGUACGUUAACACUAUUGCAUACUUGACUAUGGCUUGCUUGUUGUAGUUUAUCUUCCGCUGCAUAUCAAUUAGGUCAUUUCUAUUGUUUGUCUUCGAAACUUCCACGUUUUGAAGACUUUGCUAAAAAUCACCUAUUCACCCCCCCUCUAGUCGAUAACUAGCACUUUCAAUUGGUAUGAGAGAAAGGUACUCCCUUGUUCUGUGUGAUUCGGUUUAACCACCUGGAGUUUAGCUAUGUCGACUGCAGGGAUAAUCAAAGUCUCCGCUGCUUGCCCCGUGUUCAAUGGAACUGAAUAUCCCUACUGGAAGAAUAAGAUGCGCAUGCAUCUUGAAGCCAUUGAUGUCGACCUCUGGUAUGUCGUCAAGAACGGCGUUCCAAAAACUGGUGAAGGUGUCACCACUGCUGAUGUCAAGAAGUUCAUUCAACUGGACUCGACUGCAAAGAACAUCAUCUGUGGUCAUCUGACCAAAGGACAGUAUGGCCGUGUGAGUGCUCUGGAAACGUCAAAGCUAGUCUGGGACUGGCUAUCCAAGGUCAACGAAGGCAUCUCUACACAGAGAGACCAAAGGAUCAAUGUUCUUCGCAACCUCUUCAACCGCUUCAAGAGAAACGAUAAUGAAAAUGUCCAGCUCACAUUUAAUCGCCUCACCGACAUCACAAAUGAGCUACAGGCUCUCGGCGCCACUGAGACCACCAAGCAUGAAAUCGUCAAGACGCUGCUGAGAUCUCUUGACAGCUCCUUUGACACCCUUGCCCUCAUGAUACAAGAACGUCCUGACUUCAAGACUCUCGAUCCGUCUGAUAUACUUGAGAGGCUCAACACACAUGAGUUCCAGCUUUCUGAGAAAAGAGAUAUCUAUGGCCCCAACUAUGGCCGAACUCGUGCUUUGAAGGCAAAAGUUGUUUCCUCAUCUGAAGAAGAAGAAUCUGACUGCGGUUCUGAUGAUCUUGAAGACACUGGAAGGGAACUCACUAUGCUUGUGAAGAAGUUCCAGAAAUUCACCAAGAAGAAGGGCUUCAGAAAGUCUUCACGAUCCAGUUCAAGAAAUGAUGAUGCUUCCACUCAAGACAACAAGAAGAGAACCUAUCACAAGUGUAAGAAGCCAGGGCACUACAUCUCUGAGUGUCCUCACUGGGACAACGAGAAGAAGAAGAAGAAGAGCAAGGAAUAUGACUCUAAUGACAAGAAGAAGAAAUCAUCAAAGUCUUCUUCCAAGUCCUCAUCAAAGUCUUCAUCUCAUAAGAAGAGCUCAUCUGGCAAGGCUCGUGCUUUUGUUGGCAAGGAAAUGGAUUCAGAGGAGGAGUCUGCUUCUGAGGAGGCAGAGGUGAAAUCUGAAGCUGAGUCCGACUCUGGCGUUGCAAGUCUGGCUCUAGCCACAGCCUACGUUGCCAAGUCCAUCUUCAACACUGAAGACAAUGACUCCCACACCAACGCUGAUGAUGACAAGGACGAUCCUUCUCCCACCUACUGCUUCAUGGCACACGGUGCCAAGGUAAAAUCACGCGAUGCCUACUUUCAAAUAUCAAGUGAAGAUGACUCUGAUUGUGAAUCUAAGCCUAGCUACAAAACACUUGCUAAAAUUGCUACUGAACAACAAAGGGCUAUGGAACAUACUCAAAAACUGUUAGACAAAAGCGAUGACCUAUUGGAUGCGGAAAUGACACGUUCGCAGUCCUUAGUUGAAGACAUAAAAAAAUCUUCAUACUAAGUAUCAAGAACUUGAAAGUCUUCUGAUGAGGACAUGACUACCUUGGAUAUGACCAAAAAUAUUGCAUAUAUGCAUAUUUGUCAGGUGAUUUCUAGUGCAAACUAUUCAAUAAUCUAUUUAUGUUAUCCAGAACAAAAAUACUUCACACACUUUUGUGUUUUGUCUAAUUGCAGGUAUACGGGAUAUUUGUACAAUCCACAUAUGAAGAUAAGGAAGAAAGAGAUGUUUAUUUGCUGUCCAAAAAGUUCUCUCACGUCACUUUUGGCCCAAGAGAAGAUAGAGUCCAAGUCUCUCACAUUCCGGAUUCAGAUUCGGACUGCACAGACAUACCUGACUCAAAACGCACACAAGUUUUUCAUACGGACUCCAAAUUGGGUGAUUCUUUUUUGUUGGAAACUAGAUUUCGUACACUUUCCAACCCAAUUGGAAUCACCUUCAAAUUCAUCCGGAGCGUUGAGUUGUGGACGAAACAAUCUGAUUCUGCAGCAGAAUCCGAGUCAAACUACAAGUCCAAAGGUGUUACAUCACCUCCACUUGGGCCCAUUGGCCUUGUACGACCUAGAUUUAGUUUUAGGCUGCCUUGGGACGUCCUCCCACCUCCUUGGCCGCCACCCCUUGCUCCUAUAUAAGUAGAUCCAUCUAGUAGCUUUUCCUGGGGAUUUGUUUAGUUAAAAGUUAGCCAUUGCAACUUCGUGUACUUCGUUUGUGUCCAACGACCAGACCAAGACCGCUUACGGAUCCCCACCAUUAUCAAUACUUCAUAUAUAUUCGCAAUAUUCAGAUUACUUUAUCAUAUUCUUGCUCGUUCUUCGAUUGCUUGCAGGAAUAGACCUUCGUGGUCAGGUUGAUUGUGCUCCAGCGUGGUCAAUAACCUCUCGGAGUUGGUUUAGCGAUUGCUAAGGCGCAACGUCGUGCACGUUUGUAGUCGGAUCGUCAAAGUCAUCUUCACCAAAUCGAUAGUUAUCAUCUCAUCGAAAGAUCGGGACCCUCGCCUCUAUCAAGUGGUAUCAGAGCGUUUAUUCAACAUUGCAUCUUUGAAUUGAUUAUUGCUAAUCUUUUGCUACCAUAUAUAGCCAACCCAGCUCCACAUAUUUCUACACCGUGUAUACGUACGCUCCCCUGGCAAUCGCUUUACUCAAUAUUCGGAGUUACUUGACACCGCUGGUUGCCGAUCACCGCCUGCUGCAUGGUAAGAACUUGUAAGACAUUGAUAUUUGCUUUACUGUGAGCGUUUUACCACCACAUCCUAGUAGUUAUAGGAACAUUAUUUUUGGGUUUUGUUUCUUGUUCUACUAAUCAUGACAGGAUCCAGAGUCAAUUCAUGGGCUUUGUCGAUCGCGGGAGACGUGCCACCACCUUUGCAAAUACCACAACCGUCACGAGAGGUGCACAAACAUCCAAAUGCACAUGAUCAGGUUAAUGUAUCUAUACCACCAUUUAAUGGCCGUUUUAAACCUGCUUUAUAUAUUGAAUGGGAGUUCGACAUAAAAAAUAUAUUUGCUUCCCAUAAUUUCGAUGAACAUAAAAAGGUUAAGGUUGCGGUUGGUUCUUUCACUGGUUAUGCUUUGGUUUGGUGGAGUGAAUAUUGUCGGUUACACCCUGAUUAUAUACCUACUACUUGGGAUGAUUUGAAACUUGCCAUGCGACGUACUUUCAUCCCUGCUUAUUAUACUCGUGACAUGAUUAAGAAGUUGCAACACUUAAAACAAGGUAGUGAAACUGUAACAAAAUAUUAUGAUGAUUUACAAACUACCUUGUUGCAUUCCUCUUUAGAAGAAAGUGAAGAUGAUUUUAUGGAUAGAUUUUGGGGAGGAUUAAACCGUGAUAUUCAAGAGAUACUAAUUCAUGAAGAGUGUUAUCCUAUGGACCAUUUGUUUCAUCUUGCUUGCAAAGCUGAACAGGAAAUAAAACGACGUGUUGGCCACGAGGAGAACAAGCGCACGGUGCACAUUCCAAGAGUUUAUAUGAUUGUUCCUUCAACUACUAGGCAUACUAUGACAACCACAUCCGUUGUUGUCAGGACGACAUCACCUCCACCAUGUGACACAUCGCCCCCGAGAGUGGCUACAUCAUCUGAGUUGAUCAUAAGAGGUAAUGACAAAGGUACUGAUCUUCCAUCUCUACAUGAGAAUGAUGAAUGCCUUGUCAAUUUGAAUGCACCAUCUGAUGAGCUACCCACUACUUUGAUCACACCACCUAUUUUAGAGGACUACGUUGAUAAUUUGACUUUGCCAUGUGAUCAAACAACUGAAAUACCAACAAUUUUGAGUGCACCCGUUGAAUUAACUAUUGAUGCAAAAGAACCAAUGUUUAAUCAUUUUGAUAUGACCUCUAAUCUUGGUGAUGAUUCUGUGUUGAAUGACUUAUUGCAUGUUUGCUUAUUUAAGCAUGUUGUAGCAUGUAAAUUUGAUGCAAGUAAGGUUUAUUCACCAAUGUUGGGAUGGUUUAAUGAUGAACAUUGUCAAUCUUUUGAAAUGAAUAAGAGCUUCACUUAUAUGUGCAAACUGAGUUGCAAUAUUUUCAUGCCUUCUACUUCUUGUGCUAAUUUUUUGGCUUUAGAUUUUAUGAACUAUGCAAGUUACUCAUCUAUUCAUGUGUCAUAUAUGCAAAAAUCAAGGGAAGUAAAAAUGGAUGACAUAUACAUAUACAACAUGUACACCUUGUCUCUUUUGUUAGCCACAUUUCAGAUUAAGCAAUGCCGAGGACGGCUUUAUUUUCAAGAAGGGGAGGAUGAUGAGGACAUGACUACCUUGGAUAUGACCAAAAAUAUUGCAUAUAUGCAUAUUUUUCAGGUGAUUUCUAGUGCAAACUAUUCAAUAAUCUAUUUAUGUUAUCCAGAACAAAAAUACUUCACACACUUUUGUGUUUUGUCUAAUUGCAGGUGUAUGGGACAUUUGUACAAUCCACAUAUGAAGAUAAGGAAGAAAGAGAUGUUUAUUUGCUGUCCAAAAAGUUCUCUCACGUCACUUUUGGCCCAAGAGAAGAUAGAGUCCAAGUCUCUCACGUUCUGGAUUCAGAUUCGGACUGCACAGACACACCUGACUCAAAACGCACACAAGUUUUUCAUACGGACUCCGAAUUGGGUGAUUCUUUUUUGUUGGAAACUAGAUUUCGUGCACUUUCCAACCCAAUUGGAAUCACCUUCAAAUUCGUCCGGAGCGUUGAGUUGUGGACGAAACAAUCUGAUGCUGCAGCAGAAUCCGAGUCAAACUACAAGUCCAAAGGUGUUAUAUCACCUCCACUUGGGCCCAUUGGCCUUGUACGACCUAGAUUUAGUUUUAGGCUGCCUUGGGACGUCCUCCCACCUCCUUGGCCACCACCCCUUGCUCCUAUAUAAGUAGAUCCAUCUAGUAGCUUUUUCCUUGGGAUUUGUUUAGUUAAAAGUUAGCCAUUGCAACUUCGUGAGCUUCGUUUGUGUCCAACGACCAGACCAAGACCACUUUUCGGAUCCCCACCAUUUAUCAAUACUUCAUAUAUAUUUGCAAUAUUCAGAUUGCUUUAUCAUAUUCUUGCUCGUUCUUCGAUUGCUUGCAGGAAUAGACCUUCGUGGUCAGGCUGACCGUGCUUCCGGCAUCGUCAGUAACCUCAGGAGAUUGGUUUAGCGAUUGCUAAGGCGCAACGUCGUGCACGUUUGUAGUCGGAUCGUCAAAGUCGUCUCCACCAAAUCGAUAGUUAUCAUCUCAUCGAAAGAUCGGGACACCCCCGCCUCUAUCAAGUGUCAGGACUUCAUCACAUCCACCAUGUGACACAUCGCCCCCGAGAGUGGCUACAUCAUCUGAGUUGAUCAUAAGAGGUAAUGACAAAGGUACUGAUCUUCCAUCUCUACAUGAGAAUGAUGAAUGCCUUGUCAAUUUGAAUGCACCAUCUGAUGAGCUACCCACUACUUUGAUCACACCACCUAUUUUAGAGGACUACGUUGAUAAUUUGACUUUGCCAUGUGAUCAAACAACUGAAAUACCAACAAUUUUGAGUGCACCCAUUGAAUUAACUAUUGAUGCAAAAGAACCAAUGUUUAAUCAUUUUGAUAUGACCUCUAAUCUUGGUGAUGAUUCUGUGUUGAAUGACUUAUUGCAUGUUUGCUUAUUUAAGCAUUUUGUAGCAUGUAAAUUUGAUGCAAGUAAGGUUUAUUCACCAAUGUUGGGAUGGUUUAAUGAUGAACAUUGUCAAUCUUUUGAAAUGAAUAAGAGCUUCACUUAUAUGUGCAAACUGAGUUGCAAUAUUUUCAUGCCUUCUACUUCUUGUGCUAAUUUUUUGGCUUUAGAUUUUAUGAACUAUGCAAGUUACUCAUCUAUUCAUGUGUCAUAUAUGCAAAAAUCAAGGGAAGUAAAAAUGGAUGACAUAUACAUAUACAACAUGUACACCUUGUCUCUUUUGUUAGCCACAUUUCAGAUUAAGCAAUGCCGAGGACGGCUUUAUUUUCAAGAAGGGGAGGAUGAUGAGGACAUGACUACCUUGGAUAUGACCAAAAAUAUUGCAUAUAUGCAUAUUUGUCAGGUGAUUUCUAGUGCAAACUAUUCAAUAAUCUAUUUAUGUUAUCCAGAACAAAAAUACUUCACACACUUUUGUGUUUUGUCUAAUUGCAGGUGUAUGGGAUAUUUGUACAAUCCACAUAUGAAGAUAAGGAAGAAAGAGAUGUUUAUUUGCUGUCCAAAAAGUUCUCUCACGUCACUUUUGGCCCAAGAGAAGAUAGAGUCCAAGUCUCUCACGUUCUGGAUUCAGAUUCGGACUGCACAGACAUACCUGACUCAAAACGCACACAAGUUUUUCAUACGGACUCCAAAUUGGGUGAUUCUUUUUUUGUUGGAAACUAGAUUUCGUACACUUUCCAACCCAAUUGGAAUCACCUUCAAAUUCAUCCGGAGCGUUGAGUUGUGGACGAAACAAUCUGAUUCUGCAGCAGAAUCCGAGUCAAACUACAAGUCCAAAGGUGUUACAUCACCUCCACUUGGGCCCAUUGGCCUUGUACGACCUAGAUUUAGUUUUAGGCUGCCUUGGGACGUCCUCCCACCUCCUUGGCCGCCACCCCUUGCUCCUAUAUAAGUAGAUCCAUCUAGUAGCUUUUCCUGGGGAUUUGUUUAGUUAAAAGUUAGCCAUUGCAACUUCGUGUACUUCGUUUGUGUCCAACGACCAGACCAAGACCGCUUACGGAUCCCCACCAUUAUCAAUACUUCAUAUAUAUUCGCAAUAUUCAGAUUGCUUUAUCAUAUUCUUGCUCGUUCUUCGAUUGCUUGCAGGAAUAGACCUUCGUGGUCAGGUUGAUUGUGCUCCAGCGUGGUCAAUAACCUCUCGGAGUUGGUUUAGCGAUUGCUAAGGCGCAACGUCGUGCACGUUUGUAGUCGGAUCGUCAAAGUCAUCUUCACCAAAUCGAUAGUUAUCAUCUCAUCGAAAGAUCGAGACCCUCGCCUCUAUCAUCUUCAUGAGACGCUCUCAACCACUUAUGAAAGCUCUCCUAUGAUUAUCUUCAAAGGAAGCAAGAGCUUGAGAAAUUGAAAGCGACUCAUGAAGAUCUUCAAAAAGAGAAUGAGUCAUUUCGCGCUCAACAGAUCAGUUCCGCUCAGGAAGGAUUUGGACCACCAUGUCUAAAAUGCAUUGAGCGUGAUAACACUACCUCUGUUGCUGAAUGUUCCACUGCUGCUAUUGUUGCUCUGUCUUCAACUACUGAUGUGGUAACUAACCCCUCUGCUAAGGAUACCACUACUAUUGCUGAUGAAAAUGCUAGGUUGAAGACAUUGCUUGAAACAGGGAUGUACAAAAGUCUGAAAGGGCAUCAGAAACUUUGUGAUGUCCUCAAAAAGCAGAUUCUGAACCGAAACCCUAGGAAAGAGGGUGUUGGGUUCGAGAGGAAAAUGAAUGCUGAUGGUUCCUACUGGAAGCCUGAGCAGUAUCCCAAAACCACAUGGGUUGCUGCAAAGGAACCUUUAGUGGAUCCAUCCACUUUAUCUGGCUUUACCUGUGCUAAUCCUAUUAUCAUUGAUGAAUCCUCUGAUGCAAACUAUAAACUGUUCAAAAAUAAGAAUGGUGAAGUGUUUGCCAGGUAUAUUGGUACUAACUGCAGGAAUGGACCGCAAAUGAAGAAGAUCUGGGUUCCCAAAAGCUGUCUUGAGAAUCUUCCUGUGAAUGUUGUCAUGACACCACCAGGGAAGAAGACAAACCCCAGACCAAAGGCGUCACAUGGUCCAACGGCUUCAUACGGAAACAGGACUCACCUGAGUCACCAUAACACCAAUGUUUUGCAGGGAAAUCAUACUCAAACUUAUGAAUAUGAGCGCGUGUCUUCAAACCGCUAUGUUCAUAGGACUAAGAACUUUUCUGCUUAUUCAUAUGAGUAUCAUUCAUCUCCUGCAAGGCUAUUUGCUAGGGCUCCAAAGCCGAAAUUCUCAGAUGCUGCACUUAGACUCAUUGUUUCUAAGCCACCCCUAAAGAUGUGGGUGGUGAAGAAGAACUAACUCUCUUUUGCAGAACAUGGUCUCCAGCCAGUAAUCAAAGGCGUCCGAUAUUAUUGCUGGGGACCUAAAACACAAAGGGACGCAUGAUAAAAUGACUUACUAUGUAUUCCACUUAUGAAUCGCUUACCUGUCAUACUGCGUGCUAACUUACAUCUAAGCUGUGAUAAUCCAAGUGUGCGUCAAAUGCUUAUGCUUCACAACAUACCUUGUGAAGCCUAUCCUCCUAACUGCACUGUAGCGUAUGACACCUUGUGCUUCAGAAUGGAUUAUGGACAGUGGAUGCACUAAUCAUAUGACUGGUGAUCGAAGUCUUCUCAUGGACUCAACCUUACGUCCAUCCGACAAGAGUUAAAUCACAUUUGCUGACACUGGUAAAGGCAAGGUAUUGGGUCUAGGUAGAGUUGCAAUCUCAAAGGAUCAACACAUGGAUAAAGUGAUGCUUGUUGAAUCCCUUGGAUUCAACUUAAUGUCUGUCUCAAUGCUUUGUGACUUAAACAUGAUUGUGAUAUUCGGAAAAUAUAGUUGCCUUGUACUAAUGGAAUCUGACAAGUCUCUAGUCUUUGAAGGUUAUAGGAAAGGUGAUCUAUACAUGGUAGAUUUCUCAGCAGGUCCACAGCUUGCCAUAUGUCUUCUUGCAAAAGCUUCAGAAUGCUGGCUCUAGCAUCGAAGGCUGGGACAUGCUGGCAUGAGGAACUUACACACUCUCGUCAAGAAGAAGCAUGUCAUAGGCAUCGAAGGUGUCAAGUUCAAGAAAGAUCAUUUGUGUGGUGCUUGCGAAGCUGGGAAGAUGACUAGGGCCAAGCACCCCUCGAAGACAAUCAUGACAACAUCUCAACCCCUCGAGCUGUUGCACAUGGACUUAUUUGGCCCUACUCACUACUCUACCCUCACAACAACGGCGUGUCUCUAUGGCUUCAUCAUUGUUGAUGACUACUCAAGAUAUACAUGGGUGCACAUAAUUCUCUACAAGACUGAAGUACAAGAUGUCUUCAGACGAUUCACCAAUCGAGCAAUGAACAAUUAUGGCGUCAAGACCAAGCAUAUCAGAAGUGAUAACAGCACUGAAUUCAAGAACACCGGGCUUGAUCUCUAUCUGGAUACAAUGGGAAUCACUCAUGAAUUCUCUGCCCCAUACACACCUCAGCAAAAUGGCAUUGUAGAGUGCAAGAACAGAACCCUCAUUGAGAUGGCUCGAAUAAUGCUCGACGAGUACAAGACACCAAGAAAGUUCUGGCCUAAAGCUAUUGAUACAACUUGUCACAUCAUCAACCGUGUCUACAUCCAUAAGCUUCUGGGCAAAACAUCCUAUGAGCUCCUUACUGGCAAGAAGCCAAAUGUCAGCUACUUCAGAGUUUUUGGUGGUAGAUGCUGGAUCAAGGAUCCCCAUCACAAGUCAAAAUUUGAGCCUAAAGCACACAAAGGCUUCAUGCUCGAUUAUGGAAAGGAUUCACACUCUUACAGAGUCUUCAACCUCUUUCACUACAAAAUCGCUGAAACUGUGGAUGUGCGAUUUGAUGAAACCAAUGGUUCACAACGAGAACUCCUGCCAAGCACACUAGAUGAAGUUCCUUCCAGUGAAUCUAUCAAGCUAAUGGGAACUGGUGAAAUCAUGCCCUCUGAAGCACAGCCUGAAGAGGAACUUAUCAUUUCAGCACCAAACCAACCUGAAGACAAUGCUCAGACCUAAGACAAUCCUUCCAAUGAUGACAAUGAUCAGCAUGAACAAGGUCUUCGUCCAGUUCAUCCUCAUGUUGCAAAUGAAGUACAAAUUGAGAAGAUAAUUGAUAGCAUCAACGCACCUGGUCCGCUUACUCGCUCAAGAGCAACUCAGUUAGCAAAUUUCUGUGGGCAUUUUUCAUUUGUUUCAAUAUCUUGAAGGAAAUAUGCCCUAGAGGCAAUAAUAAAGUUAUUAUUUAUUUCCUUAUAUCAUGAUAAAUGUUUAUUAUUCAUGCUAGAAUUGUAUUAACUGGAAACAUGAUACAUGUGUGAAUACAUAGACAAACAUAUAGUCACUAGUAUGCCUCUACUUGACUAGCUCAUUAAUCAAAGAUGGUUAUGUUUCCUAACCAUAGACAUGUGUUGUCAUUUGAUUAAUGGGAUCACAUCAUUAGGAGAAUAAUGUGAUUGACAUGACCCAUUCCGUUAGCCUAGCACUUGAUCGUUUAGUAUGUUGCUAUUGCUUUCUUCAUAACUUAUACAUGUUCCUGUAACUAUGAGAUUAUGCAACUCCCGUUUACCGGAGGAACACUUUGUGUGCUACCAAACGUCACAACGUAACUGGGUGAUUAUAAAGGUGCUCUACAGGUGUCUCCAAAGGUACAUGUUGAGUUGGCAUAAUUCGAGAUUAGGUUUUGUCACUCCGAUUGUCGGAGAGGUAUCUCUGGGCCCUCUCGAUAAUACAUAUUGCUUAAGCCUUGCAAGCAUUGUAACUAAUGAGCUAGUUAUGAAAUGAUGUAUUACGGAACGAGUAAAGAGACUUGCCAGUAACGAGAUUGAACUAGGUAUUGGAUACCGACGAUCAAAUCUCGGGCAAGUAACAUACCGAUGACAAAGAGAACAACGUAUGUUGUUAUGCGGGUUGACCGAUAAAGAUCUUCGUAGAAUAUGUAGUAACCAAUAUGGACAUCCAGGUUCCGCUAUUGUUUAUUGACCGAGAAUAGUUCUAGGUCAUGUCUACAUAGUUCUCGAACCCGUAGGGUCCGCACGCUUAGGGUUUCGAUGACAGUUUUAUUACGAGUUUAUGAGUUUUGAUGUACCGAAGGAGUUCGGAGUCCCGGAUGAGAUCGGGGACAUGACGAGAAGUCUCUAAAUGGUUGAGACGUAAAGAUCGAUAUAUUGGACGACUAUAUUCGGACUUCGGAAAGGUUCCGAGUGAUUCGGGUAUUUUUCGAAGUACCGGGGAGUUACGGGAAUACGGGGAAGAGUAUUGGGCCUUAAUGGGCCUUAGUGGGAAGGAGCCAGGAGGUGGCGUGCGCCCCUCCCAAGCCCAUUCCGAAUUGGACAAAGGGUUUGGGGCGCGGCCCCCCUCUCCCUUCCUUCUCCACUCCCCUCCCCCCUUCUCCUAGUUGGACUAGGAAAGAAGGAGUCCUACUCCCGGUGGGAGUAGGACUCCCCCUUGGCGCGCCCUCCUUGGCCGGCCGCACCUCCCCCCUCCCUCCUUUAUAUACGGGGGCAGGGGGGCACCCCACAAUAACACAAGUUGAUCUACGAAUCGUUCCUUAGCCGUGUGCGAUGCCCCCCUCCACCAUAUUCCACCUUGGUCAUAUCAUCGCGGAGUUUAGGCGAAGCCCUGCGCUGGUAGAACAUCAUCAUCAUCACCACGCUGUCGUGCUGACGGAACUCAUCCCCGACGCUUUGCUAGAUUGGAGCCCGGGGAACGUCAUCGAGCUGAACGUGUGCUGAACACGGAGGUGCCGUACGUUCGGUGCUUGGAUCGGCCGGAUCAUGAAGACGUACGACUACAUCAACCGCGUUGUCAUAACGCUUCCGCUUAAUGGUCUACGAGGGUACGUAGACAACACUCUCCCCUCUCGUUGCUAUGCCAUCACCAUGAUCUUGCGUGUGCGUAGGAUUUUUUUUGAAAUUACUUCGUUCCCCAACAGUGGCAUCCGAGCCUAGGUUCUAUGCGUUGAUGUUAUAUGCACGAGUAGAACACAAGUGAGUUGUGGGCGAUACAAGUCAUACUGCUUACCAGCAUGUCAUACUUUGGUUCAGCGGUAUUGUUGGAUGAAGCGGCCCGGACCGACAUUACGCGUACGCUUACGCGAGACUGGUUCUACCGACGUGCUUUGCACACAGGUGGCUGGCGGGUGUCAGUUUCUCCAACUUUAGUUGAACCAAGUGUGGCUACGCCCGGUCCUUGAGAAGGUUAAAACAACUCCAACUUGACGAACUAUCAUUAUGGUUUUGAUGCGUAGGUAAGAACGGUUCUUGCUCAGCCCGUAGCAGCCACGUAAAACUUGCAACAACAAAGUAGAGGACGUCUAACUUGUUUUUGCAGGGCAUGUUGUGAUGUGAUAUGGUCAAGACGUGAUGAGAUAUAAGUUGUUGUAUGAGAUGAUCAUGUUUUGUUGAAGUUAUCGGCAACUGGCAGAAGCUCUAUGGUUGUCUCUUUGUUGCAUAAGAUGCAAGUGCCAAAUAAUUUCUUUACUUUAUCGCUAUGCGAUAGCAAUAGUUGCAAGAGCAAUAGUUGGCAAGACGACCAUGUGACGACACAUUGAUAUAGAUCAAGAUGAUGAAGAUCAUGGUGUCGUGCCGGUGACGAUAGAGAUCAUGACAGUACUUUGGAGAUGGAGAUCAAAGGCGCAAGAUGAUCAUGGCCAUAUCAUGUCACAUAUUUUGAUUGCAUAUGAUGUUUAUCUGUUAUACAUCUUAUUCCGUUUUGUUUGAUGGUACCAUUAUAAGAUGAUCUCUCACUAAUUAUCAAGAAGUGUUCUCCCUGAGUAUGUACCGUUUCCAAAGUUCGUUGUGCCCAGACACCACGUGAUGAUCGGGUGUGAUAAGCUCUACGUCCAUCUACAACGGGUGCAAGCCCGUUUUGCACACGCGGAAUACUCAGGUUAAACUUGACGAGCCUAGCAUAUGCAGAUAUGGCCUCGGAACACGGAGACCAAAAGGUCGAGCGUGAAUCAUAUAGUAGAUAUGAUCAACAUAGUGAUGUUCACCAUUGAAAGCUACUCCAUUUCGCGUGAUGAUCGGUUAUGGUUUAGUUGAUUUGGAUCACAUGAUCACUUAGAGGAUUAGAGGGAUGUCUUUCUAAGUGGGAGUUCUUAAGUAAUAUGAUUAAUUGAACUUAAAUUUAUCAUGAACUUAGUCCUGGUAGUAUUUUGCAAAUUAUGUUGUAGAUCAAUAGCUUGCGUUGUUGCUUUCAUAUGUUUAUUUUGAUAUGUUCCUAGAGAAAAUUGUGUUGAAAAAUGUUAGUAGCAAUGAUGCGGAUUGGAUCCGUGAUCUGAGGUUUAUCCUCAUUGCUGCGCAGAAGAAUUAUGUCCUUGAUGCACCGCUAGGUGACAAACCUAUUGCAGGAACGUUUGGCUAGCUCAAUAUGAUGACUACUUGAUAGUUUAGUGCACCAUGCUUAACGGCUUAGAAUCGGGACUUCAAAGACGUUUUGAAUGUCAUGGACCAUAUGAGAUGUUCCAGGAAUUGAAGUUAAUAUUUCAAGCAAAUACCCGAGUUGAGAGAUAUGAAAUCUCCAACAAGUUCUAUUGCUAAAAGAUGGAGGAGAAUCGCUCAACUAGUGAGCAUGUGCUCAGAUUGUCUGGGUACUACAAUCACUUGAAUCAAGUGGGAGUUAAUCUUCCAGAUAAGAUAGUGAUUGAUAGAGUUCUCUAGUCACCAUCACUAAGUUAGUAGAACUUUGUGAUGAACUAUAGUAUGCAAGGGAUGACGAAAAUGAUUCCCGAGCUCUUCGUGAUGUUGAAAUCGACGAAGGUAGAAAUCAAGAAAGAGCAUCAAGUGUUGAUGAUUGACAAGACCACUAGUUUCAAGAAAAGGGCAAAGGGAUAGAAAGGGAACUUCAAGUAGAAUGACAAGCAAGUUGUCACUCCCGCGAAGAAGCUCACAGCUGGACCAAAGCCUGAAACUGAGUGCUUACACUGCAAAGGAAAUGGUCACUAGAAGCGGAAAUGCCCUGAAUAUUUGGUGGAUAAGAAGGAUGGCGAAGUGAACAAGGGUAUAUUUGAUAUACAGGUUAUUGCUGUGUGCCUUACUAGUGUUUAUAGUAGCCCCAUAGUAUUUGAUACUUGUUCAGUUGCUAAGAUUAGUAACUCGAAACAUGAGUUAUAUAAACAGAGACUGGUUGAAGGGGAAGUGACGUUGAGUGUUGGAAGUGGUUCCAAGAUUGAUAUGAUCAUCAUCGCACACUCCCUAUACUUUCGGGAUUAGUGUUGAACCUAAAUAAAUGUUAUUUGGCAUUUGCGUUGAGCAUGAAUAUGAUUUGAUCAUGUUUAUUGCAAUACGGUUAUUCAUUUAAAAUCAGAGAAUAAUUGUUGUUCUGUUUAAAUGAAUAAAACCUUUGAUGGUCAUACACCCAAUGAAAAUAGUUUGUUGGAUCUCGAUCAUAGUGAUACACAUAUUCAUAAUAUUGAUGCCAAAAGAUGCAAAGUUGAUAAUGAUAGUGCAACUUAUUUGUGGCACUGCCGUUUGGGUCAUAUCGGUGUAAAGCGCAUGAAGAAACUCCAUAAAGAUGGAUUUUUGGAAUCACUUGGUUAUGAAUCAUUUGAUGCUUGCGAACCAUGCCUUUUGGGCAAGAUGACUAAAACUCCGUUCUCCAGAACAAUGGAACGAGCUACUGACUUAUUGGAAAUAAUACAUACCGAUGUAUGUGAUCCAAUGAGUGUUGAUGCUCGUGGCAAGUAUCGUUAUUUUCUGACCUUCACAGAUGAUUUGAGCAGAUAUGGGAAUAUCUACUUAAUGAAACACAAGUCUGAAACAUUUGAAAAAGUUCAAAGAAUUUCAGAGUGAAGUGGAGAAUCAUCGUAACAAGAAAAUAAAAUUUCUACGAUCUGAUCAUGGAGGAGAAUAUUUGAGUUAUGAGUUUGGCCUUCAUAUAAAACUAUGUGGAAUAGUUUCACAGCUCACGCCACCUGGAACACCACAGCUUAAUGGUGUGUCCGAACGUCAUAACAGUACUUUAUUGGAUAUAGUGCGAUCUAUGAUGUAUCUUACCAAUUUACCACUAUUAUUUUGGGGUUAUGCAUUAGAGACAGUUGCAUUCACUUUAAAUAGGGCACCAUCAAAAUCCAUUGAGACGACACCUUAUGAACUGUGGUUUGGCGAGAAACCAAACUUGUCGUUUCUUAAAGUUUGGGGCUGCGAUGCUUAUGUGAAAAAGUUUUCACCUGAUAAGCUCGAACCCAAAUCGGAGAAGUGCGUCUUCAUAGAAUACCCAAAGGUAACUAUUGGGUACACCUUCUAUCACAGAUCCGAAAGCAAGAUUCGUUGCUAAGAUGGAUCCUUUCUAGAGAAGGGGUUUCUCUCGAAAGAAGUGAGUGGGAGGAAAGUAGAACUUGAUAAGGUAAUUGCACCUUCUCCCAAAUUGGAAGGUAGUUCAUCACAGAAAUCAGUUCCAGUGAUGCCUACACCGAUUAGUGAGGAAGUUAAUGAUGAUGAUCAUGAAGCUUCAGAUCAAGUUACUACCGAACCUCGUAGGUCUUCCAGAAUAAGAUCCGCACCAAAGUGGUACGGUAAUCCCAUUCUAGAAGUCAUGUUACUAGACCAUGAUGAACCUACGAACUAUGAGGAAGCGAUGAUGAUCCCAGAUUCCGUGAAAUGGCUUGAGGCCAUGAAAUCUGAGAUAGGAUCCAUGUAUGAGAACAAAGUAUGGACUUUGAUUGACUUGCUCGAUGAUCAACAAGCCAUGUUAAAUAAAUGAAUCUUCAAGAGGAAGACGGACACUGAUAGUAGUGUUACUAUCUACAAAGCUCGACUUUUCACAAAAAGGUUUUCGACAAGUUCAAGGUGUUGACUACAAUGAGAUUUUCUCAAACUGUAGCGAUGCUUAAGUCUGUCCGAAUCAUGUUAGCAAUUGUCACAUGUUAUGAAAUCUGGCAAAUGGAUGUCAAAACUACAUUCUUUAAUGGAUUUAUUAAAGAAGAGUUGUAUAUGAUGCAACCAUAAGGUUUUGUUAAUCCUAAAGGUACUAACAAAAUGUGCAAGCUCCAACGAUCCAUCAAUGGACUGGUGCAAGCAUCUCGGAGUUGGAAUAUACGCUUUGAUGAGUUGAUCAAAGCAUAUGGUUUUAUACAGACUUUUGGAAAGGCCUGUAUUUACAAGAAAGUGAGUGGGAGCUCUGUAGCAUUUCUGAUAUUAUAUGUGCAAGACAUAUUGUUUAUUGGAAAUGAUAUAGAAUUUCUGGAUAGCAUAAAAGGAUACUUGAAUAAAAGGUUUUUCAAUGGAAGACCUCGGUGAAGCUGCUUACAUAUUGAGCAUCAAGAUCUAUUGAGAUAGAUCAAGACGCUUGAUAAGUUUUUCAAUAAGUACAUACCUUGUCAAGAUUUUGAAAUAGUUCAAAAUGGAACAGUCAAAGAAAGAGUUCUUGCCUGUGUUGCAAAGGUGUGAAAUUGAGUAAGACUCAAGACCCGACCACGGCAGAAAAUAGAAAGAGAAUGAAAGUCAUUCCCUAUGCAUCAGUCAUAGGUUCUAUAAAAGUAUGCCAUGUUAUGGACCAGACCUAUUGUAUACUCUGCUCUGGUUUGGCAAGGGAGUACAAUGUUGAUCUAGGAGUAGAUCACUGGACAUUGGUCAAAAUUAUCCUUAGUGGAAUAAGGAUAUGUUUCUUGAUUAUGGAGGUGAUAAAAGAGUUCGUCGUAAAGAGUUACAUCGAUGCAAGCUUUUACACUGAUCCAGAUGACUCUAAGUCUUAAUCUGGAUACAUAUUGAAAGUGGGAGCAAUUAGCUAGAGUAGCUCCAUGCAUAGCAUUGAAGACAUAGAAUAUUUGCAAAAUACAUACGGCUCUGAAUAUGACAGACUCGUUGACUAAACUUCUCUCACGAGCAAAACAUGAUCAUACCUUAGUACUCUUUUGGGUGUUAAUCACAUAGCGAUGAACUAGAUUAUUGACUCUAGUAAACCCUUUGGGUGUUGAUCACAUGACGAUGUGAACUAUGGGUAUUAAUCACAUACAUAUGUGAAUAUUGGUGUUGAAUCACAUAAUGAUGUGAACUAGAUUAUUGACUCUAGUGCAAGUGGGAGACUGAAGGAAAUAUGCCCUAGAGGCAAUAAUAAAGUUAUUAUUUAUUUCCUUAUAUCAUGAUAAAUGUUUAUUAUUCAUGCUAGAAUUGUAUUAACCGGAAACAUGAUACAUGUGUGAAUACAUAGACAAACAUAUAGUCACUAGUAUGCCUCUACUUGACUAGCUCAUUAAUCAAAGAUGGUUAUGUUUCCUAACCAUAGACAUGUGUUGUCAUUUGAUUAAUGGGAUCACAUCAUUAGGAGAAUAAUGUGAUUGACAUGACCCAUUCCGUUAGCCUAGCACUUGAUCGUUUAGUAUGUUGCUAUUGCUUUCUUCAUAACUUAUACAUGUUCCUGUAACUAUGAGAUUAUGCAACUCCCGUUUACCGGAGGAACACUUUGUGUGCUACCAAACGUCACAACGUAACUGGGUGAUUAUAAAGGUGCUCUACAGGUGUCUCCAAAGGUACAUGUUGAGUUGGCAUAAUUCGAGAUUAGGUUUUGUCACUCCGAUUGUCGGAGAGGUAUCUCUGGGCCCUCUCGAUAAUACAUAUCACUUAAGCCUUGCAAGCAUUGUAACUAAUGAGCUAGUUAUGAAAUGAUGUAUUACGGAACGAGUAAAGAGACUUGCCAGUAACGAGAUUGAACUAGGUAUUGGAUACCGACGAUCAAAUCUCGGGCAAGUAACAUACCGAUGACAAAGAGAACAACGUAUGUUGUUAUGCGGGUUGACCGAUAAAGAUCUUCGUAGAAUAUGUAGGAACCAAUAUGGACAUCCAGGUUCCGCUAUUGUUUAUUGACCGAGAAUAGUUCUAGGUCAUGUCUACAUAGUUCUCGAACCCGUAGGGUCCGCACGCUUAAGGUUUCGAUGACAGUUUUAUUACGAGUUUAUGAGUUUUGAUGUACCGAAGGAGUUCGGAGUCCCGGAUGAGAUCGGGGACAUGACGAGAAGUCUCGAAAUGGUCGAGACAUAAAGAUCGAUAUAGUGGACGACUAUAUUCGGACUUCGGAAAGGUUCCGAGUGAUUCGGGUAUUUUUCGGAGUACCGGGGAGUUACGGGAAUACGGGGAAGAUUAUUGGGCCUUAAUGGGCCUUAGUGGGAAGGAGCCAGGAGGUGGCGCGCGCCCCUCCCAAGCCUAGUCCGAAUUGGACAAAGGGUUUGGGGCGCGGCCCCCCUCUCCCUUCCUUCUCCACUCCCCUCCUUUCCCCCCUUCUCCUAGUUGGACUAGGAAAGAAGGAGUCCUACUCCCAGUGGGAGUAGGACUCCCCCUUGGCGCGUCCUCCUUGUCCGGCUGCACCUCCCCCCUCCCUCCUUUAUAUACGGGGGCAGGGGGCACCCCACAAUAACACAAGUUGAUCUAUGGAUCGUUCCUUAGCCGUGUGCGGUGCCCCCCUCCACCAUAUUCCACCUCGGUCAUAUCGUCGCGGAGUUUAGGCGAAGCCCUGCGUCGGUAGAACAUCAUCAUCAUCACCACGCCGUCGUGCUGACGGAACUCAUCCCCAACGCUUUGCUGGAUUGGAGCCCGGGGAACGUCAUCGAGCUGAAUGUGUGCUGAACACGGAGGUGCCGUACGUUCGGUGCUUGGAUCGGUCGGAUCGUGAAGACGUACGACUACAUCAACCGCGUUGUCAUAACACUUCCGCUUAACGGUCUACGAGGGUACAUAGACAACACUCUCCCCUCUCGUUGCUAUGCCAUCACCAUGAUCUUGCAUGUGCGUAGGAUUUUUUUUUGAAAUUACUUCGUUCCCCAACAUAUCUGAACCCAAAAAGUUGCUGAAGCCUUUAUGGAACCUGAAUGGAUUCAAGCCAUGCAAGAAGAACUUCAACAGUUCAAGCUGAAUAAUGUUUGGGAACUUGUCAAGCGCCCUGACCCUCGCAAGCAUAACAUUAUUGGCACUAAAUGGAUAUAUCGGAACAAGCAAGAUGAGCAUGGUCAAGUCGUCAGGAACAAAGCACGUCUUGUGGCUCAAGGAUAUACUCAAGUUGAAGGAAUCGACUUCGAUGAAACAUUUGCUCAUGUGGCUAGGCUUGAAGCUAUUCGCAUACUGCUAGCCUAUGCUAAUCACCACAACAUGUUGCUAUAUCAAAUGGAUGUGAAAAGUGCUUUCCUCAAUGGCAAGAUUGAAGAAGAAGUGUAUGUUGCUCAGCCACCUAGCUUUGAAGAUCCAAAACAUCCUGACAUGGUGUACAAACUAAACAAAGCACUGUAUGGCCUCAAAGAAGCUCCUCACGCUUGGUAUGAUACAAUCAAAGACUUCCUGAAGAGCAAAGGAUUCAAACCAGGAUCCCUCGAUCCCACACUCUUCACAAAGACAUAUGAUGGUGAACUGUUUGUAUGCCAAAUAUAUGUGGAUGACAUAAUCUUCGGCUGCACCAAUCAGAAGUAUAGUGAUGAGUUUGGAUACAUGAUGCAAGAGCAAUAUCAGAUGUCCAUGAUGGGUGAGCUGAAGUUCUUCCUUGGUCUUCAAAUUCGUCAGCAAAGAAAUGGCAUCUUCAUAUCUCAAGAAAAAUAUCUCAAAGACUGUCUGAAGAAGUUCGGCAUGCAAGAUUGCAAAGGUUACACGACGCCAAUGCCAGCCAAACAUCAUCUUGGUCCUGACGACAAUGGUAAAGAGUUCGAUCAAAAGGUAUACCGCUCCAUGAUUGGUUCUUUACUUUACCUAUGUGCAUCUAGGCCAGAUAUUAUGCUUAGUGUUUGCAUGUGUGCUCGAUUCCAAGCGGCACCAAAGGAAUCGCAUCACUUAGCUGUGAAGCGAAUUCUUAGAUAUUUGGCUUACACCCAAACACUCGGAUUAUGGUAUCCAAAGGGCUCAAGGUUUGAUCUGGUUGGAUUCUCGGAUGCUGAUUAUGCUGGUGACAAGGUGGAUCACACGUCAACAUCAGGAACAUGUCACUUUCUGGGACGAUCACUUGUCUGUUGGUCUUCAAAGAAGCAAAACUGUGUAUCACUCUCAACUGCUGAAUCUGAAUACAUUGCUGCUGGAUCUUGUUGUGCUCAGCUUCUGUGGAUGAAGCAAACUCUCAAGGACUAUGGCGUCAAUCUGAAACAAGUCCCUCUCUUCUGCGACAACGAAAGCGCCAUCAAGAUUGCCAACAAUCCAGUUCAGCACUCGAAGACAAAGCACAUUGAAAUUCGUCAUCACUUUCUCAGAGAUCAUGUUAUGAAGAAACAUAUUGACAUCAUUCACGUCAACACUGAAGAGCAACUGGCAGAUAUCUUCACAAAGCCCUUGGAUGAGAAAAGGUUUUGCAAGUUACGGUGUGAGCUAAAUAUCUUGGAAUCCUCAAAUGUCCUGUGAUCAGGCACACAUCCUAACACUUAUGCAUGUUGAUGACUUAGAUGUGCAACACACGAAGUAAAGUAUAUCUUCAAUCAAUAAAGACUUACAUUCUGAGUGUGAAUACAUUAACGUGGAAUUUGACUUCGGAGCACCACGAUAAUUGUGCGCCGUGUCUGGGUCUAAUACUUCCUAUACGGUGGGUAACGCCACCACCAAAUUUCUUGGUUUGAAGUGUUUCACUCAUGGCGUUAUUGUUGAAUAUCUUCGCAUAUUGAUUUGUCUUCAACUUUCAACUUAUCUUCAUGAUUUACUUCACUAUGUUGAGUUGAUUGCUUUCUCAUAUAUAUAUACUAAUAUUCUGUCCUCUACAGCAUUCACUUAUAGCUAUGUCUUCAUUGUUGAAUCUUUUGAACUAAGUGAAUGUGAUCGGACCCUAAUCUCUCUAUGCUUACCAUCUCAAACUCUAUCUGUCCAAAUCAUAUGCAUUCUAUUGAAACUGUCGAAUGUCUUCUCUGCAUCCUUGUCAGCAGAAGACACAGAGACAAACAUCAAGUCCUCUUUAAAUGAUUCAUCUUUAUUGUCGAUAUCCGGAGAAGCCGGAACAAUCAUCCGACAAACUUGGCGGGCGUGGGAACGUGGGACAUCACUAAGUAUGUUGCAUGCUUGCCACGUGUCCCACGGAUGUGAACAGACAGGGGCACCUGCGUAAUUGCGCUGUGCUGCACAUCUACUUAUAAGUACGUGUUCCCUGUGGUCAAGAAAACCUUCUUCCACCUCUCCACCUCGUCAAAACCCUAGCGCCACCGCUAGCUCUCGACGACGCCGGCGACGAAGCGCUUAGCUGCCGCGACUUCUCCGACGCCGUCCUCACGCCGGCCGCGGGCAUCGUCUUCUUCGCCGCCGCCGUAGGUGUCCUCCGUCGCCAAGUUAGGGCACGGUGGAUUGAACUGCUCGGUCUCCUUUCAUCCCAUCUAGCAGUUCUUCGUGUGGUAAAUAUAACUCUAUUUUUACAAGCUUUUUGAUCCUCAAUGAUUCAUCCAAUUUACCAAACUUGGUUUCUGUCUAUACAAAGUUAGAUCUAUUCUGUCUGCAUCUCAUACUGCCUAGUAUAUUCACUUAAGCUUAACAUCUAGUUAGAUUCCUCACUUGUACUUAUUCACGGAUUCGUACAAAUCUGGAACCGACUCUCAACAUAUAAGUGAAUGUCUUUGCAACAUGAGGUCAAUGUCUUCAAACUGAUUUAUCUUCAAAAUCUUCUGAGAAUGCAUAUGACCUCUUCCCCUUCCCUCGCAUCUCUAAUGCUGUCAUAGGUACAUGUCCGUGGGAGAAUCCCUAGGUUCUCAUAGUCUGCAUUCGUUUGCAGAAUUCUUACAUCAACACAUUGAAUCUCCCGAAGCCAGUUCCUGUCUGACCAGCAAGCGAAAGCCCUUGAAGCCUUUGAACCUAUUGAAACCAUUCAGUUUGAAGUUCAUGGCUACAGAGAAAUCAGUAAGGAAGGGUGGCAGACAGCGUCGUGGGGGAACUUCAAAGGAUCUGCCUGAUGAUCUUGCAAAAAUCUACAAAACAGAUCCUGAAGAGGAUUAUAAUCAGCGCAAGACUCGAAUUCAAUGGAUUCGACGCUAUUGGGCUGAACAAUGGUUUAAGUAUAAGUUCGUGACCCAGGAGUACGCUGAGAAGAAUGCUAUCAAGACUCCUUGGGGUGAUAUUCUCUAUCGAGGCCUUCCCCCCAAGAACAAAGCUGAAGCCAUUGCGCAAGAAUUCUAUCCUUGCAUGGUCCGUGGACCAUAGCCUGAAGAUGCCAACCCAUCAUCAUUGCUCUGGUGUCGUGACGACAAUCUCUUCAAGCGCAACUUCCAGUAUGCUAAGGCUUCGGCAAAGGAAAACAAGAAGUCAUGGGGAUUAGACUUCAAUCCUGGUCCCUCUGCUCCCCGUGAUGAUGGCACACGUGAAGCUGAAGAAAAUAGAAUCGGCCCCUUUGCAAACCUUGAUGGCCUCAUCUCUUACAUCUUGGUGCAAGGUGCCAAAGUCGAUCAUUCUGAUAAUGAUGCUGAUUCCGAUGAAGCCCCAGCUCCUCCUCCAAGGCCGCAGAAGCCAAAGAAAAUUAAGGCUUGAUCAUCAGCUGCACCUCCAAAAGCUUCUCGUGUGAAGCCACUGGCCGCUGCACCUCCUGAAGACAGUGUGCAGUCUGAAGAUCUUUCACGCAUCUCCAAGAAGACGGAGAAGAAAAAGAAAAUUGUCAGGACCCCGACUCGAUGUCACAUCGAUCUAGCCGGUAACACCUCAUAUCACUUUGCGGCCUCACGCACGGUAUCCCCACGGGUGUCGCCUUACCUUUGCCCGGGACCGUUUGCGCCUUUUGGCUCACGUAUAUGAUAGUGUCGCUAGCAUCCAUAUGAUAAGGAGCCCGGGCUGACAUGACUAGUCGUAAACCCAAAGUGGCACAGACUUACAGGGACAGGCAUCCAUGACCCAGCUUCGAACGUGUCGGUCAUCAGCAAGUGGGUCCGGGCUGUAGCACUGGGCUAGCAGGACUCCGGUAAACCGGGCUGUAGCAGGCUAACAGGACUCCGAUACUCAAAGCGUGACAUUUCCCCGAAGGGACAGACACAAGAACGAAGAAGGACACAUGCCGGCCAGCCUAAGUGUUCCAGAGCAGUAGCAAGCUACCAUGGCUCAGCGGUAACACUAGGAGACAUUUCCCGGUAAGAGAGGCUACUAAAGAUAAACAACUAGAUAGUCAGAUCCCACACAUACCAAGCAUUUCAAUCAUACACACAAUAUGCUCGAUAUGUGCAAAUACAACGAAGCAUCACAACAUGACUCUACGACACAAGUACUUUAUUUAAGGCUCAGGGAGCCAUACAUAACAUACACAAAGGUACGGGUCUCACGACCCAACAUUCAAGUCAUACAGUCAUACAAACCAGCAGCGGAAGUAACUUGUCUGAGUACAGACAACUAGUAAAAUAAAAGAGGCUUGGAAAGCCUAGCUAUACUACAUGGUCCUUCACAAGCUCAGGGUCACCACCUGGGCCUUUAGCCUACUCGUUGAUGUCAAUGUCUACAUAGAACCCAUCAGAAGGGGUUGCAGCGUCUUCUGAAAAAAUGUAAACUAUAGCAACAUGAGUACAAAGGUACUCAGCAAGACUUACAUCAGAUCCUACAUACAUGCAUAUUAUCAAGAAGGGUUGGUGGAGUUAUUGCAGCAAGCCAGCUUUGACUCUUGGCUAGACUAUCCUACGAUACUUCAACUUGAAAUGGUUUUGCGCACACGAGUCCACUACUCACCAAUUCAAUACACUACCGAGGAUCCGCCUCCGUCUUCCUACGGAAGAGCCAUCCUCGGCACUCACACUUAUCUUGAGGCUUUUAGUAGUUUCCAUUUACUUGUCUAUGAACUGUAUAGGCAACCAAGUAGUCCUUUACCGCGGACGCGGCUAUUCGAAUAGAUUAUGAUAACCCUGCAGGGGUGUACUUCUUCAUACACGCUCUCACCACUUACCGUCGUUUACACGACAUGUACUCGGCAACCUUCAAGCGGAAGCCCAACGUGGGUGUCGGCCACGACCUACCUACUCACCUAAGCCUCCAGUCCAGGUUUAUCGCCUAUUCAGGUUCCAUCCGCAGGGAGUCCGGCCGAGGUUUCCCAUACGGCCCCGAACGAUGUGAACAGGGUUCCCGAGAUACCUAACGGGUAUUCGGUACACCGUGCCACGUACCUACCGCAUCACAGCCCACCCCUACGGUCAGCGCUGUCCACGGCCUCCAGUAGGCUACAAACACCAUAAACUACUUGCAACUCCUGGACGGAGAACUAGGGUGAAUAAGAAGUCGAGAGGGUCCAUUGGUUUCGGGCCCAAUGCAUGGUAGUAGCUGAUUCUUAAAUCACACAUACAGAUCUCAGUGCUUAAGGUCGGCUUCAAUGAAACAACCCACCAUGUACUCCUACAUGGCCUCUCAUCGAUACCUUUACCAAAUCGUGUUCACCACACCACUCUCAUUACCGACAUAAACAUUUCACUCUAGCCCAUCACCCAGAUGAACCAGACCUGACGCGACUCUAAGCAUAGCAGGCAUAGCAAGGUAGGAACAACACAUACAUAUGGCUCAAUCAACUCCUACACAUGCUAGUGGGUUUCAUCUAGUUACUGUGGCAAUGACAGGUCAUGCAGAGGAAAUGGGUUCAACUACCGUAGCACACAGCAGUUUGAAACGCGUUGUCUUAAUGCAGUAAAAGAGAGCAGGAGCGAGAACAUGGGAUUGUAUCGAUAUGAUCAAAUGGUUGGUUGCUUGCCUGAUGGUUCGAUGCACUGAUACGGUUCUUCGUUAGGGUAAUCACGGUACUCCUCGGAGGCAGAACCUAUCGCAAAGGACACCGAUACACAACCAUCACCAAACAAUGUGCAACAAUAUGAUGCAUGCAUGAAACAUGGCAAUAUGAGUGUGUUGGGCUAAUGCAACUAAAACCAGAAGGGUUUGAACAAAUUUGAAUCGAAGAUUCAAAUUUCAAACUCAGACAUGGCCUUUUAAAGUGCUUUUCCUUGUUCUGCUUAAAACUUCAAUUUAAUUUGUUUGAUCAUGCAUGAAAAUAGUACAGAUGGAUAGAUUGGAUUUUUCUGAUCAUUUUUCAUAUAUAAAUUGUCUAAUUUGGAGUUACAGAAUAAAAGUUAUGAAUUUUUGAAGUUUAAAUAAUAUUCUGGAAUUUCCUGAUUUAAUUUAAAUCCAGAAAUAUAAAUAUUGCGCCAGCAUGACGUCGGCAUGACGUCAGCGGUCAACUGCGGCUGGCUGGGGUCAAACCUGACGUGUGGGGUCCACACGUCAGUGACAGGGGGGGUUUAACAGGAUUAGUUUAAUUCUAAUUAGGAAUUAGUGGCGCUGGGGCCCACUGGUCAGUGUCAGGGGGGUAGUUAGUUUAACUAAUUCGGUUAGUGCUAAUCCUAAUUAGCUAACAGGGCUGGGCCCACCUGUCAGGGACACAGGGGGGGUCCUGCCGUGGUCAAGGUGGGUCAAACCCACCGGCGACAUGACGCCGGCGAGGCCCGAGACGGCGGCGCGAUACGGAAACGCGCUACAGGGCACGGGCGAGGCCGUGCUUGGGCUCGUUGGAGAGCCCUUGCUCCCGCGCGUCGAACGGUGGUGGUGGCCGUGCCUGAGGUGGCCGGUACCGACGACGGCGAGCUCGUGAGCGGCGGCCGGAGUUCGGGUGCGGUCGGGAUCGGCGUUGCUACUCGCAGGCGAGGGAGCUGAGGCGCUGGAGGGGUUCUACGGGUCCUUACGGACUUGUUGGACUCGCCGGGGUGACCAAAUGGUCACCGGAGCUGUGUCGACGGCGAGCUCGGCGACGGCGGAGGUUCGGCCGUGGUGGGAAACGGGGUUACGGUGCGGGAACGAGGGGGAAAGAGGGGGAAACGGUGGCGGAGCUCACCGCGGUUGCAGUGGGCGUCGAAGCGGGCUCGGGGACGCGCUGGAGACGGCGAAUCGACGGCGAUGGUGGUCGGAGCCUGAGGAGGAAGACGAUGGGGUGGAGGCGAUGCAGAGCUUCCCGAGGGGCUUGGCUUGGUGGGGAGGAAGAGGGGGUCGCGGCGGAGCUCCUGAGCUCAGCGGAGGGGCGAGGGGUGGCCGGUGACGGCUGCUAUGGCGAACGGCGGCGAUGGUGGUGUUCGGCCGUGAGAGAGAGAGCGAGGGAGAGGAGGGAAGAACCGAGGGAGAGUGAGAGAGAGCAGGGGAGGGCGUGGCGUCGUCCGGGGCAUCGAGACAAGGAGGGGAGGGGCAGGCAGGCAGGCGAGCAGGUGGCGUGGCGCGGUGGCGCGCGCGCGCGCCGGCCACUCUCCCCUCCCUCUGUCGAGGACGAAGACGACAGAGGAGGGAGGCGGGCUGGGCCGCCUGCUGGCUGGGCCGGCCAGCUGGCUGGGCUGCAUAGGGAGGAGCCCAGGUAAGGUUCUCCCUUUUAUUUAUUUUUGUUUUCUAAUUUCUGACAUUUGUUUUGAUUUAAAUAAAAUAUUAAAUCAUUUUAUAACCUUAUGCCAAUUUUUGCAGGAGCUAGAUAUAUUAUUCCAGAGCUCCCCAACAGGUGGCAUAAUUUUUGGACAUAUAUUAAUAUAUAUAACUAAUAUAUUUCCAAUGCAAAUAUUUAUGCAUUAAUUCCAAAUGCCCCAAAUAAAUACCUAUGAGCUCUUAAAAAUAUUAGUUUGACUUUUAUCUCUGUCCAAUAUUUUCAAAGAGCAACAUGAGCAUUUUCUUGGACCCUUUUGGAGAAAUUUUUAUUUGGGUCAUUUUCAGGAAUGAUUCUGAGGGUUUCACAAAUCCCCAAUUCAAAUUAAAUGGAAUUUUAAACAUGAUGCACACACUCUGAUGCAUGACUAGCUAGGGUGUGACAACUCACCCCCACUCAAAAGAAUCUCGUCCCGAGAUUUGGGUUCCUCCGGGAAGAAGGCGGGAUACUCAAGUCGAAGACGAUCCUCCCUUUCCCAAGUUGCUUCAUCCUCAGAAUGGUGCGACCAUUGAACUUUGAGAAACUUGAUAUUAUGACGUCGGGUGGUACGUUCGGCCUGAUCGAGGAUACGAACGGGGUACUCUCGAUAUGUAAGAUUAUCUUGGAGAUCAAGCGUUUCGUGGUCCACUCCACGGAUAGGAUCCGAGAAGCAACGCCUGAGUUGAGAAACGUGGAAGACAUCGUGAACUCUGGAGAGGUGCGGAGGUAGUUCCAACUGGUAGGCAACUUCUCCUCUUUUGGCGAGAAUGCGAAAAGGUCCAAUGUAACGAGGAGCCAAUUUGCCUUUGAUACCGAAACGAUGGGUUCCCUUCAGAGGGGUGACCCGAAGAUAAG